UUUUUUUUUUUUUUUUUUUUUUGUAUUAUGUUGUUGUAUAUUUUCCUAUGGGUUGCUUAUCUCCUUUGAACAUUUGUUUUGUUUUUACCAGAAAUAUUUUAUUAAAUUGUUGAAUUUUUUGAUGUCACAAGACACUUCACAAAUCAAGAAGUUAAUCAGCAAAGAAGAUGAGAAUCCAUAACACUAUCAAUACCACUUUUUACAUUCUUAUCUCAAAUUCAUAUAUCUUUUAUAUGCAAAUACAUUAUUAUAAUUCAUCAAAUGAGAUGAGAUGAUUUGUUUUUGUAGAAGACACCAUGUAUAUAAAUUUGUAUAUUUAUAUACAUUUGUAUUUCGAGAAUUUGGAGAGCAUUAGUUGCUUAUAUCUUCUAUUAUCAGCAUAAUAUAGCUCAUCUUUUACUUCGGCGCUGAUCUCACUAUCUUCCUUUUCUAUGUAAUUUAUACUCAACUGCAACAACUUAAUUUCAGCCAUUUUAAUCAAUGUCAACAUAUACUUUUCAUUCUUACUUAUCUUCCAUUUUAUUUGCUAUCAACAAUUUCAUAUAAUUAGUAAUUAUUUAUUAUUUAAAUUUUUCACAAACUAAAUAUUCAAGAUAUCUGCACAUUCCGCGGGACAAAAUCUAGUUUAAAAUAAAUUUUAGCCCUUUCAAAAGAGAAACCAUAAAUAUCACUCGAAUCUAAAAAGUUUUAAACAUGAAUAAUAUUUUCAUAUUUAAUCAAAAGUUUUUAGGGCGUUUCUUGUAAUAUCUUGAUAGUUGAUCAUUUUGUAUCAUGAGAUUGUAAUCAUUUAAAACAUGUCACAGUACCAUUUUUCGAAUCUAAAAAUUUGAGCGAUGGACCAAAACUAAUGGAUUUUAAUAUAGAAUGACCAAUUUUGUGAAAGAGUAAAUAUAAAUGUAUCAUAUGAUAUUUUUUUUCCAAAAAUAAUCCACUAGUUUAUGAUACGUUAAUGUUUUAAUUUUCUGAUUUAAUUAAUGAGUUAUAUUAUUAGAACAUCCAUUUAUAUGACAACUCUUGAUACAACCAAAUUUUACAAAGAAAAUGAAGUAUGAACACCAAAACCAAAGCAAUAUAUAUAUAUAUAUAUAUAUAUAUAUAUAUAUAUAGAGAGAGAGAGAGAGAGAGAACGUAAAAAAAAGAGAUAAUGUGAGUAUGAGAUAACAAAUUAUCACAAAAAUUGUCAAAUGUGAGUAUGUGAGUAUGAAACGAGGUAUUGACACAAAAUAAUAGAGAGAAUGUAAAAACAUGAUGUGAGUAUGAGAGAGAAGGUUAUCACAAAAGCUAUCAAAAACGGUUGUACAAAUAUCAUUUCUCUUGUAAUUAAUGAUAAAACUUCCAAUUAAAUUGAACUGUUACCUUCGUCCCUAAUUAUAAGACCAUUCUACGAAAAAAUUGUUCCUUUUUAUAAAGAUCCUUUUGUUAUUUCCAAUUAAAUUAAUUACAUUUCUUUACCAACAUAUAUACCCUUAUUUAAUUGACAUAUUUUUCUUCAAAUAACAAUAAAUAUUAUGUUGAAAAUAUAAAUCAACUCUUUCUUAAAGGAUAUAAUUAUAUAAUAGUUAUUAAUUUUUAGAUGUUUAAAUGACAUUCCUCAUUGGUGAAACCCAAUACAUAUAUCUUGCCCUCUUUCAUUCAUGAGUUUGACAUUCAAUAUUAUUUUUGUCACCUAUAUUUAGUGAAAAAAAUUAUGUUAUGUUUGACUUCAAUAUAUACUUUUUCUUAGUGGUUGUUCUUAAUUGUGUUAAUUUGUGAGCAACUUGCACAAUAUUUAGAGGGAUAAAUUAAACGAGACAAAUUGUUGUAGAUCAGAAUAUAUAUUCAUAUUUGGGACUUCAUCUUGAAGGUUUUGAUUGAAAAUUCUAUAUAAACUAUAAAAUGUAAAAGAUUUUAAAAUUGCCCCAAUCGUAUAUGUGAAACUUCAUGGCUUGUGAAAGAGACAGUAAAAUAUUAUCGAGGGAAACAAACUCCUGAGAGGUGGUAAAAGCACACUUCAAACUCCUGAACGCUAAUUUAAUUAAGUUUUUUUUUUUUAAAAAAAAACUAAUUCAUUUAAUUAAAAAAUAAAAAUGAAUUCACGUGACAACUAGCCCGUACUUUUUCUUUCUUGUUAGGUUAUUGUCUACAUUAAAUUUUGAGGCAUAGGAGAAAUAAAUGAAAACAAAAAUUCUAAAGACACAGUGCACAAGCUUUUUCUUUCUUCUUCGGUUAUUGUCAAAAUCAAAAUGAAAAAUAAACAAAUACUCAUUCUGUCUCAAAAAAAAAAAAAAAGUUGGUUGUUUUGUUAAUGUAUAAUUUUGAUUUGAAGUUUUUAUAAUUCUCUAUUAAUUAGUAAAAAUUAUAAAAGUUAUCGUUUUACAAAUAUUCAUCAAGAUUGAUUCUAACAUUCCUUAAAAAAAAUAAGACAAAUUUAAUAUUUUAUAUGCUAUCAUUUAUCUUUUUAUAUAAUAAUAAAAAAAUAUGAUCAAAGUAUGUUAUGUGAGUAAUACCAAUGACCAAACAAAGUCAAUUAUUUUAAGUUUGGAUUGAGUAAUAGUUUAAUUGCACAUUUGGUCUUCCACCUUUUUUAAUUUGGUAAUUUUAGGCCUCUCAAUGUUUUUGAACAAUUACUUUUAGCCCUACGUUUACCCUUUUUUAUAUAUAUUUUGUAGUCCCAGUUCAUUUUCCUCAAUUUUAAGAAUAUGUUCAUUUGACAAAUUAUCACAAAAAUUGACGAAUUCAUUUUGCAUGUUACAAAGUCCUCGAUACUAGUACCACAUCCAUCUCAAUCACAGUACCAUAUGAAAUAAAAAAGAAACCAUGUGGGUGUGGUGUCUUGAAGACAUGCAAACAUUUAUUCAUAUGACAAGUGCAUAAUUAAAUGACUUAAAAAGUCUCAUCAUAAAUUUCUAUUAGUUUACCACUUAUGCUAUAUCAUUAUUUACGUUAAUUAAUGCCUCCGUCCCAUAUUAGAUAAUUUAGUUGAUUAUGAAACUCAUACUAAUGCAUAUAUUUUAUCUUUAAUUUCUUCAAUUCUUUAUUAAAAAAAUUAUAAAAAUUUAAUAUUUUAAAAAUAUUUAUCAAGAUGAAUCCAACAACAUCUUCAUGAUAUUAUUUAUCUUUGUGAAUUAGUGAAAAAAUAUGAUCACAGUAUAUUAAGUCAAUAAUAUAUAUUGUCAAAUAUAUCAUCUAUUAAGGGACGGAAGGAGUACUAUUUAUUACUUUGAUUUGUUCAAUUAAUUAGCUAGUCAACUUUAAAUUAACCAUAAUCAUAAAAAAGAAAGAUUAUUGUUAACUAGUGCUUCGGGGGCACUAGUUAAGAAAGUAAAAAAUAGAAAAUUUUAUUUGAAAACAAUAAAGUUUUAAAUUUUAAAAAAUUGAACAUUCCAUUUUUUAACAAUUUUAAUGCAAAAUUGUUAUAUUAGUCUACUUAACUAGUACCCAGGAUCAGUGGCGGAGCCAGAAAUUUUAUAGAACAUGAGCAAAAAUUUUAUCGCAAAACGUUACUUCCUUCCUACGAAUAAUUUCACGUUUCCUGCAGAUAAAUUCACAUUUCCUACGGAUAUAUCUUUCCUGCGGAACCUAAAUCCUUGGCAAAAUCUACAUGAAAUACAUUUUUUGCAGAAUUUACACAAAAAUCCGCAGGUAAAUCCGCAGAAAAAGCUAAAAAUUCUAAUAAUGGUAGGACUUGCUACAAAGAAAGUUGGAGCUGAGCCUGGGCACUAACCCAGGCUAGCUGGAGGUGGCUCCGCCUCUGCCCAGGACAUUAGUUAACAUUACCAAAAAGAAACCAUGCGUUAAUAUUUAACACAAUGGUUCCACGUCACAUGGUUUUCACUUAACUGUACUAUAAUAAUUUUAUGGAAAUAAUUUGGUCAUUGAAAUUUUGUUGGAUACCGAUACACUAUAAGAAAAAUUUAUACAAACUUAAUUAGUUAUAAGAAAAUGAGAUGGAGUUAAAUGAGACUUCCUCCGUCCCAUACUUAAUAACGGUGUCUUUUGUGAAAAAAUAUUGUACUAAUAUAGCAGACAUAUUUCACUUUUUAAUACAAUAUUAAUUACUUUUUUCAAUUAUAACUUUAAUUAAUAAUAUUACUUUCAUCACUUUCAAUUCAAUAUAUUCAACUUUGCAUUUAUGAUAGUGAAGAAUAUACCAAUACAUAACAAGAGUAUUUAAUACCAUUUUUCUCUCUCUUCUUCAUUUAUACAUUUUUCUUAAUAUGUGUAAAAUGAACAAAUGAUACAAUUAAUCUGGGACGGGAGGGAGUACAUAGGUACACAGGGUACCAAAACUAUUCACAAAUAAUUUUCUUCAACCAAAGCCAAAUUUAAUCCAUUAAUGUUAUAUUAAAGAAAAUCAACAAUUUUUUUUGUCAAUUAGCCUUUGGGGUUGGAACUCACAUUUUAAAUGUGGAGAAGUGGGUCCGGGGUUCGAAUCCUGACUCAUGCAUGUAUUAUGCAUUGUCCCUAUUAAUUGAGUCAAACUCACGAGGACAAAUAUACAAUUCUAUAUAUUGGAGAGGUUUGAAACCAAUUUCAUGCCAUGCAAAACAAUAUCAAUAAGAAAAUAAAAAACAAGCAUUUAUAUAUACACUAUGGGGAAAACCAUUGCUUCACUUGUUCUAGUUUCCCUUGUAGUGGCAAUACUUCUGAAUGGUUAUAAUGCCGAGGAUGGAGGAAGAGGUAAUCAACUGAAGAAAGAUGAUGCUAUUUACAAAUCUCAAAAGUUUGGGCAAUGUCUAGAUUGUACGAUUUUGUAUAAUAUAUGUUUGGUUAAUCCUUACCUUUGGACUUUGCAUGACAAGUUUUGUUCUUCUAAUGAUUACAGAAGUAACAAGAUCGCAUCCAGUGGCAAAGAUGCUCCUCAAGUUGUAAGUGAUCUUCCAUGAUCAAUGAUCGUUUGUGUUUCAAUGGCUUGUGUUGUGUGUUAUAUUAAUAUAUCUAUAUGUAUCUAAAUAAAACAAUGUUGUGUGAGUAAGAGAGUAAUAUGCAACAUAAAAAUUUGUAGCUAAAUAACCUUUAUGGACUAUUAUAAGCAAAAAUCAACAUUUUAAAUUUAUUCAUUAAAUGAUAUACGAUCUAUAAUUAAGACUAUAUACAUCAUUAAUUGAAUUCAAUGAAUCUAAAAUGUAGAGUUUUGCUUAUAAUAGUUGCCGGAUGCUGUAUAUAUCUUGUGGAUGAUAGAUAUAUUUUAUAUUUGUUCUAUUGACUUUGUAUUAUGGCAAUGAUGUCAUGUUAUUAUGGUUAUAAAUAAAUAUAAGUAAGGGAUAUUUUAUUAAGUAAAUUGAACGACUCCAUUGAGAUUUUGGAUCUUCAGUCCUUCAAACAAAUUCUAUUGGUCCUAAAUUUGCAACUUCAAAACCAAUAUCCUUCGAUGCCCAAAUUUAACUCUCGUGGUGAACCAAUUCUAAAUCUUGGCCAUAUUCUAAAAGAUAAUUUGACCAAGAAAAUAUAUAAUUGUUUUUAAAGUAAAAUUAAAAGUCCAUUGAAACCAUACAAUUUCAAAAAUUACCAAACACCAAUAGAGGGGCUACUCCAUAUAGUACCGCUCAAAGUUAGAAUAUAUUGUUAAAUAUAUAUGUGGUUUUUACAAAUAUACCAACUAUUUGUUUCAGUUCUUAUAAAAAGUUUCUUCGAUUUUUAAUCCUUCAAAAAAAUUUAACUUCACAUUUAAUCUCUCCUUUUAAGUAAAUUUAUAUGUAUAAUUUAAAUGAUAUGGCAAUACAACGGUGAAUAACCCUUACUGAUAUUGGUUAUCUGUACUCCUACCAUGUAAUGAAAAAGAAGCAACUAUAUCUCAUUAUUUAUUCAAAUGGUGCACGCAAUCAUAUUUACAGUUUAUAUUCUGAUUUUAUUAUAUUCUAUCUUAUUAAUUAUAGAGUUAAAUAUGUUAUUGAUCUCUAUAAAUAUACUAACUUUUUAUUUUAGUCUCUUUAAAAUUUUCCUUCAACUUUUAGUCUCCAAAAAAUUUUCCAUCUUCACUUUUGGUCCCUCUUUUAAAGUAAACUCAUAUGUAGAAUUCAUAUUUUUGAAUCAAAUUUUCCAGAAAAACUCAUAAUAUUAUAAGAAUCUCUCCCAAGAAAAAUUAGAAUUUUUUAACAAAACAUGAAGUUAAUAUGAAUUUUUAUAUUAUUUAUGGUUAAAAAUUCAUAUAUAAUUUAUGUUUACUUGAAAAAUUCUAUUUUUUUUUGGAAAUGUUUUUACAAUAUUCUACACAUUUCUGUACAAUUUCAUUAAAAAAAAAUACUAAAAUUUACUUUGAAAUAGGGACCAAAAGUAGUGACUCAAAAUUUUAUAGGAACUAAAAGUUGAAGGAAAAUUUUAAAGGAACUAAAACGAAAAAUUGAUAUAUUUAUAGGGACCAAAAACAUUUUUAACCCUUAAUUAUAAUAGAUUCAAUAAAGCCUGUAAAAGUGUAUCAAUCCUGUAGUUUUUUUAAUCAAUUGGAGACAGUUCACUUUCUCCUCAUUUUCAAGUCAAAACAAUAGAAAACAAUGUAUAUAUCUGGGGGAGAACCUAAAUAAACAUAUUGAAACAACUUCUUAGUGUCUCACAGAGAUGAAUGAAGAAAAAUACAACCACAAUACAUAAAGUUUCCGAUUUAACUUCAAUAUUGAGAUAGAAAACUAUCAUUCCCAAUUACAUACAACCAAGAGAAGAAUUAUGGUAAUCAUAGUUAUAUACCAUAUAGCAAAUUAUAAAGUAGUUAAUCAAAUGAUAAAAAGAUCUAAAUUCAGAAAGGAGGUGCUGAUUUCAUUUUGGUAUAGUGCUCUUGGAGUCUCUUACAAUUAAAAUUGAAUUUUUGUUCUUUCUUUUCAAGGUGAAUUGUUUUCUCAAGGAUUUCCAAAGUAUCGGAAGAUAGACUUUUGAUUUCUUUCAGAAUUUCGACCAUUUUUUUUUGACAUUUUGAAUAAGUAUCUUUCAAGAGAGAUUUUUCUUGGAGAAGCUUAUUUACUUGCUCCUCAAGUAAUUGAAUUUGUUUUUGGUAUCCUCAAUUUGAUGAUCUAUAUCUUUGAUUUUAUUCUCCACAGCAGCAAACUGAUUCAAAUAAAUCUCUUUAUUUUGUCCUUGGAAGCCUCAACUUUAUACCGUGUGUUUUUGUGGUUCAAUUUAAGCUCUUGAAGAGAAUCAACAUUAUCACUUCUAUCAUCAGUGACGAUUGUAGCUUCAUUCAAGAUUUUAGCGAACUCAGACUUGUUUCUCAGACAGUUCAUCAAUCCUAUCUCCGAUUUUGAAUAAUAAACGUUUUAACUUUUCUCUACGGUUUGUGUGAUUUGGAAGAUAUUUCAAAAGGUUACUUGAAAAAACUAUAUGUCUCAAGUCAUCAAGCAGUGAUUGAUUGAUUCCCUCUCAACUUGAGUAGCUUCUGAUCGGUUUGAAUUGGAAGCGGAAAUGGUUUCGCCUUACUUUUCUUUGUUUUUAUAGGGGACAGAAACUGUAGAUGACUUGGUUUUGAAGUUGCAGAGAAGUAAACUUUUCUUCAGUACUGAUUCUUUAAAGAGGAUGAAGAAACUGAGUCUGUCACAACUUGAUCAUGUCAACCUCAUCGAUAUUUUGGUAUUCUCAAGUUUAGUUGAUAUUUUGAUCGUUUUUACUUGAAGUUUUACUGUACGCUCAUCGCUCAAUAUUGGAAUCUCAGUUUAGAACUAACAUGAGUAACUGUAACAGAAUAAGAGUGCAAAUUACUCUCCAUUGAAAUUUCAACUAUACUGAGUAUCUAAAUUUGAUCCAACACAUGCUACCAGUAAUAAAAAAAUUAAAAAUAAGAACCAGCAGAAUGAAGUAAACUCAACAAACGAGUACACUUUUAGAAUCAAGAACCAAAUGACCCAAUUCACCAAAGAAGAACAUUCAUGUAAUUGGUAUUUGCAAAAUAACUUUUUGAAAUGGUGUAUUUGAAGAUGAAACCACAAAAGGUCCUAAACAAAAGGCUAAAGAUUAUUUAUGUUCUUUAUAUUUUCAUUAAGACAAGAUUAUUCCAUGUUUUUUAAGCAUAAAGUUGAAUGCUAAAGGUUCGUGGAAUUCUGGAAUGGAACCUCAAUGACUGCACUAACAUGUGUGACACUAAUGCAUAUGAUGUUGUUGCAUCCAAAUCAGAAAAUUUUGUAUCAUAUAAUUUGCGCUAUCCAAAACUAUUUUCUUUCAAUUAUCGAGUGAGUAGUUAACUAAAGAGAGAAAAGAGGGUUAGUGGAUAAGAUCAAGUCAAUAUUACGGAGAAAAUAACGUAUUUUUUCCAAUAAAAACAUCUUUUCAUAUUUAUCCCGUAUAAUUAUCAGACAAUAUAUUUAAAACUUUUAAAAUAUGCUCUGUUUACAACACAUUACACACAAAAACUUUGAAGCUUUUGGAGGCUGCCAAGUAUUGGUAGAUACAAUGAUGACAUGCUCCAAAACGAGCAAAUCCUUGACAUGGGAUUCAUUGUGGAUGACAUCAAAGACCACAUGAGAGAAGAAAAUAGGAUCCUGCAAUCGAUCACAUUAAUGCCCAAGCAUUGUCAAUCCUCCCUCCCAGAAAAAUAUUACAAAACACAUACAAGGGAGUUCCAUAUUAGGACAAUAGGCGUGCUCAAUCAAAAAUUGUUGAGAUCUCAAUUAUGGUUCAAGCAUAAACAUUCUCCCACUCUCUUUGCAAGUCUCGUAAAGUUUUUUCUACUUGUCUUCAGUAAUGGUUCAUUCUUGACAACAACUGAUGGUUCCAUUUUCACAUCAAGUGAUGGUUGUACUUCCUCUUCAGCUGAUGGAUCCAUUUUUACAUUGGGUGACGGUUUCAAUUCCACUUCAUGUAAUGGCUCCAUUUUUGCGUCACUGGAUGGGGCAACUUCCAUAGCAUUUGAUGACUCGAUUUCCAUAGCAUUUGACUGAUCGUAAAUUAGAUAGACAGUCAUCUUCUUAACAGUCCAUCCAUGCCCAAUAGAUACAAAAAUCUCCACAUUGUCACCAACUCCUAAUUUUGAUACCACGUCUUGCCAAUCUUCAUCAUUAAAAGACAUUACUGUGUCUCGCCUGUAAAUUUGGAUAGUUAAUUUUGUGUAAUUAAUAAUCAAGACACUAGUCAGACCUUCAGUUGCUAAGUUUUCAGGUGUUGUUGAAUAAAGAACACAUAAAGUCAUUCCCUUCAUGCAGUAAUUGGUAUCGUCGGGAACUUGAAAUAAUACAGAAGGUCCUUCACCUCGAUAGGCUAACCAAGAAGGAUAAUUAUCACCCGGAAGGAAAUUAUCACGAGAAUUGGUUGUCAAUCCCUGAAUCAUAAACAUAUGCUUAGUUAUUUAUGUUAUUCAAAUUAUGCUAUGCAAAUGGACAUUUUCUGCCAUUUAUUGUGUCAAAAUAGUGUACUACACAAAAGUAUAUAUGAGGAAACUGAUCGCAAUAUAACUCCUUUCCACUUUCCUACAACUCGUCUUUCACAAUAAAAAUUGUAAUAACAUAUAUAUGUUUAUCUACAAAUUCUCUCUGGGUUCGACAAUCUUAUCAAUCUAUACGAAGGAUUUUUCAUUAAAUAGCUCUACUUGCACAUUACUGUUACUUGCAUUCCCUUUGAAGAGUGUCUGAUAAUAUACAAGGCCUAGUAUCAACAUCUUAGAAAAUCCAACCAUUUUAUGCCUUCCAGCUAUUUUCUCUUCAAAACAUAAGGAAUAGUAUUCUUUUCAAUUAUGUAGAAUAAUUUGCUCCUUUUCACACACAGUCGAUUCUAGAAACUAAAUGCUAGGAUAUAGAAUAUUGUUAAGAGUUGUUACUUCGGAUAUUCUUAGAAAGUCUUUAAAUAGCCUGAAAGGGUAGAAGGGAAAGACAGUUAUGAAUAAUUAAGUUUAGCGACUAGAGAAUGCUAUAGAGUGAAAGGAAGGUUAUCAUCUUUAUUGUAUACCUUUUGAAUCUUCUGUUUGAAUCUCACUACAUCAAUUCCUUCAAGCUUAUAAAAAAAAAAAAAAAAGUCCUACAUUGAUUUGCAAUCAUUAUUUUAGUUAUAAUUAUUCCUCUGUUGAUUCAAAUAUCCCCAGUUUUGGGAAAUCUUUCUUAUGCCAGGAGAAAGGUUCCAAACAGUAAAUCACUUCUUUGUGAAUGCAAAAGACUUGCGAGCCAACGUAUGAAACAUCUAGAAGCUUUUUUUUUUUUUUUUUCUACUUAAGGGAAUCAUUCUAGCAACAUCUAACUUAUUGUUAUGGAUUACUACUAAUGUAAAGGGCAAAAAACAACAUAUACUAAUACUCAGUUUUAAAAAAAAUAAAAUCUAGUUACCUAAUACUUGUUAGAUUGUAGUUAUAUACUAAAACUACUUAAAAAACAAUUGUUGAACUAGUUAUUAAUAUUGUGCAGUAAGAAGAUCCUAUAUAUCCUUCAUAUCAACAAAAUAUAAUUUUAUUAUUCUGUUCCUCUUUCUCCUUGUAUAUCUAAAGGACUAAACCUGUGUAUAACUUCAAUAGUUAUUCAACUAUCCUUUUAAAGUUACACAUUUGUUAUGAAUAUGAACAAGCUAAAAAAAUGUAACAAAUAUAGACAUUAACAAAUAAAUGUAAUGAAGAUAAAGUUAAAAACAAUGACAAAGAAAAAAAAGGAUAUAAUAAUUAUCUAAAUAUUUACUUCAUUUCUAUUUUAAACGUCUGACCUUAGUAUCCAUAUUAGUAUCUGAUAGAUACUUGAAUAAAAAUGUACAUUUAUGAAUCUUUACCAUUUAAAGAAAAACAUGCAAAUGGAACAUAAUUCCAUGUUCUCUUAGUAAUGAUAAAAUAUUAGGUGAGAAGAUUGAGAAGGAACCUGUGAUAAGCUCUUCCCAAGAAUAUUGAUGACUAUGUGGCAAUUUCCCAUUCCAAUCAAAAGAGAUCUCAAGGAAUGAUCCGAAAUGUGUGAUGCAUGUGAUAUUCCCAAUUCAGUAAGACCGGCAUCAUAUAGAUCAUCAAGAAAUCUUCUGAAUUCUUGUUUCAGUUGAAUCUCUGAGUCACAUUGUACCGAAACACUUCUAAGUUUUGAACAGCUGCUAAGUAUUUGUGAUUGAUAGACUAAAGCCAGAUUAUUGCUCUCUAUAUCCAAGGAAGCAAGAGACUUUGACAUGCCACCAAAAGGGGAAAUAUGUGCUACAGAAUUCAUUGUUGGUGACAUCCAAGACCUAAUGAGAGAAGGAAAAACAUGAUGUGAUAAUCCUUCAUAUCCACAUAGAGAUAUAUAUCCAAUGCUUUUUGAUCUCACUAUCGAAAAUGGUGGUUGUUUGACUCCAGUAUUUGCUGCCAUUAGAGUUGUCAAGGAUUCCAUUUGCACUAUAUCUUCUUCCAAUUUGUCAAUCUUUGAACAACCAGAAAGGAUGAGAGUUUCCACUGUUCUCAAUUGAUAGAUCUCUCUUGGGAGAUUGCUAAGACUCGUACAGUCCUUCAAAUUUAACAGAAGAAGAUUCUUGAGAUCUCCAAUGGACGGGUGUACCUCCAACAGACUUUGACAAUCCUUCAUAAUUAGCUUUUCUAGGUUUGGUAACUUUGAAAAGUCAGGGGUUCUUUUCAAGUACUUAGAAUGACUGAGAUUUAGGAUCUUCAGUCCCUCUAUCAACUACAAGAAAAUAAAUGUUUUAAAUGACUGAAACCGUGGCAAAACAUCUGUUUCCAUUAACCAUUUAUUUUAAAAGGAAAAUCUAAUCUCAUAUGUACCUGAGGCUUCUUCCAAACUUGUGUGAGAUUACUGUGUUUUAAGUCCAUAGCAACUACAUUUUUCUGAUAAAAGUUUUCUGGUGUGUAUUUUAAUGGAAAUCCUUGCCAAGAAAGCCAUCUCAGGUGCUUUGAAAAACACUUGUAAUCUCCGAUGACUUGUACAUUAUCAAGUUGCAACAAUCUCAAUCUCUUCAUUUUCUCAAAAGCAAUUGUAUCAAAGCAAACUCUAUUGGUCUUUGGCAACUUCAUAACCAAUCCCUCGAUGGCUUUUGUUCCCUGUGACACAAAGAAAGACCGUAGAAAAAUAAAAUAAAAAGGAAAUCUUAAUUUGUAGUUUGGUGACUAAAAAGCAACACAAAAAAUUGCAGCCUAAGCCCAAUUAUAUAUAAAAUGACAUCAUUCUCAUGAACUAACUCUCCAAAAACUCGACUUGUUACAUGAAGACCUGUGUAUGGACAGACACAUGUGAGAUAAUGAAUCCCACAAUUUUCAGCCAAUAGAUUGGAAAAGUAAAUACAUUUCUGAAACAUAGUUUUUGUUAUCUUUAAAGAUAGUGAAAGAUGACAAACAUUCAAAAUACAAUGUAGAGAAAUUCUUACGGUAUGGUCUUCCAGUACAUUAACUACGUCCUCAUGACACCACAAUCGGGUACGCUUCUCAGGCUCCUCCGGUGAACUUUCACGAACAAUUUCCCUUCCCAUGUCUCGUAGCAAAUCAUGCAUUCCAAGCUUUUUAUUCUUUUCAACUUUUAUGAGGCUUCUCUCUAUCAACACUGUUAUUCCAAUAUCAGCAUGAAGUCCACAACCAUUUAGUAUCUUUGUAACAUAAGCUCUAUCCUUGCCGAUAAAGAAACAACAGACAUCAAGAAAUAUAUCCUUUUCCAUACGAUCGCUUAAACCAUUAAAGCUAAUUUUUAGUUUCUCAUGUAUUUGAUCAUUGGGUAUUUUUUCAAGCUUUGAUAAUACACUCUGCCACUCUUGUUUUCUCCUCUUCAAUAAGUAAGAUCCAAGGACUUCAAGAGCUAGUGGUAUUCCACCACAAUAGGCAACUACAUAUCUUGAGAGAAUAAGGAAGUCUUCUGUUGGAAUUACCUUCCUAAAAGCAUGUCCACAGAAAAGCUCAAGGGACUCGCUAGCAUUCAAUCCCUCUGCUUCAUAGAUAAAAUCAACUUCAAGGAUAUUAAGUACACGCAGAUCUCUGGUUGUGAUGAUUAUUACACUUCCCGGACCAACACUAUUUCCUUCACAUAGUGCAUUAAAUUGCUCAAGCUCACUAACAUCAUCAAGUACAGCAAGUAUGCGUUUUGAACGAAGUCGUUGCUUGAUCAUAGCUUUUCCUUGCUCAACACUAAGCACCUUUAUCUUUCUUGUUUUCAGGAUAUCUGAAAGAAGUUGUUCUUGUAAAUCGAUUCUGCCCCUAUCUUUCUCCCAAACUUCUCUAAUAUUAGCAACGAAGCUUUGAUCUUCAAAUUCAUAACAAAGAUCAUUGUAUAUGACUUUGGCAAUAGUGCUUUUGCCAAUCCCCCCCAUCCCCCAAAUCCCUACUAAACAAACUUUUCUUGUAUUUUGUCUUAAAAAUCGAAUCGGCUUUUCCGCACGGGGUUUUAAUCCAACUUGAAAAUUUGGCAGAGGUAAGUAUUUUUUGUCUAGAUUUUUCAAAACUUGAGAAACAAUUUCCUUCACAACUUUGCUUUGAUUACUGCAACAACAAAUAUUACAAAAAACAAAAAUGGAAAUAAAAAUGAAGGACGUGAAACAUAUACAUUUGACUCAAUUUCCAAAAAAAGUCAACUCAAUUUCCUUAGGCUUUGCUUGCGAGUUUGGAGGGAAAGGGAGGGGAACAUAUAGAUGACAUUGAGGGAGAAAGACUUUGGGGAUUCAUUUUUCUUUAUAAUACAAAAUCCUCCUCAUUUAGAGAACUCAAAAAUUAUAUUGGAGGAGAGUUUUUCAAGGUUUACAUCAAUUCUUCAAAUAGUUAUAAUAUUUUUAAAAUAAAAAAUAUAUUAAUCAUAAACAUUAAUUUAUCAUUCUCUUAAAAAUUACUCUUUCAAAAAAUGUGCAAGAUUUUACCAUUUUCUCCUGUAAAACUAACCCUCCAAAGUUUUCCCUUCCAAACUCUCAAACAAAGCCUAAAGGUGCGCUAGAUUUGCUAAGAGGUAGGUAUUGGACAAAACAACACAACCCAAGGCAGUACAACACAUGACAACUUUUACGAUGAUUAACAAUUUUGUCUUAUACGAUGUUUGGUGGACAAAAAUGUUAUUUUGGUAAUUUAGACAACUUGUACUUGAGAAAAAAUUAUAUUAUGAACAGUUAUACAAUCAAACACAGUACAACUUCGUCGUAUCGCUUAUUUUUUUUUAUAAGAUCAAACGCACCCUUAAUCAAGUUCAAAUACUCUAUAUGUAUAGCAUAAAGCCUUAGUGGCACAACAACAAGAAGAAGAAAAUCAUAGCAUGCAAUAUGAGCACUAAUUAGCAAAAAUAAAAUAAAACCAAAACAGAAUGAAUAAUUAUAUUUGAACAAGUAUUUUGAUAUAACUUUUGGGACAACUUUAUUGUUCUCUCUUCUCAUUGAUUAAAAAUAAUGGAGAGAGAAAAAGAAAGAGAGAGAAUAAUAAGAUAAUUUUUUUUGAAGAAUAAGAAGAUAACGUGAAUAUGAGAAAAAAAAUUUGUACAAAAAUGGUUGUACAAAUUUCAUUUCUGAAAUAAAAUAGACAUAUUUACCUGUAAUUACUCAUAUCCCAACCAGUCAAAUACGAAACAUCGCGGAGUGCCCUUUUUUUUCCAAAUAUAAUUUGAUCUAACUCAUCUACUAAUAUUACCGGGGAAUGUUGACGUAUAUUCGAAGGGGUGAUACCGUUAAAUACUGGCAUAACAACCUGACCGUUAUCUGCUUUGCAUUUCAUGAUUUGUUCGAGUUCAUUAAGACACCAACUAGAAUUAACGUAGUUUUUAGAGAAAACAACGAUGGCUAUCUGAGAACCUUGUAUUGCUCGAACUAAUUCUGGUCCAAGCUCCUCUCCCUUUUUAAGAUUCUCAUCAUCAAGAAAAGUAUUGAUUCCAGCGUCUGUGAGAGCAGCAUAGAGAUGAGAAACAAAAGUCUUGCGAGUAUCUUUCCCUCUAAAAUUGAUGAACACGUCGUGUAUCCAUUGAGGUCUGGACCUUGAAGAAGAAGAAGACAUGUUGGAUAUACUACUGAUGAUGGAUGUGAACAACGGACUCACUGGAUUUCAAGCAUUUACAGUCAACUCAAAGCUAACACGGUUGAACACAGCUCACCUCCACUCACAUUCCGAUUUUAUAAUUAGUUUAACACAAUCAUUUUGUAUUUUAAUAAUUAAAGGAUUAUUCAAUAAUGUACACUAGCUUAUUUAAAAAACAAUUAGUGUAUUCUAGCAAAUUCAUUUAAUUAAUUGAUUAAAAUAUGAUUAAUUAUUAAUAAUAUAAAACUAAUAUAAUUGCUACUCACUUGCUACCAAGGAAGCAGAGUGAAUUGAACUUGUCCAAUGCGAAGAGCGACACCCUCGUCUAUUAAGCCCAUUUGAUGAUGGAAUUGGAGAGCGUUAGGAGUGUAAAAAUUAAUAAAUAAAGUUUUAUUUUUAUUCGUAAAUUAUAUUUGAAGCAUUGUGGUAAUUUACCUAAUAACCAAUAAAAUAUAGCCACAUGAGCAUAUUUGCAAAUGGAUUAAAAAUUAGUUUGGGGAUAUCAUUUGUAAAUUUACUUAUUUAGCUAACUUUGAUGAAAAUUGCUCUUGACACAUUUCAUAAGGUUGAGGCACACAAGUAAAAUAUGUUUUUGCCCCCUCAGCAGUUAACUGCCGAGGAAUUUAAAAAUUGAUUGCAGUUAACUGCCGAGGAUCUUCUGCUACAAAUAUGGCAGAAACUCUCUCAUCCAUUAUUCAUCUCAUCUUCCAAAAAGAAAAAUUCAAAUCUCUCUCACAAAUCUCUUUAAAAAACCCAACCAAAUUUAUUCAACAAAAUCACAAGUAAAUAAUUAUAAUGCUAUUAACUUACAUUUUAGUUGUUAUAAAUGUUUUUAUCUCAAAAACUAAAAAAUAAAAACAUUUGGUUACUUACUUGUAAAUUUAUCUCAAACUUACAAAUUUAUCUCAAAAACUAAAAAAUAAAAAUAGUGUUAUGAACUAAAUGAAGGAAAACAAUGCUAGAGAUUAAUAAAAAAUUCGCUUGGUGAAAUUAUAAAUUUAGAUGAAACCUAAACCCAUCUUAGUUCAUACAUUAAUAUUCACAUAAAAAAAAAAACUUAGUGGAGGCAUAUAUUUACCAAACCAAUAGAGGAGCUAGCGAUGAGUUAGAAUGUAUGUAUAUACGUCAAAUAUAUUCGGUACAGUAAUGAGAAAUUAACUCAACAAAAUCUCAUGGCCACAUUAAUUGAAAUUUGAAACAAACAAUAACCACACAAUUCAUAUAUAAACUCUUUUAUGAUAUAAAACAUGCCACUAUUUUUCCUAGUUCACAGAAAAUAUUGAAAAACACAAAGGACAAAGGUACGCCCAACAAAAAAUUGUUGGAACGUCUACUCUAAUCCAUACAUAAACAUUUCAGCAAAACUCUCUUUACAAGUCUUGUUAAGAUUUCAUAUGGCUUAGGCAAUGGCUUAACUUCCACAGUAAUCGAUAGCCGUCUCCUUUUCACAUCAGGUGAUGAUUGCGCUUCCGCUCCAGGGGAUGACUCCGUUUUCACAUCGAGUGAUGGUUGCACCUCCACUUCAGGUAUUGGUUCAAUUUCCAUAGCAGCUGGCUGACCAUAUAUUAGAUAGACAGCCGUCUCCUUAACAGUCAAUCCAUGCCCAAUAGCUACAAAAAUCUCCACAUUGUCAUCAACUUUUAAAUUUGACACUACACCUUCCCAAUCUUCAUCAUUAAAAGACAUUAUUGUGUCACGCUUGUAAAUUUGGAUAGUGAGUUUUGUGUAAUUAAUGAUUAAGACACUAGUGAUACAUUCAAUUGGCAGGUUUUGAGGUGUUAACGAAUAAACAACACACAAAGCUAUUCCCUUCAUGCAGGAACCACUAUCCUCAGGCACUUCGAAAUGUACUGAAGGUCCUUCGCAUUUAUAGGCUAACCAAUAAGGAUAAUUGUCACCCGGAAGGAAAGAAUCACUAGAAUUGGUUGCCAAACCCUGUAUCAUGAACAUAUGCUAAGUUAUUUAUGAAAUAGUGUUCUAAACAGACAAAUGUAUAUAUACAAGUAAACUGAUCCAAGGAAACCAGGCAAUAUAGUUCCUUUCGCAAUAAAACUGUAACGGAUACAUGUCUGUCUACAAGUUCUCUCUCUGCACUAUGAUCUUAUCAUUCUAUGCAAAAGAUUUUUGUAAACUUGAUCUACUGGCCUGUUAACAACAUUUUAGAAAAUACCUGACAUUUUAUUCAAGUCAGUUACUUUCUCUUCAAUGCAUUAGCAGUACUGUUGUCACUUCUUUAUGAAUAGACGUAUGCAACAACUUGAAGCUUUUGUUUUCUAAUGAAGGGUUACAUUAUGGAAACAUUUUGCUUACCGUUAUGGAUUCCUACUAAUGUAGAGAGAAAAGAAACAACAUAAACUAAAUAUUUUAAAGCUCGGUAUCUGUAAAAAUAAUUAUCUAGUUACUUGAUUCUUUGAUUCUUGUAAAGGCUGUAGCUUUAUUUUCUUGUUAGAUUGUAGGUAUAUCAUAUAUGCUACAAAUAUUUUAAAAAUAACUGUUGAACUAAUGCUUUUGUAUUUUAUAAUAUGAUGAUCCAACAUAUAAUUCACAUCAACAAUAAUAUAAUUUUAAUAUUUUGACAUCUGAAGGACAUUAACUCGUAUAGAUUCAACAAUUAUUCAAUUAUCCUAUUAAAAGACGUUUUAUGUGUCAAAUAUAACAAAUAAAAGAAAAAAAGAUAUGUAGAAAACGGUAAAAGGAUUUAAUUAUCUCAAAAUUAAUUUCACUAUGUUACACAUAUGACCCCUAGCAUUGAUUUUAGUUUACCUGAACGAUACCUAAGUAAAUUUCUAGUUGCUUUCAGAAAAUUUUAUACUACGAUUUAAUGAAAUAUAGAACAAAGAAAACAAUUCCAUGUUCUCUUAAUUAAUAAUAAACAUCAGUAAAGGUGAAAGAAUGGAGAAGGAACCUGUGCUAAGCUCUUAUCAAGAGUAUCCAUGACUAUUUGGGAACUUCCCAUUCCAAUCACAAUUGAUUUCAAGGAAAGAUUUGUGAUUUGGUGUCCAUGUGAUGUUGUUUCCAACUCAGUAAAAUUCACAUCAUAUAGAUCAUCAAUAAAUCUUCUUAAUUCUUGAGUAAGUUGAUUCUCUGACUGGCAUUGAAACCAAACACAUCGAAGCUUUGAAAGGACGGUAAGCAUUGGUGAUUGAUAGUCCAUAUUAUUACUUUCCGCAUGCAAGGAAACUAGAGACAAUGAAUUGCCUGCAAACGGAGAAAUACGGGAUAGGGAAUUUCUGGUUGGUGACAUCCAUGACCAAAUGAGAGAAGGAAAAACAUCAGACGAUAAUCCUUUAUAUCCACAUAGAGAUAUAUAUGCAAUGCUUUUUGAUCUAACAAUCGAAAAAGGAACUUGUUUGACACCAGUAUUUGCUGCAAUUAGAGUUGUCAAGGAUUCCAUUUGCAAUAUAUCUUCUUCCAAUUUGUCAAUCUUUGAACAACCAGAAAUAAUGAGAGUUUUCACUGAUUUCAAUUGAUAGAUCUCUCUUGGGAGAUUGGCAAGACUUGUACAGUCCCUCAAAUUUAUCAGAACGAGACUCUUGAGGUCCCCAAUGGACUGGUGUACCUCAGACAAGCUCGGACAGUCCUUCAUAAUGAGCUUUUCUAGAUUCGGUAAUUUUGAAAAGUCUGGGGUGAUUUUCAAGUACUUAUUAUGACUGACAUUGAGAAUUUUCAGCUUGUCUAAUAUCUGCAAGAAAAUGAUUGUUUAAAAGAAAAUGGAAAAUGUGAAGGUCGCAGCAGAUUAUAAUGUCAUCAACCUUUGAGUUUUGAGAGAAAAUGUUGUUAUACCUUGGUCUCCUGCCAAACUUGUCUAAGAUUGCUAUGUUUUAAUUCAAAAACAACUAAAUUUUCCAGAUCAAAGUCAUUCGGUAUAAAUUUGAAAGCAGAUCGUUGCCAAUCAACCCAUCUCAGUUGUUUGGAAAUUAACCCAUAUUCUCCCAUAAGGUGAACACCAUCAAGUUUUAAAAGUCUCAGCUUUUGCAUCUCCUGCAAAGAAUCAGUACCAAAUAUAAUUCUGCCUGUUCUUUGGUACUUCAAAAUCAUUCCCACAAUAGUAUAUGUUCCCUGCAUGUGAAGUAAAAAAAGCUGAGAAAAGUUAGAGAAAAUGUUCUUCAUUUUCCUUGCUUGCUAGAAAGCUAGGUAGCAUCGACACUUCAUAUUGAGGGUGUGUUUUGCAUCCGACACAAGCUGGUGCUAGACAAUAUACAUACACAUGUGAUUUUAUUCAAUCAUUUGUUUUUUUCUCAAUUUAUUAUUACUAUUGUCGACGUCUUACUGUAAAAUAUCGUGUUUGUGUUGGUGUGUCAUUGCUAGAAAGUAAUACACAUUUCCAUGUUAGUAUAUAACGGCAGAGGAGAAGCAGGCUAAGCACGUACAUAAUGAAAAUGAGAAUGAAAAUUCAAAUAAUACAUUUGAAAAAAUUAUAGGGGAUGGUCAAAGUUCUUACGGUUUUUUUUGACAAUACAUGCAGCACAUCGUCAUGAAACCACAAUCGCAUAUCUUUGAUUGAACUUUCACCAGCAAUUGCUCUUCCCAUGUCUCUGAGCAAAUCAUGCAUUCCAAGCUUGUUAUUCUUUUCGACUUUUAGGAGGCUGCGCUCUAUGAGAAUAGAUAUUCCAAUAUCAGCAUGAAGUCCACAUGCAUUAAGUAUCUCUGUAACAUCAGCUCUGUUCUUUCCAAUCAAGAAACAACAUAUGUCAAGAAAUAUGUCCUUUUGUGUAUAAUCUUGUAAACCAUCAUAGCUGAUUCUCAAUAUCUGUUGCACUUCAUUGUUGGGAAUUUUCUCUAAUUUUGAUAGUGCACUUCUCCAUUCUCGGGUUGUCCUCUUUGAUAAGUAACUUCCAAGGACUUCAAGAGCCAGUGGUAAUCCUCCGCAAUAACCAACUACAUUUUUAGUGAGUUCACUAAAACUAUAUCUUGGAUAUGGUUUUUGAAAAGCAUGCCAACAGAAAAGUUCAAGGGACUGGUCUUCGUCCAUUUCUGUCAUUGUGAAGAUAUGGUCACCACUAAGUGAUUUGAGAAGGCGUCCAUCUCUAGUUGUAAUAAUCAAUACACUUCCCGAACCGAACAACUUAGGAUCUGCACACAGGUUUUUUAAUUGCUCAGAUGUGGUCACAUCAUCAAGUAUGACAAAAACUGUUUGUCCUCGAAGUCUUUUCUCAAUCUUAGUUAUCCCUGAGGCAAUGCUAUGAAUCUCUUGUUUUAUUUUCAAGAGAUCUAAAAGAAGUUGUUGUUGUAAAGGAAUAACCCCUCUAUUAUUAUUAUCACAAACUUCUCGAAUACUUUCGAUGAAACUUGCUCUACCCUUAAAUCUAGAACGGAUUUGAUUGUAGAUAGCUUUGGCCGUGGUUGUUUUCCCGGAUCCACCCAUUCCCCAUAUCCCUAUCAUACAGACUUCUGUUGAUUGAUGAUCAAUAAACUUGGUAAUUUGUUGCACACGGGAAUCCAAUCCAACCGGAUAUUCAGUAAUAGACAACAAUGAGAUAUCUAGUUUUGCCAAAGUGUCCUCAACAAUUUGCUUCACUAGUUCACCUUCAUUACUUGGGUAAUAAUAACAGUUACAAAGACAAAGAAUGAGCAUUAAUCAAUCAUGACAUAAUCUCAAAAGAAAUUACGCUUUAGUAUUGAUUACCUUACCUGAUAUUGUUGAGAUCCCAGCCAGACAGAUUUGAAACUUCAGUGAGUACGGUCUUCCACUUGGACAACAGUUCAUGCUCUCUAUGAAUUGCAUGGAGUUCAAAAAUUGUUCCAAAAUUACCUUCCAGCUUACGGACAUGCGAUGGGUCAACAUGGUAAAAUACGGGCAUAACCACCUGCCCAUAAGUAUGGCUGCAAUGCAGGAUGUGUACAAGUUCGUUAAGACACCAGCUAGAUCCUGCAUAGUAAGGUGAGAGAACAACGAUAGAUAUCCGAGACCCUUCUAUUGCUCUCUUUAUUUCUGGUUCCAGCUUAUUUCCCUUUCUAAGCUCCUUGUCGUCACGAAAAGUGCGGAUUGCUGCAUUUGUGAGUGCAGCAUAGAGAUGAGAAACGAAAGUCUUUCGAGUAUCCUCCCCUCUGAAACUUAUGAACACGUCAUAGAUCAAUGGAUGAUUAGAGGAAGAAGACAUUAUUGUUUCGAUCAAUUUUAACCAAGUCAAUGAUUAUACAAAGCACAAAUGCAGAAUGAAGUGUAAUAGUAAUGAGAUACUAUGUUUUUCUUGUGCUUGUGACCACUCACCUCACGUCGACCAAAGGGAGUCUCCUGUGUAGCUAAGGAUAGGGGGGGAAAAUAAAAAUAAAAAUAAAAGGAGGAAUAGUAUUGCUUUUUUUUUUUUUUUAAAUAGUCUAGCAUUUAGUUAGAGAAAUUCACUUUCAAAGUGAAUAAAGGGUAUGUUUGGGGUUCGAAUUCUAAUAUAUAUAUAUAUAUAUAUAUAUAUAUAUAUAUAUAUAUAUAUAUAUAUAUUAUCCUUAUUAAGUGAGUUAUUACACAUUUUUUUUUAAACAAUCUAAAAAUAUUUUAAUCACACUAAGAAUGAGCAUGAUUUGAUUCAUCUAAUACAAAAAAUUGUAGAAAAUACAAGUUUGACUAAAAAGUAUGAGAAAAGUAGUUAGUUUUAGUAUUGUAAUUUAUGAAGGUGAUUGUCAAAAACUUAUACUUUUUCUUUUUUUUCUGUCAAGUAGUUUAGUGGUUGAAACUCACAAGGAGCGACCCCAAGAGGGUGAAGAUAUCACCAUCGCAACAUAAAAAACACGGCAGCGUAACCCAUUCAAGCCUUGAAACCAUCGGAUCUGCAAGAACAAGAGGUGGACAGAUCUGCAAACAUCCAACCUGCUUGGACAGAAACAACCACGACCUUUGCAAAUUGACGGUAGCUCAAACAAAACGGCGACGAUGAAAGUUAAAACGCGGAGGUGCGCCGGACGCCGGAAGUAGCACAACCCACCUCGACUGCAAGAAACGGUGAUGCGAAGGAAGGAGGGAGAAGCUCCUCAUCCCACCACCAAGAUCACGGUUACAUCUUGGACGGGGAGGGUUUGGAUUGUGUAGGGAGGAAGGCGGCUGGAGGAUUUAGAAGAGAGAAGUUAAAGAGAAAGUUUUAGAGAGAGAAGUUACGUUACACCUCUAUAAUACUAUAAUGUAACAAUUUUACUAUAUGAUGAGGAUCAAUAUGGAGUUUUCUCUUGGCCCCUUGCGCUACCAUUGUUAGGCCACAAUUUCAAGAAUUUUCAAGUAGAGAAUUUACAUGAAUGAUCUCACAAUCACACUUACCCACAUUGAUUGAUCCUCGCAUAGAGAUGUCUCUAUGCUAUGCAUAACCCCUUAAGCAAGCUACACUAGAAACAAGAGUAACAUAAUUCAUAGGUGAAUUCUAAGGUGCACAAGUGAAACAAAUUUUACACCAUGCCACACAAUUACAUUAUCUAAGAGCAAUUACGAUAUUUUUAAGUUUUGUAAAGGAAUAAAAAUGCCUUAUGGAAUGCACCCAAAAAAAGAGGCUAUGUGAACAACAAAAUCAUAUAAGAGAACAAAAAUGCUACUUAGAGCGAAAAAGAAGUUCACGAUGAUAUCAUGGCUAUGCAACUAACUUAAGCCCGUAUUUAUUCCACCAAAGAAAAGAUCUGACAGUUGUUGUAAUUUCGUGAUCAAUUCGCGAUAGUGUUGUUCGCUAUAAACAGCAAUACUCGAUUACGAAAAUGCUACUUAGAGCGAAAAAGGGGUGCAUUAGUUUUGAACACAAAUUGUUGCAUCUGUAGGAAGGGUAACAUGUGGCGAGACCUCUAUUUUAGGCCAAUAUUUGAAAACCUAAAGCGAGAUUUUGGACCGUUUUAUCUUUGGACCGACCAUGAACAUCAUUAUUGAUCAAUACGAUACAUGGGUUCUCAAUACUAGUUCCACAAUCGUCUCAACUACACCAUUCUCAAAUUGAAGAAUAAUCCAUCUAAAAACAUGAAUGAAAGAAACCAUGUGAGUUUGGUGUGGGGCGUUGGAAGAUGUCUUUGCAGGCACAGAUCCAAGUUAAGCAAAUUGGGGGCAGUUGACCCCACUAACAUUCUAAUUUCUUCAUGAGUUUUUGAAUAAAUUUAAUUUUUUUCUUAGGCAAAAUUAAGUGUUGCCCCCAUAAAAAAAAUUAUUGAAUAAUGUAAGCUGUGAAGAAUGAAAUAUACAAUAAUGUGAAAGAUAUAUUAUUGAAUAUUUUUUUGGUCAUGCUAAUAAGUAUUUUUAACACAUUUUUUUUUUAAAAACUCGGUAUCUGGUCUAAGAAUUGACUAAUUCGAGGGGACCAACCUCACCGCCCACUUACGAGGGCCCCAUUUAAAGCCAAAACAAAGUUUUGUAUGGACUUGCCCACCGAAAUUGGCACCAGAUGGAAUCGAACAUAAGACCUUGAGAUGAGCAAACUCCAAGAUCUCAGGCCAACCCCAAGGCCAACCUCAAAUGGGUUAUGUGUCUUUAGCACAUUGUUUAAGGAAUUCACAAAAAUAAAUUUUAUCUUGUAAUUACAAGUCAAAGUAGUCUCAAAAUAAUAAUUAUAUCAUUUUUCAGACAAAAUUUAUUUACUAUAGUUGCUUAAACAAUGUCGUAAAGACAGUUGUUAAUAUUUUACAAUUUUGUUUUCAUAAUUUUUUUUUGUCAAUUACAAAGAAGAGAAAUAUUUUAACAGUGUUUUUUUUGAAGGAAAAUAUUUUAACAGUCUUGAAAAUGAAAAAAUUCUAAACAUUAAUAAAAUUAAAGACACGCCAAAACAAUUAUAUUUCGUAGAUACUUGUCAAAAAAAAAUUAUAUUUCGUAGAUAUGAAAAUACGUUCAUUAUGUUAGGUAUACAAUGGUAAAUUUUUAGUUCUUUCCAAUAAUAAAAAUGAUGUCAUCAAUUUAUUGUUCAUAUGUUGAUACAAAUUUUACAAAGAUACGUUCAAUAUGUUAGGUAUACAACAACGGUAAAUUUUUAGUUCUUUCCAUAAUGAAAAUGAUGUCAUCAAUUUAUUGUUCAUAUGUUGAUUCAAAUUUUACAAAAAUAUUUGUGAUAUAUAAUUUUUUCCCCAUUAACUGAAAAUCCUAGAUCCGGGGUCUUUGUCUAUCCAACGAGUGAAGACUAAGAUGAUUGUCCAUCCCGUUAUAUGCUAAAAAAUGUUAACCUUUUGGGAGUUUGGAGGGGAAGGGAGGGGAGGACUUUGAGGGGUUGGAAAUAUAUAGAAAAAUAGAUAAAAAAAUUCACAUUUUUUGAAAGAACAGUUUUUUAGAGAAUGAUAAACUAAUACUUAUGAUUAAUAUACUUUUAAUUUUAAGAAUAUUAUAACAACAUAGAUUGAAUUUGAAAAAUUCAUAUAAACCCUCUAUAACCCCCCAAAACCAUCCCACAAUAUAAUUUUCGAGUUCCCCAAAUGAGGGAGAUUUUUUAUUAAGAGUAAAAAAUUAAUCUCCAAAGCCUUCUCCUCCUAAUGUCUUCUAUUUCUUCCACUUGCUCCUUCCUUUUUUCCAAAACCCUCCCCUCCCCUCCCCUCCAAACUCCCAAACAAAGCCUUAGGUGCAAACAUUUAGCCCCCGUGUGAUUUAAUUUUGGACCAGGGCCAUAUUCUAAAAGAUAAUUUGACCAAAUAAAUAUAUAAAUGAUUUUGUUUUAUCUAAAAUCAAUUAAAAUACAUUUGUCCUUCUUUUAUACAGAACUAUACAAUUUCAACAAUUAUUAAAAACCAAAAGAGGAGCUACUCCAAACUAGUGCUCAAAGUUAGAAUAUAUUUAUUUCAUUUCAACCAAAUGUUUUUUUUUUAACAAAUCAAAAUGGAAUUAUAUUACUCAAACAACAAUUAUCACCCUGCACAAGGAGUGCAAAGGGGGAGCAUCGGGUAAAAAUUUACAAAUUUUUUCAACCAAAUGUUGUCAUAACAUUUUUAUAGCAUCAAUAGUGAGAAAUGGAAUUUGUUGAAUGAGAGAAAACAGAGACAUAAUAUUGUGAAACUGUGUGUUUUAACUAUUCAGCAAAAUUAUGUUUAUAGACUCGAGACAAUAAAUAACAAAUAAAUGAGGACGUUUUUUAUACAAAUGAAUGAGAUAUUAUUUCAAUUUACAUGAUAUUAUAUCCAUAAACAAAAAAUAUAAAGAUCCUAACAUAUUUUCAACAAAACUCUUACAAAAUUUAAAUAAGUACAUGUUUUGAAACAAACAACACAUUGAUCUCAUCUGUGUAUAUAAAGCAUAAGCACUGUCUGUCCACCCUCCCAAGAAAAAUAUUAGAAAACACAUACAAGGGAAUCCCGUAUUAGGACAAAGGCGUGCCCUAUCUGAGAUCUCAAUUCUGGUUCAAGCAUAAACAUCCUCCCACUCUCUUUGCAAGUUUUACAAAGAUUUUAUCAUUUGGCUUUGGUAUUGGCUCGCUCUUGACAGCUAUUGGUGAUUCCGUUUCCACAUCAGAUGAUGGUUGUGCUUCCACUCCAGGUGAUAGUUCCAUUACCACAUCAGGUGAUGAUUGCACCUGCACUUCAGGUAUUGGUUCAACUUCCAUAGCAAUUGAUGACUCAAUUUCCAUUGCAGUUGACUGAUCAUAUAUUAGAUAGACAGCGGUCUCCUUAGCAGUCAAUCCAUGCCCAAAAGCUACAAAAAUCUCCACAUUGUCACCAACUCCUAAAUUUGAUACUACACCUUCCCAAUCUUCAUCGUUAAAGGUCAUUACUGUGUCUCUCUUGUAUAUAUGAAUAGUGAAUUUUGUGUAAUUAAUGAUCAAGACACUAGUGAGACAUUCAGUUGCCAUGUUUUUAAGUGUAGAUGAAUAAAGAACACAUAAAGUUAUUCCCUUCAUUCCACAAUUACUAUCCUUGGGCACUUGAAAACAUACUGAUGGUCCCUCACAUGUAUAGGCUAACCAAGAAGGAAUAUUGUUACCCGGAAGGAACGAAGCACGAGAAUCAUUAGUUGCCAAUCCCUGUAUAAGAACAUAUGCUUAAUUAUUUAUGUAAUUUAUGCAUGUAAAUGGACAUUUUGUACCACUUAUAGUGUCAAAAUAAGGCACUGCAAAGAGAAAAAACAUUCAAGGAUACUCAUUUACAGGAAACAUGCAAUAGUUUUAUAACACACCCAUCAAAUGUCAAACGUUAGAACAGAUUUCAGCAUUUAUAACAGCUGAAAGACUAUUUUGUAAAACUGAAGUGUUAAGCACAUGUUUAAUUAUAAUAUCCUAAUGGUGAUUUUCUCAUCUUAUUAUUAAACACUCGUUCUCAUCUUUUACUUGCCAUUUGAUUCGUUUGUUGCAUUUGAAUCCCCAGACAUUUGUCAUAUUUGCAUUGGAUCACUCCAAUUCACUCAUCAAUAAUGUAUCAUAUUCUCAAGCUGCUUUGAGUCUCAAUGCCACAUCAGCAAACAAUCUUCCAAUUUUUAUCCUAUUCUAGUUCAUAAUUAUUUUUUAAAAGCAUUGGGCUUCCAUUUUCCUAGUUUGUUGUCAUGUCCUUUAAAAAUAAAUGGAAUUCAUUUUGAACCGCGGCUGUGGUUGUGAAACAAGAUUAUUUUGAACUUUUAGUAUAUAAUAAUAGAAUCGACAAAAGAAAAAGGAUGCAAUAAAUUAUUUUGCUUCUAUGUUACACGGACCCUAGCAUUUAUAUUAGUUUAUCUUAUAGAUAUACUAGCAUUUAUAUUAGUUUAUCUUAUAGAUAUACUUGAAUAAAUUUCUACCUUUCAGGAAACAAAUAUAAAUGGAAAAACAUUCCAGCAUGUCUUAAUAAAAAUAAGGGAAGUAAAGGUGGAAGGAUGGAUAAAUAACCUGCGAUAAGCUCUUGCCAAGAGUCUCGUUGACUUUGUGGUAACUUCCCAUUCCAAUCAAAAGAGAUUGCAAGGAAAGAUCUGAGAUUUGUGAAGCAUGUGAUAUUUCCAACUCUGUAAGAUCAUUAAGAAAUACUUUCAAUUCUUGUUUAAGUUGAAUCUCUGAGUGACAUUGUACCGAAACACAUCUAAGUUUUGAACAGCUGCUAAGUAUCGGUGAUUGAUAGACCAAACCCAGAUUAUCACUAUCAAUAUUCAAGGAAACAAGAGACAUUGAAAUUCCACCAAAAGAGGGAAUACGUGCUAAGGAGUUCAUUGUUGGUGACAUCCAAGACCAAAUGAUAGAAGGAAAAACAUCACGUGAUAAUCCUUGAUAUCCACAUAGAGAUAUAUGGGUGAUGUUCUUUGAUCUAACAAUCGAAAAAGGCACUUGUUUGACACCAGCAUUUUCUGCAAUUAGAGUUGUCAAGGAUUUCAUUUGCACUAUAUCUUCUUCCAAUUUGACAAUCUUUGAACAACCAGAAAGGAUGAGAGUUUUCACUGAUCUCAAUCGAUAGAUCUCUCUUGGGAGAUUAACAAGACUUGCACAAUCCUUCAAAUUUAUGAGAAGAAGAUUCUUGAGAUCUCCAAUGGACGGGUGUAUGUCGGAUAAACUUUGACAAUCCUUCAUAAUGAGUUUUUCUAGAUUCGGUAAUUUUGAAAAGUCAGGGGUUCUUUUCAAGUGCUUGGAAUGACUGAGAUUGAGAAUUUUUAGCUUAUGCAACAACUGCAAGAAAAUAAUUGUUUAAAGGAAAAGUUAGAGGAAAGUGGGGAACGAAAAGGUGGCGACAUAUACUAUUGUGAUCAACCUAAGUUUUAAAAGAAAAUGCUAUUAUACCUUGGUUUCCUUCCAAACUUGUUUAACAUUGCUAUAUUUUAAUUCAAAAGCAACGAGAUUUUCCUGAUCAAAGUCGUUGGGUACAAAGUUGAAGGUAGAUCGUUGCCAAUUGACCCAUCUCAAUUGUUUGGAAAGAUACCCAAAAUCUCCAGUGAGGUCAACACGAUCAAGUUGUAAAAGUCUAAGUUUCUUCAUAUCUUGGAAAGUAUUAGUACUAAAGCUACCUCUGCCUGUUCUUUGCAAGUUAAAAAUCAGUGCCUCAACAGUUUCUGUUCCCUGCAUAUGAAGUAAAAAAAAACUGAGGAAAGUAAUGGGAAAUGCUUUUUGUUUGCUUUCUAGAAAGUGAUGCAUAAAACGGCCCAAGCACACUUGUAAUGAAUAUCAUAAGGAAAAAACACUAGGAAUAUGAAUCCCACAAUUUUCAGCCAAAAUAUUAUGAAGAACAAAAACAGAAACAAACAGAAUUUUAUGAUGUUGAUAAGAUUAUGCAGGAUAAUCAAAAGUUUGAAAUUGAAUACGGAGAAAGUUCUUACAGUAUUUUUUGCCAAAACAUCAUGUACAUCCUCGUGAAACCACAAUCGACUACGCUUCCCAGGUUCUCUUGCUGAACUUUCACGGACAAUUUCUCUUCCCAUGUCUCUUAUUAAAUCAUGCAUUCCAAGCUUGUUAUUCUUCUCAACUUUUAGGAGGCUCCGGUCUAUGAGGACCGCUAUUCCAAUAUCAGCAUAAAGUCCACAGCCAUUUAGUAUCUCUGUAACAUAGGCCCUGUCCUUACCAAUAAAGAAACAACAAAUGUCAAGAAAUAUAUCCUUUACCAUAUCAUCCUUUAAACCAUCAUAGCUUAUUCUCAGCUUCUCGUGCACUUGAUCAUUGGGAAUUCUCUCUAACUUUGAUAGUACGCUUAUCCAUUCUUGUUUUGUCCUCUCAAAUAAGUAGGAUCCAAGGACUUCAAGAGCCAGUGGUAACCCUCCACAAUAAGCAGCCACAUUUCUUGAGAGUUCACUAAAGCCUCCUCUAGGACUAGCUUUUCUAAAAGCAUGCCAAGAGAAUAGUUCAAGGGACUCGUUUUUCUGCAUUUCCUCCAUUUUAUAGACAGAGUCAACAUUGAGUAGCUUAAGUAUGUGUACAUCUCUGGUUGUAACAAUUAACACACUUCCAGCACCAAAAAAUUUAUGAUUUCCGCAUAGGGCUUUUAUUUGCUGAAAAUCAGUCACAUCAUCAAGUAUCACGAGUGCUUUCUUUCCGGUAAGCUCUCUCUGGAUCGUAGCUGUCCCCGACGCAAUACUAUGUAUUUUCUCCUUUGUUUUGAGGACAUCUGAAAGAAGUUGCUGUUGUAAAUGUAUAUGCCCUUUAGUAUCCUUUUCACAAACUUCUCUAAUGUUUUCAAUGAAACUAGUACAAUCAAAUCUACGAUGAAUUUCAUUGUAGAUGGCUUUGGCUACAGUUGUUUUACCUGAUCCUCCCAUGCCCCAGAUCCCUACCAUACAAACAUCGCCCGAAUGUUUCUCAAUCACCCCAACCACUUGCUUUACAUGGGAUUCUAAUCCAACUGGAAAUUCAGUUAUAGACAAGGUUGUGUUGUCGAGUUUUGGCAAAAUGGCCUCAACAAUUUUUUUCACUAAUUCACGGUCACUCCUACAAUAUAAUAAUUAUAAAACAGACAUAAUGAGCAUAAAUAACCAAAGACUAUAUAGUAUUAGGCUCAAAGUAUAAAUAAACACAUAAAAACUACAUCAAAUAAACAAAUUGGCCCUUGAGAAAAAUUCGCCAACUUUGUCACAACCCGGCUUUGGAUCGUGAAUGACGCACAAAUCACUCGCGUAUGUGAAGUCUUAGCUAAGGCCAAUUAUUAAUCAAGUAAGAAAUCUAACAUUAAAUUAUUAAACCUAUGUAAUUUUUAAAAGAGUUCAACCAAAAUUUCGACAAAACCUCUCCAAAAAUAUGGACAUCUCAAAAUUUUCGAACAACAAGUAGAUCACAGAAAAACCAGUACAGUAUAAUAAGAUUUCUUACAUGCCAAACAAAUUCUUACAAGUCGGUACAAUUUUUUAUCUAGAUACUACAAGUCUCUUUUACAAUGUAACAAAGCCACCUACAGGUCUCAAAUGUUGGUCAAAACACUACCCAACAUGACUAAAAUACCACUAAGACACUUUGGCAAGACCAACUUUCGAGCUUAUACCAGAUAGCUUAUAAACUCAUAUAACUAAAAUAGAUCUGUCUGGUAACAUUUUUUUCUCACAAGCUUAUAGCUUUUUCCUACUAGCUCAUACCAUUUUCUAAUAAGCUACUUUAAGUAGCAUUUGAGGUUAUGGCUUACAAUUUAUCAAAAUUUUCUCUCAAAUUUACCCUUACUAUAUUAAUUGAAAAUAACUAAAUAUUAAUUAAAACAUCAUUUAAUGUAAUUUCAUAUUUAUCAGCUAGUUCAAUAACUAAUUUUACUGAACAUUACAAAUCCAAUUUGUUAGUUUAUCCGUUAUAAGUUCAUCCACGUCAGCUGGUCUAUCAGUUAUCCGCUAUCAGCUAGUCUAUCAGUAUCCGCAAAUUUUUAGCAAACACUACAAAUUCAAUAUGUUCUGUUAUAAGUUCAUCGGCUAUCAGCUAGUCUAUCAGAUAUCCACUAAUUUUUACCAAACACUGCAUGUUCAAUCUAUUAGCUUAUCACAAAUAAGUUCAUAAGUUCAUCAUCUAUCAGCUAUCGACUAAUUUUUACCAAACCAAGCCUAAUUACACAAGCAUUUGAGAUUUUGAAGUAACAUAUUAGUACUUUUCUCUUUGCUCAACAAAAGAUCUUUGAUUAAGCUACCUGAAAGCGCUUCCAUCCCAACCAGACAAAUUCGAAGCUUCCGUCAACACUUUUCUCCAUUUACCCAAUUCCUUCACCAUAACUUCCUCAAUAAUAUACCUACUUUUCGCGGCAACUUCCAAAGCUUUACCAAAAUCACCUUUCUGAUGCCGUACAACAGAAGGAUCAACAUCAUAAAACACUGGCAAAACAACAUGACCGUGAAGUCUACGACAUUCCAUGAUCUUUUCCAAUUCGUUUAAACACCAACUCGAUUCAGUGUAGUUUUUAGAGAAAACGAUUAUGGAUAUGCGUGAGACUGAAAUUGCUUGGAGAAGUUCGUGUCCGAUAUCUUCGCCUUUUUCGAGCUUUUCGUUGUCAAGGAAUGUGUUGAUUCCGGCGUUUGAGAGGACUGCGUAGAGAUGAGAGACGAAGGUGCGACGAACGUCUUCGCCUCUGAAGUUGAUGAAUACGUCAUGGAGAUAUUGUGGAUUUGUGGAAGAUGAUGAUGAAGAUGAAUACAUUGUGAUUUGAGUUAUGAUUUUGAUGGAGGAUGAGUUUUUUGAUGGAGUCAACGCUUGCAAGAAGACUAAGCAAGAAUGUAUAUAUAUAUAUAUAUAUAUAUAUAUGAACAAAAAAGAUAUGUGGUGUGUGUGAAGAAGGUGAGGGUCAUUGAACAAAGAUAAGUGCUCUCAAUCUUUUUUAUAGAAACACUAGUAUUUUUUAAAUUUAUUUUAGGCUUAAUUGCAAACCCCUAUCUUUCCAAAAGUUGCGGUUAUGGACCCCUAACUAAUUUAAAUACAAAACAGCCCCCUAUGUUUUGAUUCUUUGGCAGUUUUGGACCCCCAGUCCAUUGUUGACUCGGUCAACGCUGACGUGACACCCUAAAGUGAGGUGCCACGUGUCGAUAUGUGGUGUGUGUGAAGAAGGUGAGGGUCAUUGAACAAAGAUAAGUGCUCUCAAUCUUUUUUAUAGAAACACUAGUAUUUUUUAAAUUUAUUUUAGGCUUAAUUGCAAACCCCUAUCUUUCCAAAAGUGCAAUUAAGCCUUUAUUUUAUUGUAUUUUAUUUUAUUUUAUUUUUAGUUUUAAAUAAACUAAGUUAAACUCACACCCUAUGAAGAAGAUAAAUACCGCAGAUUCAAACAUGCAUCAAAUAUAUAAACUCACACUCAUUUGUUACAUUUUUUGUUAGGUGUUUGGGUUCGAACUCGGACCUUGCAUAUAUUGUUAUGCAUUAUCCUUAUCAACUGAGGUAAGUUCACAGGGACAACUUAUUUAUUACAUUUAAAAUUGAUGGUUGAGUAAACAGUCAUUUUAGUGUAAGACAUUGUCAAUAUGAAUCAAAAUUAUAAACACAUAUCUAAAUAUGUCAUUUUGAUUCUCAAAUGUGCUUUGAGUUAGUUAGUUAGUGUAAUCUUCAAAUGUAUUUUGAGUUGGUCAAUUUAGCCUAUGUAACGUUCAAAUGUGUUGAGAUAAUUAUAUUUGAGGUGUGUUGGACAUUGUAUGUGAAUACCUCUAUAAGUUAAAAUUUGAAUAUUGAUUCAUCAUAUUUUUAAAAGUCUAGUCUACUCUGCUUAAUCCAACCCAUGUUGUUUUUAUCGGUUAAUUUAGUUCAUAAAAUCAUUAACAAAAUAGGAGAUUUGAAAAUGUGUUUAUAAUUUUGAAACAUGACUAUAAUGACAGUGCAUCAUACUUUCGGAACCAAAACCAAAAUGACUAUUUAACCAAAUUGGUUCUUAAGUUGUUGAUGAGUAUUGUGAAGUCGGUGUCAUGUCCAUUAUCAGUUUUUACUAUUAAGAAAAAAAUGACUUGAUGAUGAAAAUAAAUGGACUCACUUGUAAUUGUUAUGUGGUUAAAAAUUAACACUUAUAUUAGAGUUAUUUAACUUAUCAAAUAUCAAAUUAAGCCACUAGAAUUUGAGAACGUCCAAUUAAGAUCAGACAGUUUAAAUUAAAACCUCUAAAUUUUAUAUUAAAUAAAGUUUAAAAAUUGUCUUACAAUCAAAGUCGUUCUACCUUAAUCGUAUGGUUCUAAAACACCUUCAUACACAUAUCUUUGAAUGCAUCUAACCAAUUCCUAUGGUGACUACUUUUUAACAAGGGUCAUAUUCGAAGAUAAUUUGACCAAAUAAAAUCAUAAAUCUAUUUUAUCAAAAAUGAAUUAACGUAAAUGAUCGAAAAAAUUGUGGUUACUAAAAAGAGUAAUGUGGUUCAUAAAAGAAAAUUACAAAUAGGUAAAUAAAACACAGAGAAAAAGUAAAAUAACAGAAGUCAACCUUCCUAACACUAGAUGUGUUUUAGAAAGGAGAAAACAAUCUCAUAGAUAACAGCAAAUUGGGAAAAAGACGAAUGUUUUUACUGUGACAUUGUUGUCAAGUACAAAAGGACAGUUAAUGGAUAGUAUUACAUAGAACAAUGUUAUUUGAACAUCAAUUUGGUUGACAACAACAUUGACAGUCAUAUUUUUACAAAGAAAAUCAUGUAUUGGCACAAAAACCAAAGCAAUAGAAAAAGAAAGUAAAAAUAUAAUGUGAGUAUGAGAGAGAUAAAAUUGUUAGGAAAUGGUUGCACAAAUAUAUUUCUCUAUUACAUAUGUGUACUUUCCCAACCCCUAAGACACUCCUUUCUAGAAGAUCACUUUCGACUUGAUCAUAAUGUAACAACCCAUUUUGCUUCCAUGUACUGAAAUUUAAUUUGAUUGUGAAUGCUACAAUGUCUGAAAAAUAUAUCAGCUCAUCAUUAUUCAGUCAUAAAUCAUGUAAGAGUAUUAAGUUAUCUCUUUUUUGGAUAAAAUCCACAUGAAUGAUGUAUGCUCCUACAAGAGAUAAUCAUGAUCGAGAUCAACAGAACAACAAGUUAACUCCGCUCUGAGAGAAUAUUUUUAGCAAAAGAUCAAACCAAGAACCUAUCACCAAAUAGUAUAUUUGUACAUACUGUUCUCACUUUCAUGCCUAACAUGCUUCAUCUAAGCCAACCCCAUUGAAUGAUCAAAAGUUACCUAAACAUUCACAAUUCGAUUUCAUAGUUCUAUUUGCUUCCUAAUUUAAUUUGGGAAAUGAGACUGAUAUAAGCAUAAAUAAGGAUUAGUUCAUUGUCAUUUGUAAUACCAACCAACAUUACAUCCAUAUCAUGAUAUCAAUAUAAAUUAUAAAAUUUUAUUAUUCUAAGAAUUUAUUUUCAUCUCUGUACCUAAAGGACUAAUCCCACAACUUCAAUGGUGUAAAGAGAGGGCUAUGUACGAUGAACAAACAUCUCAAUCCUACAUUAUUUCCUCACUUCAAAACUUAGCAGCACAUCUGUAACAUAAAACUAAUCAGAAAAAUCUUCAUUAAGAAUUAGAUAGGCAGAGAAGAAACUAACACCAAGAGUCAGAAAAAUAAUUACCACAAAAUAGAAAUCAAAUUCAGCUCUAAACUUAUUUCAAAGCAUAUAAAAGUAGUUCAGAAAGGGAAUCCUCUAGUAGUCCAAUUCCUUGAUGAAACUGCUAAUCUCUUGACCUGUUUUGUCCUUUUAUAAAAUUCCAUUAACUCAUCAGCAAUUUCCUUAUCAUGGCAUCUGACAAACGUAUUGAAAAACCUCUCCUCGGACAUCCUCAAUGCUCUAAGUAUUGAGGGUGUUUUCAUAUUAGAAUCCAUAUUUUGUACCUUCAUUGCUAGAAGCACUCUUGGCUUCAAAACAGUCUCCAUAUUUGAAAACAACAGAUAUGGGUACGUAAAGAUUAUGUUAGCUUCAAGCUUCAUUGUGCCUAAAAUGAAAGUCAUGUUCCUUUGAACCUUAUCAAUUGACAAUGUCAAAAUAUUAGGAGACUUCCCAAAAAGACAGAAUAUUUCAUCAUCCGAAAAACCAUACUUUGUAAAAUUCAACACCUUUUCGCGAAUUGUUUCCACACGAGAGAUGCCUAUUAAUGUCACCACAUAUUUGUACAAUUUCGAAUCCUUCGAAAGUCCAAUCCUACUUAUAUAUUCCAUCUUCUCGUCGUCAAAGGAAGUUCUCGAAAUAACAGUCGGUCGCAGAAUCAUCAUUUGAACCAAGUCCCUUUUCGGUACACCUAACUCUUCAUAUUGUUUAACAAUACGUUCAAUGUCAUAGCUAUUUUCACACAGCAAUGAAGGGUUUCUUGCAAUGGCCUUAUGAAGCAUUGCCUUUGAGUCAAACACUGACAUAAGAGAGUCAAGCCUCUCGUCGAAAUUAUGGUUAAGCCGAGUCCUGAAAAAUCGAGGCCUACAAUUGAUAAUCUUUACAAGCUCAGCUGACCCUAAACCCAAAUCACUGAGCAAGCGAAGUUUCGACUGAACCUGAGAAGGAUCUGCAUUGCGCAAAGACGGGCAACGAGUGAAUAUUCUCGUCAAAUCAUCAUCACCACAUCCCCAUUUACUCAAAACUUCAGUAGCAUCCUUCCAUUCAUCUUUAACAUUUUGCAGUUCAACCUCAUUUUGAGCUGGGACUUUCGUCGAAUAGGUGGCAGGCGUAAAAACUGGGAAAACUUUUAUAACUGCUGUGGUGAAUGUCAAAUGGUGAAUUUUUUUUGACCCAAUUGAAAGAAACCGAAGCAUGAGUGAAUGUUGUAAUCAAGUUGAAAAUUUGGAACGAGAUUCAGUAAUUCCAACGAAAAAGCUUGAUGACACAGACAAGUUUCUUCGAAGUUCGAAUGAAUAAGCUAAGGAAGGAAAAGGGGGAUAUUUCACAUUCCCAAAUCGUUAUUACGAAGAGACUAGUCUUUUCUCUAAUCAAAGGUUUUGUGAAUAAAUCAUAAACUGAAUGCAAAUUAUUGCCUUACCUUUGACCUAGUUUGUGGUGCAGUUUAUAUCGAUUUCGAUAAGAAAAAAGUUCAACUGAUAUAAAAAUACGAUUAGAAAUUUAAUAAAGAGUAAAUAUUGAAAAAUUAAAAAUCAAGAAAUAAUAUAUUAAUUAUUAAUAUAACGUAUUAUACUAAUAAAAAUAUAAAUACAUAUUUAGAUAUAUGUAUGUGGUUUGGUUCGAUUUUAAAAAAUUAAUCUAAAAUGUGAAAUUGUUAUAUUUUAUUUUUGCAGGGCAAAUGUUAUUAAGGUGAACAAUAUGUUACUGGAUUUAAGGACCUGUGAAGAAGCUUUUGGUCAAGAAAUCAAGUUCAAACACAUACUUAGAUAUGGAUUUCAUGUUCAAGGAAGAAAAACAAUUAUACUCCGUUCGGUUUCAAAUACACGGCCGUAUCUAAGGCAGGGCAAAGAGGACGACCACUCGGUUGAACACAUGAUUGGUCUUCUAGAAUUUUCAAGCCUUCAAUUUGGUCAUGGUUGCAAAGAAAUGAUGGAAUUUUAUGCAUAAACAAAAAUUCUUAGUUGCUAAAAUUUUAAAACCUAGGUAGCUUCCUUGCUCCUCUUUACUUGAAGCUAAUCCUUGUUAUAUAAUCCUAGUCAUGCUAGGUGUGGUAUUUAGAAUUCUAGACAUGUGCUUUUACAUGGUUGUUGUAGAUGAACGAUUGGUGAUGAAAUUAUAAUAAAAGUGAUGGCUGAUACAUGGGUGUAAUCUCCUCAAAACCAAAGUGUAUAUGAUGUUGGAUGGAGAGAGAAUAUGUGAUACUAAUAAAAUUCAUUAUUUGUUUCUUGAUGAGAGAUUGUAGAAGUAUUCUAGAUCGUGCCUCUUUUUGAGUCAGAAAGAGUUGAUAAGCUAAAUUAUGUUGAAGAUCAAAUUGAUUGUUAUGUAGUUAAGCUUGAAUACAAUAGAAUGACGAGGGAUAUUUUGUGUAGUGAUAGAUUUCACGUCUUCAUGAGACCAGAAAAGUGUAUGGCAAAUCCAAGCUCCAUGAAGUAGUAAGAAAAAAUGGUUGUGGAAUAAUAGUUACUUGUCAGCAAAGCAAUAUAUAUGGCAAGCAAUUUAUAUACCAAAGAAGUCUACUUAUUUCUUGUUCCUCAAAUGUUUCUAAAUUGAAUAUUUCAGUUUCUAGUAUUGUUGCUGGUUUUCUUUACAUUCUAAUUUUGAAGUCAAGUUUUUUUUUUUAAGGAGACAAACAAAUAUGAUUGAGUAAAUAUGUAAUUAUCUUUUAAAAUUGUAAGUUUCGUCAAUUACUCCCUGACGUUAACAAAACUUUAAUUACCUUCUGAAAUUGCACAGCGUUAAUCAAUUUACCCUCUCCUUCAAAUUCUUAUGUUAGUCAACAUCACGUUUUGCAAAUACCCCCUGAAGUUUUGCACUUAUGUGCAAAAUGUUCCCCGAACUUGAAAAUUUAUAUUUUUUUUCUUAUAUUUAACUCAAAAGAUAUUAAAGACAAACAAUUAACGGUUAACUUUAAUAUUUUAAACUCUACAAUAUUGCAAUCCAAAAUUCACACUUAAAAUUCGCAAAAAGGUCUUAAUGAUGCAAGAAAAAUCAUCUGCUGAGAACCAAAAUGAAAAUCAGGUGAGUACCAAAAUGAAAAUCAUCUGCGUUAGUUUUGACGCAGGUAGAGGAAACCAAGUAGCAUAGUUCUUGUCAUUUCUUAAAUUAAUAAAAAAUACAUAUUUGUAUAGAUGCAAAUAUAUAUACGUUGAAUAUCCAAGAAAAUGAAAGAAAAAUAAUCAAAUGAUAACCUGUGGACAUCCAAGGCUGAAUAAUAUAAAAAGACUUGCUACAUACAAAAGCCAUUACUCACAAUUACUUUUUUUUUAGGGAAUCAUUACUUGCAUAUAUAUAUAUAUAUAUAUAUAUAUAUAUAUAUAUAUAUAUAUAUGAGUCAGGAUCUGUUGACAUCUGGUGUUAACGAAUUCGUUGACACCAAAUCUUAACCAUCCAUUUUAUUCAAUUAAAGGUCUAUAAUCGUUGGUUCACCGAAUAAAAUUAAAUUGAAAACAAAGCAUUAUUGUACUAUUUCUUUUCUUCUGCAAAAUUUGACGUUCUUCUUCACACCAACCCAACAGUAUAUUUGUUUCGAUCGCAGCUCCUCACCAAGAUAUUUCUUAUUUAUGUCAAAUUUAUUAAAUUGAUCGCAAUAGGAGUAUAAUAGUGAAUUUGGAGAUAUUUUGGAAGAGUUUGUUUUUUACGGUGGAAUUUCAUGAGUGCAAAUGGAGUUUCUAAAAUGUCGGUUUGAUGCGUUAUUGAAAUUGCAUGAUUUGAAAAUGUUGACGAAGGGUGCAAGGUAUAUAUGGAUAAGGAUACAUAUAAUCAAUCUAAUUGUUUUGAUAGAUUGAAAACCACCCUUCUUUUUGUGAAUAGAAUGAAAACCCUUUAAAAGUUAAUUGAAUUGGUAGUUUAUUCUAUGUGAACAACAAAUCCAGAAUAGAUGUGAAUCCGUAAUCCAAAAUUGAUGUAAAAAAAAAAACUUUUAAACUUUAUAUAUAUACAUUGAUUGAUUGGUCAAUAGAUCUUACAAGAAAAGCUCCCAAAUAUUGAAUUUUAAUGGAGUAAUUAUCUCAGUAGUUGAAUACACGUUGGGGAAUUUUAGUCACAAAUAUAUAUGUGUUGAUACGAAUGGAUUAUUAAGAUGAAACGGAGGUAGGCACAUGUAUUUAGAAAAGCAAAAUCAGCCCUAUCUUGAUUGAUUUAUGAAUUUAUUCUUUCAGCGGCAUCGUGAUUUCUAGAAAAUUGGAAACAUGUUCAUAUCAAACUUAUGAGUUUUGAUAAAAUUGAACCCUGUAACCUAGAUUGAAUUGCUUACAGAAAAAUCGAGAUUUGUUCUUUUGGAUAUUAAUAACGGCGAUUCUGUUUCUAUAAUUAAGAAGAAGAUUGAAAGAAAUGAUACAUAAUAAAUAGAAAUGUGGCAUUAUUAUUGGCCUUUGAUUAAAUAAAAUCAACGGUUGAAGUUUGGUGUCAACGAAUCUGCCUGGUGUCAACGGAUCCUGUCUAUAUAUAUAUAUAUGCCUUAUUUUAUUUUUUUUAGUUUUUUUUUUGCUUUCGCACCGGUUUCUGACCCACUAAAGGUGGACGACUAAUCUGACUCAUGCGUAGACGCAUGCGCACUGGCCAAGUGUUGUUCCUCCUAAAAAUCGAACCCGAUAUUCCCCAGAUACGUCCUUGGAAGGAGCUCCUUGCCACGGGAGUCCAAACAACUUGGUUUAUUUAUGCCUUAUUUUCCUUAUAGCAUAUCAAAAUUAAUGUUAUAUCAUGCCGUUAUUGCACCAAAUGCAUUUUCCAUUGAAACACCUAUCUGUGCUGUGUAUAUUAAGAAGCUAUAUUUACUUUUUUUUUUAGAAGCAGCUUACUGCUUCACGAGCUGCUCCAUCUCCAUGGCAGCUUCUUGAAACAUUUCAUACAACAAACAAUUACUGAAACAGAGAUAAGAAGCUAAAGUAAUGACAUAUAAAAAAAAAUAUAAAUUUUUAAGUUCGGGGGCAUUUUGGACAUAAGUGCAAAACUUCAUGGAGGGGUAUUUGCAAAACGUCAUGUUGACUAACAGAAAAAUUUGACGGAGGAAAUAAAUUGAUUAACGUUGUGCAAUUUCAGAAGGGGUAAUUAAAAUUUUGUUAAUUUCAGAUGAAGUAAUUGACGAAACUUACAAUUUCAGAACGAUAAAUACUAGGAGAGUGCGGUCAUUUCUUGAGAUACUCUCUAAUCUUCGAAAUUAUCCCUCCUUGUGUUGAGUACUAUAUGAUUUGAUUAAUGAUAUCACUUAAAUUGAAUUUGGCAAAAUAUAAAAUAGGAGAAAUAGAGAUAAAUAUAUAAGAUCUAAAUAUUUAGAUAUUCAAAGAAUAUAAUUGUAUUUAUAAAUGGAAAGAGUUUUAAUUUUAUCUUCCUUCUUUAUGAUCUAUCCUAGUUUCUGGGUAACCUCUUGUCAAAACAACAAAAUUGAUAACCUCACCAACAGAAACCCCAUGUCCAUUCGUGCUCGUUUAAUUGAAUGGCUACAACAAAUUGUGUAAUGCUCCAACAAUUUUUGUUUUCAAGCCAACUGUCCUCACAAUUUAGCAAGAAUUCAUUGUUGCUGGCACUUGUCGCACCAGAAAACACAUCUCAUUGUCGUUGUCAUAAUUGGGGACCACAUUAUCUGCAUUCUUAUUAUUAUUAAUAUAAAUGGCAUUUACUUGAUUAUUUUGGUUAUUCUCUCAAAAAAAAAUUGAUUAUUUUGGUUACGUUACUUAAUUAAAUAAAAAAGACCGCAACACCCUAUACUUUUCUAACAUUUUUUAUUUAAAUUCCCUCAGUGGUCCUAUACUUUUAUGUUACAUCAAAUAAUUGAAUGAACCAUUUGGAUUUUUCAAUCAGACAAAAUUUAAUGUUCAGGUCCCACCAUAUUUCUAAUGGUUCAGCAGCCUGCAUUGUAAAUGUAAUAAUCUCCUGUUCGAUGCAGAGAAUAGACGAUGUACAAUUGCCGCAUAUUAAAUCAUCUUUCUCCCAGUUCCAUCAUUUUCAUUCAACUUUCUUUAAUCUAAUAAUUAAAGUUACACGGUGUCUCAAAUCAAAUCCAUUUCUUUCCAGAAAUUACUACUAUAAUAAUCAAAUUAAAAUAAAAUAAAAAAUAUUAACAAAAUUUCAAACUUUAUCAUCAAUAACUUAGAGAACGUUCUUGUUCAACAAAAUAAGUAACAUGAGAACGUUCAGAUGAAAUGAAAUGAUACGAACACAAUUAUUUAUUUUAACUUGACUAAGGCCGUGAAUUCGAACCAAAAUUUGGACAUACGACAACUUAAAACCCUUAAAAGAGACUUUGCAGUCCACUUUGAAUUCACAAGCCAGAAAUAUUAAUUGUUGCAGUUGUGUGUAGAGGAUACUACUAUCAAUCAUUUGAUUCUGACAAAGGCGACGCCAUGUUUGAUCUCGGACAUGGCGUUGUCGAACCCGACUAAUCUGCAUUUAACGCCACUGAAAGAAGAAACAACAUCUGGAACCGGAUUUCCAUGAACCGGGUUCGUGGUCCUACGAUAAGGUCCAAACCACUUGUUUUGCAUGUACCGGUUCUUCCUCCAAGGAGGAAUACUCAACCCUCUACUCCUCAAACAGAGCUUCACAGCACCACACAAAGCCAAAACGGUGCGUUUCAGCUCCUCCGAAUUCCCGACAAAUAUUCCGGGAACGUAACUCAUAAUCUCCGAGUAACGGCUCGUCGGCCGAGCAAUUUCAAAUUGUACGGCGAAAUCAAGCUCCACGAAGUACCUAUUCUGCCACGUGGACGAUCCAGAUCGCAUUCGCACCACAUCAAUAAACUCGUGGUUCCCAGCGGUGAGUCCACCGGAGGAAUCCCACCGCGUCUUGCAAAUCGCCGCAUUGUGUCCUUUCUCACGCAAAAAUGACAUCACGUUACGGUUAUAAACCGAAACGCUUUGUUUCUUCAGAAAAUCGAAUUUCACCGCAGCUUCAGAAACAUGCAAUCGAAGCAUGUUCAGGUAAGAAUCUGCAUUAGCAUUUUCAGCACUUAAUCUCAGUAGAUCCUCCACCGAAUCCAUGGAAUCAGAAACCGAGUCAACUCGCUCUGAGUCAAAAUCGUUUCCAGUUGAAUCACACACGUUUCCGUCAUCUUCUUCAAGAAAACCAUGCACGAGCUCAGAGAGAGACGGUGAAGAAUCGCAUUCGCCGGUGCCAGAAUGUUCGCUACCGCUACUGACGUCGCUUAGUCGCCGGAGAUCAGCUCCGACGAGUCGUGCUUUGGCUUCGUCGUUGAACGGAUCAGUGACUCGUUUCUUUCUAGCAAAAUUCAUCAUCACUGUAAGAGAAAACGGGUUCGUGUUAUGGAUUUGGAUAAUUUGUUUGAGGAAGAAAAUGUGAGUUUUUUUUGUUGAUGAAUUAAAGUGUGUGGUUUUUUUUGGUUAUAUAGAUGAUGAUAAUAGUUGGAAUUUUCUAGAGAAUAUUCGAGGGAAAUUAUGGAGUUUAAACUUGUAAUAAUGAUGUAACUUUGAUUCAAUUCUUAUCUAAUUUAAUAAUUUGACUAAGAUAAAGUGUUGAACAAGGAUAUGCUAGGUAGGUUCGAAACGGGAUAUAGAAUUUGCAUGUACUAAUUAUAUAGAUGCUUUGGCAUAUUCAUUUCCUUUUUUGGGUUAUGCUAUGACAUGUGUGAGAGUGUGAUUUAAACAUGUGUGUGUAAGGGAAGGGUUAGUUUGCACGAAAUUGGCACGUGUGGAAUAAGACAGAAAAGUUGGAUAAGGAAGUAAGGAAGUGAGACCAAUAAGAUAAUCGCAGAUGUUUGAGUCUCUAAACCAUUUGAUUCGAAAUUCAUCCUUGAUUCAUAAGGCAAAAAUUAAUUAUUACAAAUGAUUAACCUUUUAUAUGAAUCUAAGUUAUUUCGUAUUAUUAGUGUUCUGCUACAUUUAAAAGUCGUAUUAUUCUUCACUCAAAAAACCCUACUAUGUCAGAGUAAAUGUCGAUGAUAGUUUAUAAACAAUAUUUGAACAAAAUAGUGAAUGAUUUAUAUCCAAAACCGACAAUUCUUCAAAAAGAUUCUUCAAAAAGAUGAUGUGCAAAAUUAGUCUUUACAAUUAUGCGUUUGGAUAAUUUAUUUUCAUAACAAAUAAAGUAAGGAAAAUGUGGGGACGUUUUGGGGGAUAGAGGUUGCCGUUUAGUGAUCAUGGAAGGUCGUUUAAUUAUGGGUGAAUGUUACAUUGUGGAUAAUUAUUUUUUGGAGGGCCCAAGUCAAAAGAAUUUGGUUUGCUUGUUGAUAAUUGUAUGAAUUAAUUAGUUAAUGUUAGAUAAGGAUAAGUUUGAUGAUAGAUUGAUGAAUGUUUUAACAGGAAUAUGCUGUUUGGAUGAGGAUUGUUGAAUGUUAAUAUUGUUUGUUUAUUUAUUAACAAGUUUUGGAUAUGAAGCUAGAAGAAGGGUAUAUACGUAGUCAAAUAAAAUGUUUGGAGUUUACUAAAAUUAAAAAAAGUUACGACAUUUUGGUAUUCGAUGGAUAUUUUCCAAUGUCCAUAACCAUACCAAUGAAGGAGAGUCACCAAUUAACUUAUGAAAGUAACGUUGAAGUUAUCUUUAGAUUACAUUUGUCACCGAAAAAAAAUGCAUAGAGAUCCAUGUGUUAUUAAUUUUAUCUAAAAUUUCACCAUUAAUCAUCUCUGAAAAAAAUAUUGAGCAAAACAAAACGUGUUAUGUUGUUGAGACCACUUUCAAAACUUUAUUUUAUGUGAAAUAAAUAACUUUAGAGUACCUACAUUUCGUAUGUUCAAACUUUGUAAUAUGGAAAAGAACACUCUGAUAAUCUCGAGUUCAAUUGUAAGGUAAAUAUAGCUGAUUAUGAUAUCCAAAAAUCAAAUUUAUGUUUUUCUAAAUGAUUAGUGAAAACUCGUUAACCACAUCAACACAAUUGUUUGAAUAGGUUUUGAUCACACCCAAAAUCUCAAGCAAAUGUGGGUACUCUUUUGAGCAUUUAUGAUCUACUUGCAAUAAUUUGAUUAAAAUUUAUUUUCCAUUUACACUAAUUUUUUUUAGAAAGAACUACAUGUACAUAUCAAUUAUUGUGAUUUGGAUGUCAAAAAUGUACACGUUCUAGCUCUAUCGAUAAUGUUGACACUAUGUGUAAUUCUAAAAUAAAAUAAAAUAAAGAGUUGUUGGCACUAUGUGAACAUAGUGGAUUGAUAUUUGCCAGUGAAUGAAUUUUCUUUCACUUACAGGAUGAUUUCAGAAUUCCAAAAUUUUAUAUUAUAUAUAUGAGAAAAACAAGUAAUAGGAAAAAAAACUCAAUAAAUAAUAAGAUAAAAAGAAAAAACAUGUCAUUCUAUUAUUCAAUUCAAACCUUUUUUUCCUUAGAAAAUUUAUUCAAUUCAAACUCAAGUGUCUUACAUUAUUUACUUAUCUGGUUUUAAGGUCAGUAUGUUUUUUACCUUCACGUUAUACAUAAUGAAAUUUUAACUUCCAUGAAAGCUAUAUCAUGGAUCGAAUGCUAGUGCUAGAUAAAAUUGCAUAGGAUAUCGUAUCAUAUUUGUUAUGUGAUAAUUCAAUCUUGGUUAAAGUUUAUUAGUUAACUAACUUGGAGAGUUAGUUGAGUUAGUUUCUAACUGUUAUGUGGAUUUCAAGUAACAGGUUGGUUAAGACUUAUUAGUUGAUAUACUUGCUAUACAAGCAAGCUAAAUGAGUGUAAUUCUCUCUUCUCUCUGAUCCUUCUUCUUCUAAAUAACUUGUUCCAACAAUAUCACGUAAAUCGGGAUAAUAUCUCAAAUUUUGUUCCAAAAAAAAAAAUGCUAACUAGUGUCGUUGAGGUAUCGGUUAAAGUACUAAAAUAAGUAAUUUUGUAACUAAAACUUGUGUAAUUAUUGCUAAGACAAAAAUAAAAACUUGCAUUUCUAAAACAUAAUUUCUACUAAUGAAUUUCUUAACCAUUACCCUUAAGGCACUGAUUAGAAGAAAAAAAAAAGAAAAAAAAACUAACUCUUGCGGUAUAAUUAAGACCCACAAUUUCACAAAUAAUGCUUGUUUUCUCCCAUUCAACAAGUUCUAUGUCUUGCUAUUGUUAGCCACAUGAUUGCUUAACUAGACAAUGUAUAGUGCUAUAUAACUGUUAGGAGGACAAUAUUUUGUGGAAAUGAAGGACGUAUGUUCUAAGUUCUAACUUUGAGCACUAGUUUGGAAUAGCUCCUCUAUUGGUAUUAUGUAAUUGUUGAAAUUGUAUGGUUUAGUCAAUAUAAAAGAAGGCCAACCGUUUUUUCAUUUACUUUAGAUAAAACUGAAAUUAUUAUAUAUUUAUUUGGUUCAAUUAAUUCACCAUGGGACUGAUGGUUGACACUUGGAUCCUGCUUUAUAGAGUGCGGCGGUCAUCGUUGUAUCAAUUAAUCACAACAAUGCACAAUAUUAUAAAAAUUAUUUAUACUAUCAUAUAAUGUAUAAUAACUUAAAUUGAACAAUUUGUCAACAAAUAAAACUAUUUUGAAGGAUUUUUUAUUUAUAUUCUAUAAGAUGGUUUAAAAUAAAUAUAAUAAUUAAAACUUUACGAUAUUGCACAACACAAAAAUAGAGGCAGGAAGGAAAAUGAAUGUUUUUCGCUUCCAUGAUGGUGUGUCACAUUCGUAACAGAGUUUUUAUGGCCAUAUCAAGGUUUUGUGAUGAUGGUAACAAAUGUUUUGCUGUGAUUUCUCAUCCUGAAAACAGGUAAUGGACCCGUAUUUAAAACCUUGUUUAUGAUCUAAGAGUGUCUGACGUGCGUUUAUGUCCAACAAGAUCGACACAUGUGAUUACAUUUAAUUAUAUCAUUUUUUUCAAAUACUACUAGUGUUCGUAUUGUGCUAGUGUUUUGUAGAUUACUAUUUUAGUUGUUAAAUUAAUAUAAUAUACUCCUUUGUUUGAGUUUGAACCAGGACCUCACACUCCUUAACCUUGACUCAAAUAAGUGGAGCUAUCCAACCCCAUAGCAUGAAAUCAAAGGGUAAACACUUAUUUUGUUUCCUAAAUGUGUCUUAUGUUAGUAAUUUUAGUGAUCAAAUUGACUAGCGGAAGACACAUUCAAUUGACAAACUAAUUAACAAAAGACACAACCAAACUGGCUUAUGAAAGAUGUAUAUAUUUCUGUAAGUUUUGAUAUAUUCAAAACCUAUUGUCGCAACACCACAACGUUUAAGAGCCAAAGGGAUUGUUUAAUCCGCAAUCAAUUUGAAAAUUUCAGGAAUUUUUAUUUCAGCUAUGUUGCCAAUAGCACGCUAUAGCGGUGUAGUUUGGCAGCGCUGCCCUCCACUUCCGCACCAUAGGCCCGAAAAGCGCCAUUGAGAGUAUCAUCACUAGCGGCCUAUAUUAGUGGUUAAAAAGCAGCGCCAUUGCGGCGCUGGUGCUAUCCCGGUACCGUUGUGAUUUGAUAUCUGCUAUUGCAAUUUUAGGGAAAAAUUCUCAAAAAUCCUGUUACCGUAUCUUUGAGUUUGAGUUCUGUCAUUGUUGCCUUGUAUUGACCAUGAAAAUAAGGAAGUUAGUGUCAUUCACAGAGAUAACUUGUGUAGCAAGUUAUCUUGUUAGUUAUCCAUAAUUAACUGUCAUAGCUAGAAUCUUGUAUAGCGUAUCUACAAUAGCUAUCAUACACACUCUUGUGUCCUAUAAGACAAAUAUGGUAUGACUUAUGAGAGCCUGGUUAUGUCAUCAUUGUUCUCCAUCCUUGCUCUAUUUCUGUGCAAAAGUUUGCACUGUCCAUCCUUUCUAUUUCUGCUCGAGUUCUUUUUUGGUUCGUUUCUGGUUUCGUUCUUCUCCUUCCUUUAUGUUUUUGCAUUGUUAUGUUUGUUUUUGGAAUUUAUGUUUAAUUUAUGUUUUUGACAACAAAGAAUUUCAGAGACUAAAUUGAUGGCUCUCAAAUUUUUUAAUGAAUAUAAGUGAUUCACUCUUUUAACCUAUUGACCAUUAUGCUACUUUAUUAUUGAAGCAAUCCCCAAGUUAGUCAUGAAAUUGUAGGAGUCGAACACUGGAUUUGAGUGGUUGUUCCAAUGUUAUCACAGAAUAGGGAAGGAAUUUAAAAUGGUAUACACAGUUCACCUAAUAGAUUGAGUAAACACAUGACCUUAGAUGUUGUAUUUGCAACUAGUCUUGUUGUGUGUGAUUCAAAAUCAUUUUAAUCUGAAGCUACUUGUUUCUCAAGAAAGUGGAAAUACAAGGCGGUUUUCUUGCUCAGCAAGUCUGUUGAGACGCAAGGCGGUUUCUUGAAGUGCAAGACAAAUAGAGCUAAUUUGUUGAUAGCAAAUGAUAAAUAUGGUGUAGUGAAAGUGAUGUAUUGUAAUGAAACAAUAAGACUUCUGAACUGUUAUGAAUCUACACCAGUUUUAAUGGAGUCUGGUAGGAGGCUUUGCAUUAGUCAUAUUAAAUUUAUCCAACAAUUCUUGAAUAUAAUCAUGUUGAGAUAAAAGGAUACCCUCCUUUGUGGGAAUGAGUUCAAUUCUCAGGAAUUAAUGAGGAUGGCCAAGAUAUUUAAGUGAGAACCUAUUUGACAGUUGUUCCAUUUACUGCUUUAAGAAUUCACUUUGAAUACAUGUCAAAAGAAGAUCAUCUUCAUAGAACAAAAGAAAGACAUUGUUGUUGUAAAUGAAUAAUGAGCAAAAGAAUAAGCAUAACAUGAGCAAAUUGUACAGGUUAAAGAUUCAAUACAAUUUAGGUAUCGCUUUCAAUAUGACUUAGUUGUUAAUUCGAAUUUUAGUAAACUCAAAAGUGAAACCGACUUUACAUUGUUGGACUCACGGUGAACUCAGUAAACUAAAAUAAACUUGUAGGAAAUUUUUAAAAUAUUUUUUUACUUUUUUUUUUCAUCUUGGAUUUCACAUUCUGUUUAUCUACUACUUUAUUAACUUGAUAUUGUUCAUGUUAGUUUUGUUGAAAUUUUGAGUUAUUGUAUUAUAUAAGUAUGUCUCAUAUAUAUUAUUUUAAUAUGAAAUAAACUUGUGAGAAUCCAUAAGUCGAGUUUACAAGUUGAUUUCACGUAGACAAAAUGAGUUUAUUUAAACUCUAGAAAUUGACAGCCUAAUUUUCUGUAGUAGACACCAAAAUUUAUAUCGCGUACAUUCAACAUUAAUACCUUCUUCCUAUUACACUAUAUUACAAAUUAGUAAGGUUCUGUUUGGUAAAAAUAGCGGAUAGCUUAUAAGCUAGCUUAUAGCUUAUAGCUUAUAGCUGAUGACUUAUUCAGCUAGUUGAAGUGUUUGGUAAAAUUAGCGGUUCAACUGACUUAUAAAUGUAAAAUAACAUAAAAGGACAUUCUUAUUUCAUAUUAAAAUUUAUAUUCAUUAAUAUUUAAGUAUUUAUAAUUUAUUAAUUUAAUAUAUUUUUUAUGCAUUAUCUUUAGAAAAAUAUAAAGAGUAUCUACUGAAAAAACAAAAUAUAAAGAGUAAAAGAUUUGGACGUAAAAAAAAAGUAUGGAAAUAAAAUAUAACGAGUUUAGUGAAUUUAAGUAAUAAAAAUAAUGUUAAGCCUAACCAAAAGAAUUUAAACGUCUCUACAUUUUUUUAUAUAUAUUAUGAUGUAGGUAUACUGCAGUUGCAUAAAAACAUAAUUAAUUAUAUCUAUUAUUACAACAAAGGAAGGCAAUGGAUAUUUAUAAGGUAAUUCUAUCUAUUAGUUAAAUUAUAAAGGAUAAAAAUGAAUUUUAGAUAAAAUAUUAAGGGUAAAAAUGGAAGAAAUAUUGAGAAGCUAUAAGCUCAAACGCUACUUGGAAUAGCUUCUAAAAAAUAGCUUAUAAGCUCGUGAAAUAAGCUAUAAGGUCAUGGUGAAAAAGCAUUACCAAACAGAGCUUUUUUUGUCAGACGAGCUUAUAACCUAUAAGCUAUAAGCUCAUUGUGGUGUCUUAUCAAAUAGACCCUAAGUAGUAGCUUCCAUCGGAUAUUUACCCAACCUAAUCAGCCCGCAAAUUUCAACCUUCAACAAUUGCAUCAAAAGGAGAAGAUGAGCACAAUAUAUUAGCAUGCCCCUACUGCAACAAAUUACGAUGUAAACUCCACCACUUGGGCAGACCUUAAGCUAGCACCCCUCCAAGGUGCAAUGGAGGUCACACGCCUAGACGAUGGGCCUUCUUGAUCACAACACCUGCCAGGUAAGUAUGCUGCAAUGUGUCACACACUUCUAUUUUAUAACUCAUGCUCCACAUUAUUCACUAUAAAUCUUCCGAUGUGGGACUUUUAUUAUUACAUUCUAAACACCAUUCAAGUGUCAGCAGUUCAUACCCUAGCUCACACAUUUGCCACUCCAUUAGAUCCAAAUAGACAAAGUAUGUUUAAUCAUAUUGCAGUUGUUGAAUCCGAUAUUUUUUGUUGAACUGAUAAUAUGCGUUACAAAGGCUAUGAAUAAACUUGGUCUCACUGAUGACUAAUUUUGUGUAGAAAAACUUCAAAUGUCUUACUCAAAAAGCUCUUGCAGAAACCAAUUAAGGAAUGUUUUUGCUCCUUGAUCUCCUAACUUUCCCUAUAUUUUCUAUUUUUCUAGAACAGUUAUGUAUAUCAUGUAAGGAAACCUUUUCUAGUGCCAUUACUAUACCUAUUUUUACUUUUGGGGUGUUUGUUUCCAGGUUAUAAAAUUUAUUCCUGGAAAUAUGAGGAUGGGAAUGCACUUUCCCAUGUUUGGUAGAAGGUAAAAGAAAAAUAUACCUGGGAACAAAUUAUACCCAGGAAAAUUUUUAACCUAUGAUCUCCCUAUUUUUAUUCCCAUGAAAAAGGAGUUGGAAUGUUUUAUUCCUAGGAAUGACAUUUGCCUUGCUACAUGAAAACCCCACUACCACCAUGUUUUUUCAACUACCAAUUAAUUUCUAUUUUUUUCUUUUACAUGCUCUACAUCAAGACAUUGUUAUAAUGCAUGUUAUUAUAUGUAAUUCAUCUAUUAUUUCUUUAUGUUCUUUUUGGUUUGUGCAAAAAAAUAUUUAUGUGUCUAUUCAAGUUUUCAACAAUAUUGUUCUAUUAUAACAAUCAACUAUAUUCUAUCAAUCAACUAUAUGAAAACAUAAUUUUAUUUCAUGGUGUAUUUUCAAAUGCUUCAAGUUAUAAUGAAAAUAAAAUGUAGUAAAAUAAAUUCAAAUUGAUUUAGAAACAAGGUAGAGGUAUUUUUGUAACUGUAUCAUGUUUUUUCUAGGAAUAUAUAUUCUAAACUAAACAACAAUUAGCUAUUUAUGGAAACAUUUUUUGAAAAUAUUCCUGAAAAAUUAAAAUACUAACCAAACACUUUUUUUUAAAAUACCCAGGAAUAAACUUCCCACUACUUUAUUCCCAGGUAAAUUAUUCCUGGGAUUAAUUUAUGAAUCCCUGAAACAAACGCCCCUUUGUGUUUGUUUACAUCUUUGUUUUCCACAAUUUAGGCUCAAGUCUCUGUCAAGUCUAACACUCCUUCCAUGCUUAGAGCCUAGAGGACCCAUUUAACUCUUGCGUUUGAACCACCUGGAGGUUUACAUAAGUUGAAUGGUACAAUGGUGUUUCAUGUUUACAAAUUAAAUGCAUAAUUGACACAUGAGUAACAUGAAACACCGUCGCACCAUUCAACUUAUGUAACAUGAAACUCCAUUACACCAUAAGCAGGAAGUCUAACACUUCUUCCAAAUUUACAAAUUAAAUGCAUAAUUUGGAUACACUGUCAUUCAGAGAUGCAACUAAAGCAAGAAUUAAGAAGGUUUCUUCGUGGUCUAUGUGAUGCAGAUCUUAAUGAAUUCGGAACAUCACAUGCAUCAGAAAUGUCGAAUCUUUUCUUGAGAUCUCUUAUGAUUGGAAUGGGAAGUUGCCACAUAUAUAGUCAUUGAUACUCUUGGCAAGAGUUUAUCACAGGUUCCUUCUCUAUCUUCCAUCUCAACUUUACUGAUAUUUAUCUUUAAUUAAGAGAAAAUAAAAUUACUUCCCUUUUUAGAUAAUUAUUAUAUCUUCUUUUUUUUUGUAGGAAAGUGAAAAGGAAUUAUAUGAAAGCAAUUACUUCACAACCUGUUUUCUUUGAAUCAAUUUCCUUGUUUAUAUUUUUCUGCGUAGUUCACUAUACACGGCUCAAGAAUGCGUCUGCAUAGCAUAAUUAGAAUUGCAUAAAUAAAUAAGCGUAUGUUGAUGAUCCAGGGAUUGACAACCCGUGAUUCUAGAGAUUUUUUCCUUCCGGGCAGCAAUUAUCCUUCUUGGUUAGCCUAUACCUGAGGAUAGUGAUUGUAUCAUGAAGGGAAUAAGUUUAUGUGUUGUUUAUUCAUCAACACCUGAAAACCUGGCAACUGAUUGAAUGUCUCCCUAGUGUCUUGAUCAUUAAUUACACAAAAUUCACCAUCCAGAUUUACAAGCAAGACACCGUAAGGUCGUUCAAUGAUGAAGAUUGGCAAAGUGUGUAGUAUCAAAUUUAGGAGUUGGUGACAAUGUGGAGAAUUUUGUAGCUUUUGGGCAUGGAUUUAUUGAUGCAAAAAUGGAGUUAUUACAAGCAGAGGAAGUGUUACUAUCACCAAAUGUAAAAACAGUGACAUCGCCUAAAGUGGAAGUGCAAGCAUGUCCUAAUGUGAAGAUGGAGCCAUCACUUAUUGUGAAGAAGAAUGAGGCAUUACCAAAGCCAAACAAAAAAAAACUUUACAAGACUUGCAAUUUGCAAAGAGAGUGGGAGAAUGUUUAUGCAUGAACCAGAAUAGUCAAUAGUCCCUUGAAUAAGCUAUCUAAUAUGUAAUAUUUUUUAGGAAGAAAGGGCAGGCAUAGCUUAUUGUAACAGCUCGAUUUUUAGCUAGAUUUAUUUUAAUUACUUUUAAUUGUGUUUGUGUGUGAUUAUUUAUGCUUGUGUGUAUUAAUUGUCGUCAGGUGCAUUUACGUGGAUUACCGUAUUAGAAGGGUAUUUUGGUCAUUUGGCGGGUAAGGGUAAAAUGGUAAUUUUGGUGAGAAUUAUUUUAAUAGUUAGUGAGAACCUUUAUUUUACUAAGUUACUAGUGUAGUGAUUAGUUUUUAGCGUUAGUGACCGUUGGUUAUAUUUUACCGUUGUUAGUAAUUACCGUUGAGUGUAUAGAAACUUUCUAGAAUUGUGGUUUGAAUAGAAACGGGUUAAGCCCACUAAAAUUAAGUUAAGUCCACUAGGGGGAUAUAACAUUAGGGUUGUGAGAGCAAAUUCAUUCAUUCCUUUUCAUUUCACUAAGUUAGAGAGAGGUAGAGAGAGAAGUGAGAGGUGAAGGAAGAACAAGGGUUAGAGAAAGGGAGAAACUUGAAGAUUGAAGCAAUUAGGAGCUAAAGUGAAGCCCAAGUUUGGAUUGAUCAUAACCUAAGGUAAGGGGGUUAGUCUUCAUCAUAAUCAUAAUUGUUUGUUUGCAAUUUUUCUUGGUUUGUAUGAAAAAGUGCUUAAUUGAGUGAGAAUUCAUAUGAACCCAAUCUCUAAUUUUCGUGCUCUUGUUUUGGUGAUAAGAUUGAGUAUGUUAAUUGAAUGAUAAAUGAAUUGUUGGUGAUGAAAUAACAUGUUCAUAAUGUAUGAAAAUGAGUUGUUGUGAAAUUAUGCUUAAUUGAUGACUUAUGACAUGUUGUUGUUGAAUUAAGGUGAGAAUCAAGUUUCGAUUGAUGUUGUUGUUGCUGAGACAUGUUGUUGUUUAUGAUUUAUGGCUUGGGUGUUCAUAUAUCAUGAUUGUUUGUGAGAAAUAAGAUGUUGUUGGUGGUUUUGUGAAAUUGGUGAAGUUGAGUUAAGUGUUCAUGUGAAGGACCAAAAUGAACUUUUGAUAUAUAUGGUUGUUGAUUGAAAUUUUGUUAUUGUUGGAUGAAUUGAACCUAGGAGAAUUUCUGUUUUCAUGUUGUGGUUAUGUUAGUUGAGUUGUUUGGGAGAAAACGGAUUUUUCGUGUGAAAUGUUGAUGUUUAAGCAUUUUCGCCAAUAAGUGAUUGUGUGAGGUUUUGGAAAAUGACUUUUGGGAUGGUUGAAACAUGAAAUUUUUGUAGAUUAUGAUAGUGUCAAGUGUUAGGAGCAUGUAGGCGAAAACGGCAUCGAAAACGGAUUAACGGUUUGAUUUUUAUGCACGAAAAAGUAGAAGUUGAAUUUUUGCAUAGUCUGCUACUGUCAAAAUCAUGAAGCGAUCUUACAAAUUGUGAGGUGAUUUUGACAGAAACAAUAAAUUUUCUGCAUAGCCUGAUGUUGUCGAAUCAUGAAGCGAUUUCGCAAAUCAUGAGGCGAUUUUGACAGCAACAUCAAAUUUUUCUACCCAGUCUGAUGCUGUCAAAAUCAUGAAGCGAUCUUACGAGUCAUGAAGCGAUUUGGCAGCCUAGAAACCUUAAAAAUGCAAUUUUCUUUGAUCCAAUUGUUUCCAAACUUAUUUCUAUGUAUAGGGACUUUAUCCUAAUCAUCUAGGGAUGUUUUUAUGGAAGAAAUAGCUUCGUAUUAAGGGCUUAGUGAGUCCUUUUGUUUUCUUGACUUUAAUGAAACAUUAUGAUAUGAAUCUUUGCAAAACUUGAAUUUAAGUGAGUUGGCCUAUGAAACGUUGAUGUAUACACUACUGCACUCAUAUGUGAUUUGUGUAUAUAGAUGGUUGAGGUCCUAGAGUUUAUUUAUUUGGUUUUAGUUCAUUUGUUAUAAUCAUGUAAAAGGUGAUAUUUCGGGUGGGAAUGUGAAAAGUUGUGAAAUGGGGUUUUUCAUACGAACUUAAGUUGUUCUUGGAUUAAUGUUUAAUGGUCAGGAGGCAACUUAAAUUCAUAAAUACAUGAUUGGUUAAGGUUGUUUGAGAACUCUCAACUUGUCUAUGUUGUUUUGUCUUGGGAAUUGUCAAUGUUGGCCGUUUGCCACUUGACACGUUCUUUGGUCGGAAAUGUUUCUUGAACUAAUUGUCUUAUGAAUUGUGGUGACUAUUCUUAUAUGGCUAAGUGAAUGUAUGAAUGAAUGAUUGUAUUGGAUAUGAUAUUUAUCAUGAGAUGUUGUUUUCCCUAUUACUUGGAAUAUGAGAAUGCUUGAAUUGGUGAACUAUAUGUGAUAGUUGAUGUUGAAUGACAUUGUUGAUUAUUGAUAAUCAUGUUGAUGGGUGAUGGUGAAUAUUAUGAUUUAUUUGUGUAUGGGCAUGUUUUCUUGAUAAUGCAAUGUUGUGGAGAUAAUCAAUAUAAUUGGGUGUCGUCCUAUAUAUUGAGUUGAGAUUGUGAAUUGUUGUCGCAUUAUCGAGUCCUUAUACAUGUCCAUGCAUCAUAGUCGUUGUUGCUGUAAAAGGGAUGACUCUUUUACUUCGAGAUUAUUGUAAGGCAGGUGUGAGCCCUUACAUUCGAUGUGCAAGUGGCAUCGAAAGGUGACGACCUUGUUGAGAUUUGGUACCACAUGCAUUUAUGUGUCAAUAAGUGCAUAUCAUAGCAUGAGUCCUAUGUGAAAUAUGUGAUUGGUGAUGAAAUGAGAUGAAUGAUUAUUGAUGAUGUUUGUGAUUGAUGAUUGUGAAUGAAUAUUUGUGAAUUGAUAUUUAUUCCUGAUACAUGUGAAUGGUGAUUGUUCAUGAAAUAUGAUUAAUGAUUUGUUCAUGGCUUAUGAUUGGUGAUUGUGUAUGAAUAACUGUGAAUUAAUUAUUAUUCAUGAUACAUGUAAUUGGUGAUUUUUCAUGAAAUGUGAUUAGUGAUUAUUCAUGAUACAAGUAAUUGGUGAUUGUUCAUGAAAUGUGAUUAAUGAUUAUUCAUGAUAAAUGUGAUUGGUGAUUGUGAAUGAAUAAUUGUAAAUUGAUAAUUGUUCAUAUGAUUGAUGAAUAUUGAUGUGAGAUAUCGGGGUGUGAUGUAAGUAUUAAUGUGUAAUUAUUAUUGAUCAAGUGUAUGAUGUUUAAAUUGAAAUAUUCAUGUUAACUGUUAUUUGGAUUAUGAUAAUGUAAUACUUACCCCCAGUGGAUCUGUUAUGGACCGCCUGCCUAUCUGUAUGGAUGGGUAGACGUUGUGCAGGUUUAGUUGCUUGGUGAGUUCUUGUGCUUGGUGGAUAUCUGGAGCUUUCUCCGAUAUCGGUGUUUAGAUGUUUAGUCGGCUCUGAUCUAGGCUUUGUUGUGUCGGUCUAGAUUAUCUUUUACUUUGGAUUUUGUGAUGUUUGGAGAUUACCCGUUUGUUGGGAUUUUUGAGAUGUAUCUAUGUUGAUGUAAUUUAUUGAUUCAUAACAUGUAUACUUGGAUUUACUCUGGUUUAUAUUCCGCUGCGACUAUUGAGGUUUAUAUACAUGUUUAAUGGUUUUUUGAAUUUUGAAUGUGGCGUAGCCUCUAUUUCUUGAAUAAAUGUAUUAUUCGCAUGUUUAAUAGCUUUAAUAGAAGUAGGGUGUUACACUUAUCAUUUAAAUACAGAUAUGAGAUCUAUGUGAUAUUGUUUGUUUCACUUAAUGUAUUUCUGAAAAUUUUGUUAAGACUAUAUUAGGAUAGUAUUAAUCAACUAUUUAUAAAAUAAUAAUAUUAAUUACCUAUAUGAUUUACAUAAUUUUUCUAAGCAAAAGCUGUAAUUUUUUGUUAUCUAAACUUGUUAAGAAAGUGAAUAUAGUAGUAAUGCUUUGAAACUUGUAUAAUCAAUUCAUUAAAAAUUUAAAAAAUACAUUUUUAACGCAAAAAAUUCUCUUUUAGAUUCACUAACAAGUAUCUCUAGAGAAUUGUUAACAUGACUCUUUAAAUAAUACUCUAAAAUAUUUAGUUAACAUUUUUCAUUUAAUAAAAUCAAUUAAAAUCAUGUAACUGGUCGGACAUUAUUAGUUAAAAAAUAACAUUUAAUUUGAAUUGAGAUUAAGUUGCCUUUUCAAUUUAAAUAAUUUUUUCUUGUAAAAAAAAAUAUUUAAAUAAUUUUUUUUCCCUUUUUAUUUGAAGAAUUAGGACUGGAUUCAACCCAAUGCUAUUGGGCCAGGACAGAUAUAUGGGCUAUAUCCUGUUUUGAAAAAUCGAAGUUUACAUUAAGGCAAUUGCUCUUCUCAUAUUUGUUUUUGCUCAUUCCCAUCAAAAUAGCCGAGCGUGAAUUAACUCAUAUGUACAUAUGCAUUUUUAACGUGAAUUAACUCACAAGUAUAUUUUUCAACGUAAGUUAACUCACGUUGUACAGAAAUGAGAAAAAACAUAUGGGAGAAGAACAAUUAUCUUACACUAGUUAGUGCCUUUUUUUACUCCAAGACUAUAUCACUUGAGAUUUGAAGUCUUAACCAUUUUCAUUAGGCAUAAUAAGCAAAAGUCAAAGCUCAAUAGAAAAUGUUUGCUGUUUUCCUUUUCGUAAUUGAUCACCAUCCAUAAGAAGUGUCAAUAUAAUUGAGAUAUCAGGAAGACACGUGAUAUCUUUGUUAAUCGGUCGCAAUUAGUAUCUUUGACUUCCAAUAAUCAUCUUAAAGUAUCUUCACGCCCUCGAGUGGACAACAUAACCUCUAGUUUCUACCCGAACUGAACUAACUCUAAAAUGAGUGACUCUAGCCAGGGGCGGUUUCACCGCCCGGGCUUGAUCGAUAAUUUUUGCACAUUAGACCCAACCCAAAAACCCAUUAACACACUUACAAAAAGAAAAAUUUGGGCAAAAUCUGAAAAUUCUCAAACGCAAAUAGGCUUGGAAAAGACAUUUACCUCCUAACUUUAUUUAGCACACUAUUGACGGGUUAAUUUUUCAAAUUGACCCUAUAAUAUACAUUAUGUUUGAAAAAUGACCAUGUAAAAUACAAAACACAUAUUCUAGCAUUGUAACUUGAAUUUCUUCUUAUUUUGGAGCACCCUAUAAUAUACGCAUAGUCUAAAAAUGUGACCAACAGGUUGAAUUUUUUCACUAUAUUUUUCAUACAUGUUUAGCACAUUAAAAUAUAGCUUUACACAAAAAAAAAAAAAUAAAUCUUCGACCAGGGAUAAAUUAAUUAUGAAUUUUUAUUCCUUCAUAAUUAGGAAUUUGUAUCUCGUUUAAAAACUACAAAAUUUAAUUGUGAAUGUUCUUAUCAUGUUCUAGUCAUGCCUACAUAAUUAGGGAACUAAAUUUGACUUGUGAGUAUAUGCUUACGCGGAACAAAAUUUCAGUUUUGCGCGUUUUGGUUGAAAAAUCAAAAUAAAUUUAAACGACUUUGAAAUGUUAUGAAACUUUACAGAUCAUUUUUAUGUAUUUUUAUAGAUGUCUCUGCCAAUAAUGAGUUCAAAAUUCGAUUUAGAAGUCGAGAUUUCCGUUGUUUUGCUUUUUUGAGUUUUUUACACUUUAAAAAUUCAUAAUUAAUUUGUUGUUUUUUGAAAAUUUAUAAUUUUUUCUUUAACGUUCUUAACUCGCCUCUAAGAAAUCAUGAAAAAAUUCAAUUUGUUGGUUGCUUUUUUGGACUUUGCGUAUAUUACAAGGUUAUAAAUAAUAAAAAUCUCGAAUUACAUGUUUAAAAUACAUGUUAUUUUACUACAUGGUCAAUGUUUCAGACUUCACGUAUCUUAUAUGGUCAAUUUCAAUUAAUAACCCUAUUUUAAAUUGUACUUUUGUUGACAAAAUGAGGAACCUAUUUUAUUUUCGAUUUAUGACUGUUUAUAUAUUAUGUCACAUGUGAAUUUGCGAUAAAUGAUUUGCCCUGACUCCAUAAAUUUCUUGGCUCCGGCACUUACUCUAGCAAUCAUAUCCAGGUUAUUUUCAUGGGAAAGACUCCCGCCACAACGUUGGUAAAAAUAGUAAAAAAAACAUACACUUAAGCAAUAAAUUGUUGUUAGUGCACAGUCUAAAAUAAUUUAUAAAAUGACGUUGUCGUGGUUUAGAUCUAACUCAUUAAUCAAUCAAAUCGAAGUCAUCAUCCAUAAGUAAUAAUACAAUGCUCUUUGGAUUGUCUUAUAAUUUUUUUAUAGAAUUGGAUUGUCUUAUAAUCGUAGUUAUACUAAUAAUUACGGAGUAUAAUACAAUAGGGAUAAGGGACACAUUAUAGCACCGACUGGAUUAUGAAAGUUUAAUUAGUACAAAGCCACUAUUGCUUGUUUGGCGUAUAGGCAACAUGCAUACAAAUACAAAUAGUCAAAUAAUUUAGAAUUCAAUUAAUUUUAAAAAAUCAAUUAAUUAUUGUUUUUAAGUUAAUUAAAGAAUUUGUCAUUGUCUAAUUAAAAAUGUUUAAAAGUGGAACAGCGUUAACAUUAAUUAAUUACAGUGAUUAAACUAUAAGCUAUAUGAUGAUGGCGGCAUAUAGUGUCGAAUACGUCUGUACUUGCUUUCUGUGUGGAAGCUGGAUUUUGAUUGGAGUCACAAUACAAUUGAAAAUUGUUGAAUAAUAGUUUAUGAUGGAACAUUUAAUUUAAUUAAACUAAAAGCUUUGACAAAGAGAAAGAAAAGGUAGAUUCUUUGAGUCAAUUUGAGUUGUAUUUCAAUUAAGGGAGAGAUAAUCAACCUCUUUUCGUCAGCUAUUUUACCUUAUACGAUUGAAAAGAAAUAAAUUUAUCUUUAAUUCUUUUUUGUUUGUGUGCAAAAGUAAAAGUUAUGCUUUCAUCACCAGAAUAUAAAGUGAAGAUACUCAAGUUACUUACAUUUUCACAAUAAUUAGCAUUAAAAAUUGGACUAAUUUUCGGUACCAAAGGGGUUUGGUGAGCCAAAGCACUAAUUUCAGGACAUUGUCCUGGUUAUUUUACUAUCUGAUUUUUUUUUGAAAUUUUUUAAUAAAGAUAGACUCUUAAUCAACAAUUAGAGCAAAAACUAAAAUAUCAUCUAUUAUAACCAUCACACUUAAAUUUACAUUUAUGAAAUAUCAAACGAAUUCAAACACGGUGAAUGAAAAAAUAUCAACAUAAUAUAAAAAGUUGUGGAAGUCACCGUUUCAUCUUUGAAACAUCAUAUGUAUUCUACUUUUGCAAAGAUGAGGAGACAAAUCAUUUAUUUUUAUGGUCAUGUUAAUUAACGAAUGUAAAGGAACCUAGAGACUUUUUUUUAUAAGAGUAAAUUUAAUGUAUUUCACCUGACCAAUUUUUUUUUUAAUAUAUUUCAUUCAUAAUAAUUGUUGAGAUACAAGAUAGAAUUCGAAUAAAACCACUUACUUCCUUCAAUCAUAUUUAUAAAUAAAAAAUUAGUUCAUUGAAUAAAAUAAUUAUUUUAUUCAAGUAUAUAUAUAUAGAUCAAAUUCAUUGAAUAUUGAAUGAAUCUAAAAAAUAUUUUUUUUGCUUAUAAAUAUGUCCCAAGAGGAUAAUAGUAAUACUUAGUAUGGUAGUAUACUUUUAUUUUUAGGGAAGUAGGAUACUUUUUCUUUGCUUAGCAAAAAUGACAAAUAUUCUUAGAAUUAAGGGUUACUAAUUUUGUCCCUAAUGAUUUCUUGGUUUCGUAUUGGACAAGAAUUCCGUGUAAUAUGUCAACUUCAAUUUUCUCCAUUCCAGCCUUUCACAAAUACGUGUCAUGCAUAGAGGGAUUGGGACCUCCUGGAUCAGUGGAGCCAAAAAAAUCAUUAAUACACAAAAUUUGCCAAUUCAAUCAAAAUCAUUGACCGAAUUAAACCAAAUCACGACCUUUUGAAAUUUUGAAGCACUGAUAAAAACGUGACACCUAUACUAUCUAACUCACACGAUGCAUUAAUCAAAAUUCAAAUUGUUCAACUUCCCGUUUGUUGGUCUACUACAGUUCCAAAAGCAAAUGUGAAAGCAUACACAAAACAUGCAAGAAAUUAAUUUCAUUCCUGCAUGCAUUUCACGAGGAAUAUGCACUUUAUGUAUAUGUAUAAAGAAAAAUGUUAUCCCCAGGGAAGAAUCAAUAUGCAAAUUAUCACGACAUGUACUCCACUUAACCACCGCUUACGGGCUUCCGUUUAUUCCUCCCCAACUUUCCGUUUAUAUAUCAGUCAUGCUAUAUGUACAACGAAGAAAUUAUCACGAAGGAUUGCAAAUGAAAAACCAACCAAUGACAAAGCAGAGUUUAGUGGAAAUCACGGAUGGUUGGGGAGGAAUAAAUUUUAAAUGGAGUCCAUAAAUAACAGUCGAGUGGAGUACAUGUUCUGAUAAUUCAAGUAUUGAUCUUUGCCUAAAAAUAGCAUUUUCUAAGCCCAUACAUCCACAUAUCAUUUUCCUAAAUACACCGAGAUAUAGCGGUGAUAAUAAGGAAUUAAAAAAAAAAUUAACAUUUACUGUAUCAACAAAAACUUAAUGAAUCAAUAUAAUAUAGCUUUUAAUAAAUAUUAGAUAAGCAUUUUUUAGGAGUAGAUUUUUUUCCUUCAAAAAAAAUGUUUCCGUUAAUAUAUCUCGGUUGAUAGAAAUAUCGUAUUAUAUAUGUAAAAAUCGAAGUUUAAAUCUUGAAUUUUCCACUUAUUCAUCUUAAAUGAUAAAUGUUGAGAUUGUCUUCAAAUUUGUGGUUUGGAAGAACAGAGAAAUCGUGACACGAUUGUGGCAUCGUGACACGAUUUCGGGGUGCCGUGAGCUAGGUUGCAGGGUGCAAAAUCGUGACACGAUUUGGGAAAUCGUGACACGAUCGUGAAACUUGCUCGUUAAGUAUCCUUGAUAAGGACUGGUCGUUUCUUGGGUGGUACGCAUAUCGUGGCACGAUUGGGAAAAUCGUGACACGAUUUCAACAGAGGAAGACUAGUAUAAAGUGUUCUUGUGCAGAUUUGAAGAGAGAGUUGGAAGAGAGAGAGAGACUUGAGAAAUCAAAGGGAGAAACUCUAGGGUUUAGGGUUCUUUGAUUAGAGUAUCUCUUGGGUUGAAAACAUGGGAAACACCUUGUAAAGAGAAAAUCAUUGAGUGUCUUGGUGAGAUUGGGAAAAGGGUAGAAAUUAGGGUUUGUUCAUUAUGAACUUGGCAAGCUAAUUUCUUGUAACCUUUUGUAUCCCUUUUGUAAGAACUCUUUGAUAGUGGAUUGGAGAGUACAAUCUCUCCUCCAGAGUAGGUCAAGUUUGGACCGAACUGGAUGAACAAUCUCUUUGGUGCUUUUGUUUUCUUCUUCCCUCUCCUUUUAUCUUGUGAUUGUGUUUUGAGUUUCUCACUUGUUUCCUAGAUUAGAUCUAGGUGGUGUUUUGUUGAUUGUUGCUUGCACACACUUUGUUUGGUGGUUACCGCUCUCCGUCGCUCCACACAUCAUUUUUUUAGUAUUGGUGUGGUUCGAUCUAAGUGGUGAUCGGAAUUCACAACAAUAAAUUUAUAGUCACUAAGCUACUUUUAAAAUAAAAAAAAAUACUAAUACUUAUUUCCAUAGAUUAUCAUUUGUGUGUAUGUACAUAGAUGCAUACAAGUCAUUUAAUAUUAUACUAAUAUUGUAAAUUUAUUUCAAAUAUAAUCCUGAUAUUAAAUGUUUUACACUCACUUAUAUGAGAAAUUAAUAAGAGUAUAAAAGUGUUUGACCAAAUUGUAUUAAUAAAUCUUUAAAAUUUAUAAUGUGAAUAUGAACAAUGUCUUGUUGCCCAUGAAAUUUCUUUGAACACAAGUGUAAAACCUGGACUUGGACUCAAUCACUCAAAUGGUCCAAACAGUGCAAAAUAAAUGUUGUGAGUUUAAUGUUAUGGAUUAUUUUGUUCAUUCAUAUGCAAGACAAGAUACACUGUCAAGAAAGAAUAGGUAAAAGAAAGUAUUAAAAUUCUAUACCAAACAGAUACUGGCCAAAUAAAUGCAAGAUAAUUUUCCGCCCAAUUUCAUGAUCCUAUUUUAAAUGUACAGAGUGGAUAAGAUUUUUCCAUUAAAAGAUAGUAGAUUAAAUGCAUUCCAGCUAGUAAUGAUGGAUAAUUUUUUUUCCUACAAAAUAUAAAUUUUUUUGCGAUAUUUAGGGAUCGGAUUUCAAACACUGAAUUUUCUACUUAUUUACUUUAAAAUGAGUUUCUAGUCAUUAGGCUACUAAACAAAACAAAAAACAGUAAAGGGGGAAAUUAAGUCCUUAUAGAAAAAAACUUGUCAACUAAACAAUUGGACUCACGUGGUUAAUAAGUUUUAGCAAAGACGAAUUAUUUAGAAGAACGUAAAUUCAAUUCUAGUGAAACAAUUAUUGAUCAGACCUUACUUAUUUUCCGAUCAAACUUAAUAUUAUCAAGACAUUUCUCUCUUGAGUACAUGAGAUUUGAUGGAUGGAUAUAGUCAACUUUAGCUUAAUAAUUUGAAUGAGUUCCAAGAAAUCAACAUAGUGAUGAAAGAGGAUUGCUCUUCAGAAGCACAUCAAAGUAUCUAAAAUAUCCCAACAACAAUUAAUUAUUGUUUGCAUCACUUUUUAAAUUGGUUUAAUUGCUUUUUAAAUCGGUUGGUUGAUAAACCGAUUUAAAAAGUGAUGAACCCUUUCAGCAUAACCCUUUAAUAGGAACUUGUAAAUAAUUGCUAGAUGCCUAAAAACAAUGAAAUUUUGAAUGUAUACAUGUAUAGUCUAUCUCCAUUAUCCAAGCAAUCACUCUAGUCUAGGUGAAAUUGCCCAACUAUUGUUAACAAAAAUAAUAAAGAGAAAUGAUAUUUGAACAUUUACUUUGUGAUAACUUUUGUGACGGUUUUCUUCUUCAUACUCACAUUACUUUUUACUUUAUCUCUCUCUAUUGUUUUGGUUUUCUUGUAAAUAGCUAUUUUAUCUUUAUAAAUUAAAUUAUGGUUGUCCCAUAAAUUAUCAACUAAAUAGUUGUUCAAAUAACAUUACUCAAUAAUAAAAAGCAUAAUAUCCCAAAGUUUAGCCUGCAUUCUGCACCUGCACAGUUACAAGUUAGUACAACAAAUGAGCUUAAGCUAGUAGUAAAGGUUUAUAAGGAUAUAUAUUAAGCUAUACAUACUCUAAUAGUUGUGUUGAAUAUCAUCAACCAUUCAACGAAUUUUAAACCACCUUAAUUCUUAGUGAAUAGGAUCGCAGAUGGUUUGAAACAAAGUGAGGUUAACGAAAAUGUGUGUUAAACACUUCAUAUCCGCAUACAUUUGAGAGAUAGAGAUAGAGUGAUUAAUAGAUGUGAUAAAAUGAUGAUGUGAUAAGAAGAGAAGAUAAAAUAAUAUGUUAAACGAGUUAAGAAAAUUUAUGGUAUCUAAAGAGAGUCAAUAUCACCUCCAUUUAAUGGACACUCACACUGUUCAUUUGAAAAGUGAUAGAUCCAUGGAAUAAAACAAUAUUACCUCCGUCUCUAAUUAUAUAGUCAUUUUGAGAAAACACGGGAAUAAAACUGAUUAAUGAAUUAAUUUUGUUGACAAUUGUUAUUGUUUUACAUGUUUACCCUUUAUGAUAGAAAAUUAGUUGAUGUUUUCAUAGUGUUUAUUGCAGAAAAAUAUGCAACAUAAAUAGGGAAAUAAUGGUAAAAAAAUAAUUAAUGUACAUUGAAAUUUGAAAGGGAUCUUAUAAAAAGAGACAAAGAAAAAACACAAAAAAGUUUUAUAAUUAUGAACAUAGGUAAUAAUAUUUUAAAAACAAUUUUAUUUUAUUGAUUAUGAAUUUAUCUCUCUUCAAAUGGAAGCUUACAUUAAAUUGAAAAGUUUUGAACUUGUCUAAAUAUCAUUGUUGAGCUCAAUUAAACCGGUUAGAAUUGUCUUCAUUUUCUAUUAUCUUCAUUUUCUCUAUUAUUAUUAUUUUGGUGAUAUAAAUACAAAAAUGUGAUAUUAACGGAGUCCAAAUCUUUGUUUUUUUUUUCAAUCGUGCUGCAAAAGUUAUCAUCAAAGACUAGAUGAAAAAAAAGUAAUCUAUAGGAACAUUAAAAGAAGUUGAUAUCCCUCCAUUCCACAAUAUCUCAUAAAAUAAGUGACUUAUUUUACUUUUCAAUUCAAUAUUAAUUAUUUUUUUCAAUUAUAACUCUAAUUAAUACUAUUUUCAUCAUUUUCAAUUCAAUAUCUUUCAAUUUAUGUUUAUGAUAAUGAUGAAUACAUCAAUACUUAUUUGAACAAUUAUAACCAUUUUUUUCUUUCCUUCACUUAUACAUUUUUCUUAACAUGUGUGAAAUGAGCAAAUGAUUCACUUAAUUUGAGAUCAGAAGUGCUAUAUAGCACGAGACGAAAGCCCACGACCGUAGAUGGUGGAAAUCAUGCGCAGGACAACAAAACAUGGGGAGAAAUAAAUGAAUUAGUUAAUGGAAAGAUAAAAAUCCAAGGGCAGCAAUUCAUUCGUAAGUUGUCGUGCAUGGUUUGUUCUCGUGCAAUAAAGCAUUUUUCAUUUGAGAUUGAUGGAUUAUAUACCAACUAAAAAAUCGUACUUAAAAAAAAUUGAACUCUCUAGUCUUGGAUAAAAUAAAUGUCUAUACAAAAACAACAAAAAUAUCCUCUCAUAAAGAAUAAACUUAAAUGCACUUUUCAUCCCUAUGUUUCAAAAAGUUUCGAUUUUGGUCCCUUAUAAAAAAAAUGCUUAAAUGCUCAUUUGGUCCCUUAAGUAUUUAAUUGGUAUCGCUUUGGUCCCUUAACUAAAAAAAAGAUUGUUUGAGUACUUUAAGUUUUUUUUUAGUAUCGUAUUGGUCCCUUUUAUUAGGUUUCCGUUAAGUUUAAUAAAAAAUGUUAAGUGUGGACACGUGUCACCUUGUCAUUGGCUAUGGGAAUUAUUAUUUUUUUUUUUAAAUUUAAUAUAUAAAAAACGUUAAUAAUAUUAUUAUUUUUUUACAAAAAAAAUAUUUUUUAAUAUAUAAUCCCUCAGUUCUUUUUAAGCGUCGUUUUAGAAUUUUAACACAAAAAUAGCGAAGUGUAUUUUUGCACACUUUUUUUCCUAUUAUACCCUCAUUUUAAUCCACUAAUAAUUUCCUAUUCUUUUUCACACACUUUAUCUAUCCAAUAAAUUUAAUAUGUAACAAACAAUUAUGAGUUACUACUCUUUUUCUCAAACAAAUUCCUAUUUUUUUGCGCACUUUAUCUUUCUCUUAUAACAAACAAUUUUCAAUUUUCUAAAUAUUGUGCAUAUCUCUUGGAAUUUUUAACAAGUACUACUCAUAUUAUUUAUAGAAUUUUAACUUUUCAUGGAACUAUUAUCAUAGAUAACAAAAUUUGGUUUAAAUUUGAAGAUAACAAGAAACAAAUUUUGUUUUAAAACAAAACAAACAAACUUUGUUUAAAAAAACAAACUUUAGUUUUUCAAAUAUAUAGCAUUAAUUAGUUUGAUUGAAAAAAAUAAGAACAAUUGUCAACGGGUAUAAUUGACAAAACAUACCCUUAAAAUACCAAAACGACAAUUAAAUAGGAAUGAAAAAUUCAUCCUAAAAAGACACUUAAAAAGGAACGGAGGGAGUAUAUUUUUAAGGUGACACGUGUCAAUUUGUCAUUAACUUUGGGAUUUUUUUUUUUAAAAGUUUUUAAAAAAUAAAUAAUUUUUUUAAAAGAAAUAAUAAUCUCAGAGCCAAUGACAAGGUGACACAUGUCGAUAAGUUAAUUUUUUUUUUAAACCCUAACGGAAGGGACCAAAACGAUACUAAAAAAAAACUUAAAUACUCAAACAAUCUUUUUUUUAGUUAAGGGACCAAAGCGAUACUAAUUAAAUACUUAAGGGACCAAAAAAGCAUUUAAGCCUAAAAAAAUGGAUAUUUUGACCCUCUUUUGAUUUGCUGAUUUAUGCCAACUUCUCAAUUUCUGAUUGUGUAAACUGGCAUGACAGAUAGAAGGAUGCUUAUAAGUGGAGUCCAAACUAGCAUGGUGUAACUUUUGGUCCCCCUAAAGAAGGAUCCAUUUAUCAGUUUGGACUCCAAUCAUCAUGUCAGUUUGGACACCAUGCCAGUUUGGACAACAUGCCAGUUUGGACUCCACUUAACAGCAUCCUUCUAUCCCCAUGCCAGUAUACACCAUUAGAGACUGAAAAAUUAGCAUAAUCUCUAACUAAAUCAGCUAAUCAAAAGAGGGUCAAAAAUUAGGGGGUCAGAAUAUCAAUUUUUUUUAUAAGGGGAGCCAAAAUUACAACUUUUUAAAACAUAGGGGGUAAAAAGUGCAUUUGAGCCUAAAGAGUAACAAAAAUACACCUUCAGAUCACUAUUAUAAACAAAAAUUUACAUUUUAUAUUCAUUCAAUUAAUGAUGUACACCUAUACAGUUUUUAUUAUAAACCACAUACAACAUUUAACAAGUGAAUAUAUAAUAUUAAUUUUUGUUUAUAAAAGUGACAUUUUGGUUAUCCAUUGCCGUCAACCGGAACAUCUUGCAUGGUUCUUAACGAGCACGGAAAGAAGCAUAUUACACUAAUUCCCAUAAAAUGAAGUUAUCAAUUUUCUUGACCAGAUCUGGUUGGGAAUCAAAAUAGUGAAGAAAACCUGUUUUUUGAUGCCUUAUUUAAAGGAAGCAAUCAUAAAUAUUUAAAACAUAAAUCUAUAUACAUAUUGAAAGUUGAGAUACACUUACUUGCACUUCUCAUAAUGGUUAGGUAUUUUUUUUUCCUUCUCUCAUUUUAACAAGUUAUUAAGGGAACUCAUAGUUCAUCUAUGUGAACCCGACAAUGACCCGGUUAACCGCCUAUUUUUUGAAUUAAAUGCAGCAUUUGACUCGAACCAAACAUGCUGAGACUUCAAACAAUAUAAAUAAACAAAAAAAUUAUUAUUUUUUCUUAAAUAUAGAUAUGAGGAAAUGCUGUUGGGUAUUAACAACCGUCCAAUAGAAUAAGCUAUUAAAUUUGGUUUGACUUUUAUUAUUUUUACAUCUCAAACAGAACUCAGAUAUGACUCCAAAUUAAAUCAUCGCCAAAUAUAAAAUUUGUCUUGCUUAAAUAUUGCUCUACCAUGUUGUUAUUGUUUAGAUCAUUGCUACUUGUUAUGUGAUAAUUUUUUUUCAUAUAUAUAAUCAUAUCACACAAUGAUACUUAGCACACAAUGAUACUUAGCAGGCCCGGCUUGAGGGUGUGCAAGGUGCUCAAUGAGACCGGGUCUUCAAAUGCUACGGGUUUCUAACGAAGAAUUAAAUCUAAUACCCACCCCCACUUAAAUAAAAAAUAUAUAUGUUAUAUCUUUUUCUUUCUUUAGUACACGUUUGAAUUUUUUUUAGACUCUAGUUCUCCUUUUUGUACAUAAAUCCAAACGACACCGUUAGAUAAAUUUCGCCUCUUCCACUUAAUUUUUUUUAAUUCUUUUCAUGUUUAGAAGUUCUUCUGAUUCUGAUUUUUUUUAAUGAAAUUUAACUACACAAAAAUUACGUUUUAUUUUACUAGGGGCCUAUUUUAAAAAGAGAGUCGAGCCUCCUAUUUCACAGGGACGGUCCUGAUACUUAGAGAGCUUAAGUACUAAUAUGUAUUUGGUUUGUAACCCUCAAAUGUUGGCUGCAUAAUGUCUAAAAUGAAUAUAGGAUUUCAAAUUUUACAUGGACGUACUAAAUCAAAAUAACGAAAGGUAAAAAUUGAUAUAUUUACAAUUACUUAAAAUAAAUAUUUUUUGCGGUAAAUGAAAAGGCAAUUUUGAUAUAUUUAUGGACAACAAACAUGUUUAAACAAAAUUAUAUUUAUUUUUAAUUAUAGAAAAUAUAAAUAAUUAGCAAAACUAAUGGCAAAAUUGAUCAUAGUCCAGGUAUUAGGUCUAAACUAUAAUCCUCCUCUUGCAAUGGUAAUUAUAAAUGUGAUGUGCAUGCGGAUUAUUCUACUGCAUGAUCUAACUAUUGGAAAGAAAAGAAAAAGAAAAAACUAAAUCAUACAUUAAAUAGAUAGGACUCUUGAUAAAAGUUUACGAGUAGACAUUCCUACAUUUACAAAUCGAUUUUGUAAGAAUGAGUUAGACGUAAUUCAACAUAAUAUCAGGGCAUAUCGAUUUGGGUCACCUACCUAUCCACGCAUCUAGUCCAAUAUCAUUGGAUGCGAAGGUGUGUAUUUGGAAAAACACAAGUCUCACACAUUUAAUAGGCAAGAUUCUUGAUAAGAGUUUAUAAAAAGGGUGCACUCAUCAUCUUACAAUUCGUUAUAAGUAUGAGUUAAACCCAAUUUUUAACAUUAACAAUUUAGAGUACGCCUUUAAAAGAUCUAAAUAGACUCAGUUGGAGAAAAUCUUUCGCAUAUUUGUAUUGAUAGUUGAUACACAGCCGGGUAUAUAGAUGUGUGUGGUGCCGUGGUGAACACUAAAAUAUAAUGACAUUUUUUUUUUAAGAAAAGUAAAUAAUGAUAAGAGUAUUUACGAAGUACCAAUACUAAAGUGAUAAAGUCACCCUCAUUGUGUAAGGUCUAAAAUAAUCUUGGCUUUAUUAGUACCUACCCAUCAUCUACUAUCAAUAAGUGUAUGAACACGGUGCAUACAGGCACAACACAAUCAAGUAGUAGAAGUUUAAAAUGAUUUAAAAAUAACUUCAACAAUCAUUUGUCAUAAAAAAAUAUCAACACGAAUUUCGAUCAUGAUUUUAUGAUUUUAAUGUUUGUUGGGUUCAUCGGUUAGUAAUUAUACUUCCUCCGUUUGCAAUUAAAUAUUAUUUUAGCAUAUAAAAAAUAUUCAGUUGUUUCAAUUUUACUUCUAUAAUGUAACCAAAAUUCAAAUUUACCUCAAUAAAAUAUAAUAAAUUUUGUCCCAUAUCUACCAUUCAGAUUGCAGAAUAUUGCAUGGACAUUCAAUAUAUUUUUAUAAUCAAAGAAAAUUUAAUCUAUUAGAGUACAUAUUCAAAAUGCAAUUUUCCACUUCUAAAUAUUUAAUGGUUAUAAGUAUCAUUAUCCAUUUAUGACAAUGAUUAAUAAUUAAUGUAUAAUAAGAAAUUUUUUGUAAAAUUCAUUUACAAUAUACUAUAUUUUCCAUUCAUUUAUAUAUAUUCCUGUAUUUUUAAUGGGAAAUGUUAACUUAUCCCUUAAGACAAUGUUAAGGAUUUCACUAAUAGAAAUUAUGUUAAUUUAUUGCUCAAAAAAUCUAAUAUUAAUUUUUUUCAAUUAAUAUUUAUCAUUAAUGACAAGAAUUUAAUGUUUAUUAUGCCCUAAGACCACAAGUUAACAUGACCUUUUUUAAUUGGUGUAACAAGAACGUUCAAGAAGUGCUCUGAAUUCAAGCUUGUAACCUGUGUCUUACUAUUGUUGGUCAACUAGAGCAGUAAUAUCUACAAGUAUUUGAUGCAAAUUUAGUUUAGGAAUUAAAUAAUCUUUCCAUUGAAAAUUUUCUCAUUUCUCCAUUGAAAUCUCAACCAUUAAAUAUGAGAGAGAAAAUGAGUGUUAAAUUAUAAAGAAAAGUGGUCAAUGGAUUUUAAUGGUGGAGAUUAAAAAUGGAGAAAACUUAAGAAAUUUUUUGUGUUGGUAAAUACUCCCUUGGUUAAUUAUUUUCACUCUGUUUUAAAAGAAAGAAGUGCUUCUUCUUUCUUUUCUUUUUUUUUUACACAAAGUAAUGCUAAUUGAAGUGUCACAGUUAAUUCGUCGAAAUGACUAGUAACAUUUGUCCACUUCUCUGACUCUGAAGAUGUUGAAGCGGUUGGUCGUCCCAAUUGAUCAAUUAUAUUGUCUUCUGUAAGAGUUAUUGAUCAUUGUUAGUAUUCUGCAAGGAACUUUCUACGGGCAUGGUACGAACCAAUACCUAGCGGCCAUCAUGGUCUAAAGGGAAGCUCACUUCUUCUCUCAUGCUUCUGAUGGAUCUAGCAAAGACGAUGUCACAUUUUUACAAUAUACAUUAUUCACAUAACAUACUUGGUCAAAAAGAUGAUGAUUGUAUAAAGAUGUUAGAAUGUAAGAUGAUAGUAUAAAAAUAUUUAAAUUUUAUAACUUUUUACCAUAGAUUUUUAAAGAAAUUAUCAGACACAGCUGUGUAUUGACAUGUGUGAAGUGGUUGAUUGCGAUAUGUAUUUCGAAACACAUGAAGUAUAACCAACCGUUAACAUAGACCUCCAUUCAAAUUAGUACUAGAAUUCUUUAAACAUAAGUAUUUUGUUUUUAAAAAAAUUAACAACACCCGCACUCCAACGAGAUGUCAAUUAUAAAUGACAAAAUCCGUAAAUUGGAGUUAGACCCAAAGCGAACAAUAUCUCGUGGUAGGUUUACGGAUGGACUUAAGGUCGUAACAAUAAGAGGGAAGGAAGAAAAAUAGAAAGAAAAUUAGAAUAUAUUUAAGGGUUAAUGGUGUUUUACCACCCCUGUAAUAUAUGUCAUUUUUUGUUUUCCCCCUAUAAAAUAUUUUUUUUUGAUUUACCCACCUGUAAAAUAUAUUUUUUUUGGAAUACCCCUCUAAUAUGUCAUAAAACGAAAAAAUUCUGCAAAACAAAAUAGUCAUUUUUUUAUGACCUAUUAAGGGGGUAUUCCAAAAAAAAAAAAUUACAAGGGGAUAAAUAAAUAAAAAAUAUUUUACAGGAGAGGAAAACAAAAAAUGACCUAUAUUACAGGGGAUAAAACACCAUUAACCUUAUAUUUAAUGUAGCUAUCAUCUUUUCUGGCUUCCAUUAUAUGGAUUGUGAAGUGUAGACUAUGCUAAAGUUAAAAAAAAAUGAAAAGAAGGAGACAAUUUGGGUGUUUGUUUUGACGUCCAAUGCCCGGCAGCAUACACACCCUCCUCCGUCUUUUACGGAGAGAGAUGCUCCUCACUCCAAAACUAGGAGACACAUAAUAUAGAAACAAAAACUAAUUAAUUAGUAGUAAUAAUUACUCACUCUCCCACUCAAUAAUAUACCCUAUCAUCCUUAAACAAUUACAACAUCUUAUCGUUUUGCUAAUUUUUUUCUGUUAAGUAGUUUAGUAGUUAGAAAUUCACCUCAUAAGGUGAGAGUAAGUGGGUGUCCGUGUUUGAACUCCGACGCCUACAUAUAUUAUACAAUAUGCAUAGCAACUGAGUUAAGCUCACUAAGACCCUAUUUAUUAACAAAAAGAUACAUAAGUAUAAAUAUAAUAUACUAAUAAAAUUUUAACAUAAAAUGAUUUAUUCAUUAAGAUUCUUAUAUAUAAAUAAAUGUUUGUUAAGUUUUUUUUUUUGAACUAGAAUGAGAGAGAAGGAAAAUGUUUGUUAAGUAUAUUAUCAACCAAUUCUUAAAAAAGUAUAAUAAAACAAAAACAUUAGAUAAUUUUAAUCUUUCAUUAUUAUUUUAACGUCUUCAAUAUUUUAUGAAUUAUUCUUAGGAACAAUGUACUUUGAAUAACAAUUGUUCUAUGUCUAUAGUUUACCUGUAUGCUAGCCUUUACUAAAGUCCCUUUAGGAGUAAUAAAUAAUAAUUAUAAAAAAUAGUAAACCCAAUAUUUCUACUUGUCCUUUGGGUCUAUUUAACCCAUGAUGGCCUAAUCUUUUUCCUUCCCUCCCUUUCCCUUUUCUCUCUUUUCCUCAAGACUCUUUCCUCUCAAGUCUCAAUUUCAAUCCAACCCCAAUUCAUCAAAAUCUCUCUUUGCCACAUUGCCACUACUUCUUUGAAUUCUCUUUCUUUUCUAAUGUAAUUCACAUAUCAUAGCCAUUUUGCUUCUAGUUUCAAGGACAUAUAAAACACUUAAACCAAACCAAAAGCAAAAAAAACUACCUCAAAAUUAAGUUCAUUUUGUUGUCUCAUAAUUCAUCAUAACAUUAUGGAAAACCAAUUCUUUUUAAAUGCUGGAUUUGAACCUUACCAAACCCAAGAUUGUUUUUUCAACCCAAAUUGGGACAAGUCAACGGACCAAAACCUUAACUAUGAUUCAACACUUAGUUCAAUUGUCUCAUCCCCAGCAGCUACAUCAUCACCAUCAAAUCCCAACAUGUCCAAUGAAAAUUUUGUCAUGAGAGAAUUAAUAGGAAAAUUGGGAACUUUUGGUGAGAUCUCACAACAUUCUUCUAACCCUUUGGUUCUACCAAUGAUGUCUAGAGUGGCAGAAUUUUCACCUGAUCCUGGUUUUGUUCAAAGGGCUGCAAAAUUUUCUUGCUUUGGUAGCAAGAGUUUCAAUGAAAGAGGUAACCAAAUGGUGAUGAACAAUGUUGAAUUAGCUCAAAGAUCUCAUAAUUUAAUGGAAAAUGGAAUGAAGUUAUCAAGAGUUUCAAGUAGUCCAUCACUCAAAACAUUUGGAUCUCAAAUGGUUAAUCAUGAGAACAAGAAUUCUUCAUUGCAACAAGAAAAUGAGAAAAUGGAAGUGGCUAAUUCUCAAGAAGAAUCUAAAAUAUCUGAGCAAAAUACACCAAAUGGUGAAAUUGGUGUCAAAGCUUCACCUGAUAUGAAUUCAAGGAAAAGAAAAGCUUCUUCUUCCAAAGGAAAAGCACCAAACUCUACCAAUCCUACGAAGGUAAAGCAUUAAAGCUGCAAUUUUUUAAGAGUGCGGACCCAUUUUAAACUUUUUGUCACUGAGACAAACUGCGAGACUCAAUUUAGUUCCCACAAAAAUUUAAACAUAAAAAUAAAAAUAAAAAUCUCGCAAAUUAAAUUGAGUGUUACAAAUUUUUCCGGAGACUAAAAUAUAUUUUCACUUAUUUUUUUAAAGUCAAAUUAUUAUUUUUUUUAUGUUAAGAAUUUUCUGAAUCUCAUAUAUUUCUUUUUUGACUUUAGGGUGUUGAAGGUAGUGGUGAAGACUUCAAUGCAAAGAAAAUUAAGGCAAAUGAGGGUGAGAGAAAUGAAAAUGGUGUCAGGAAUAUGGAGGAAGAGAUCAAAGAAGGUACACCAAAUGCAGGGGAAGAAAAACAGAACAAGAGUGACUCAAAACCUCCUGAACCUCAAAAAGAUUACAUUCAUGUCAGAGCAAGAAGAGGUCAAGCUACUGACAGUCACAGUCUUGCAGAACGAGUAAGAAUUAAAUUACUGCUUUUUGUUUCUCUAUCAAAAAUAGUUUUUUUUAUUUUUAUUUUUUAUAAAUUGGUUAGCUCGCGACCUUUAAUAUUUACAUAAAAUUGUGGAUAAACUCGACUUAUACAAUUGCGGCUCUGAUAUAGACUUUCGAGAAUUUAGACUCGUUGCAUUCAUGCAGCUGGAAUAUCCAUGGUUGUUAGAUCAAAAUCAGACAAUUCAAAUUUUACUUUAAAUUUUUUAAAUGUAAAAAAAAAAAUGAAUUUGAAAGUUAAACAAUCUAAUUUUGAUCCAACGACCAUCUAUAUAAUUACCGUGUCAGCGCGUCGUUAAAUCGGUGAUAGUAUAAAAUCUGAAUUCUACUUCCAAAACCAUGAUAUUGUGGGCCACAAUAUCCAAUUGCAAACCUUAAUUUAAAACAUAACAAAAAUGUAUCAACUUCAUAUCUUGAGUUGACAUUAUAUGAACUUUGAUUGUAAAUAGGUAAGGAGGGAGAAAAUAAGUGAGAGGAUGAAACUUCUCCAAGAUCUUGUACCAGGUUGCAAUAAGGUAAGCAAAACUUUCAAAAGUUACUAAAUCAGAAUACAAAACAAAUUGGUUUAAUUUCAUGUUACUAAAAUUUGUACUUUUUCACUAAUUGGGCUAUGCCUAUGAAUUAUUAAUUAUUCCUUGUAGGUUACUGGAAAAGCACUUAUGCUUGAUGAAAUUAUAAAUUAUGUUCAGUCAUUGCAGCGUCAAGUUGAGGUAAUCAACUCUUCACCAAUAAGCAUCUUAAUUCUAUAAUGUCAUUAUUUUUUGUUUUCUUGCUCAUUAAGUUAUACUUUCUUUUUUCAGUUUUUGUCUAUGAAAUUGUCUUCAGUGAACACAAAGAUGGAUUUAAGUAUUGAAAGUCUUGUUGUAUCAAAAGAUGUAAGUUUUAAGUUUCUAUAGAUAAUAUUUUGCUUUUUCAAUAAAACUUGUUGCAUUUAUUAUUAUUAUUAUUAUGAGUUGUUUAUUUAUUUAUUUUUCUUUUUAUGAUUUCAGAUAUUUCAAUCAAAUAAUUCUUUGCAAAACUCAAUAUUCCAAUUAGAUUCCUCGGUACCAUCCUUUUAUGGGCAACAACCCCAGCAAAACCAAGCUAUUCAUAAUAACAUCCCUAAUACAAAUGGGUCCCACUGCUCAGUGGAACCAUUGGAUUCUUCUUUGUGCCAUAAUAUUGGCAUGCAUUUACCUUUCCUAAAUGGAUUUAAUGAAGGUGGCUCUCAGGUAACCACAUUCUUCUACUUUUUUUCUAUAAAUUAUGGUUAAUUAUCAAUUUAAUUUAUGCAAAUAAUAAGAGUCUAACAAUUUGAAUUUUAAAAUAUUGAAUUCUAAAAUAAUUAUUACUAAAAUUAAAUAAGUCAAAGUGAUUGAGUUCUACCGAUUAAUGAAUUUUUUUACUGAAUUUCAAACUAUCAGGCUCGCUAUUCUUACGAACUAGAUAAUUAAGAUAAAAAAUUUAGGCAUCAAAUUAUUUUGAAAUAUUAUUAUUUACAUGACCCAAUUGUCCCAUAUGUACUAAUAUACGAAGGUACAUUAUUUCACUAGUGUUUUGAACUCUUUCUAAUUAACUCUAUUUUUCAAAUGAUUAGCAGUAUCCAUUAACAUUCUCUGAGGAGGACUUAAACACCGUUGUUCAGAUGGGAUUUGGCCAAACUUCAAACAGGAAUACACCAAUACACUCCCCAAGUUUCAACGGUAAUAAAACAAAAAAAGAAGAAAAAAAAUCAAUGUCACAAAUUAUUGACAUGUUAUUAAAAUGUCAUUUUCAUUUGGCACCAGAAAUUUGACCUUAAAAUUUAUUUUUGGUCCAAUGCAGGUUCAAAUCAAUCAACACAAAUGAAAAUUGAGCUCUAAUCACCUUUCAUUACGCCUCAAUUGAAGCCCUAGAGGAUCAAGAAAACUGCUGUAUACAACAAAAGAUUUAAUUCCAACAACCCUAUGAAUUAUAAUUAAGCCAUUAUUGAUUAGGUCUGUCCAAUAUAUAGAACCUUUGUUAGUUUUUUAAGCUAGUCAUUUUACAUUUUAUUUUUUUCCCUUUAUAUUAUUUCAGUUUCUAUUCUUCUGGGCAAUUUUUUUCCCUCUAUUUUACAAAUUAUUCAAUGUAAAAUCUUAGGAUUGAUUCUGUAUUGUAUGGUGCAAAUUAUCAGUGUUAUAUUGCACCAAUGUAUCAUUGCUUAAUUAAAGUAAAAAAAUUCAAUUAGCUUUCAUUAUCCUUCUAGAGAUUUUUACUUUUAUAUACUUUCAAUAAUUCGUACAUCACAUCAUAUCCAUUAAGAAUUUCCGUGGGUCUUGAAUAAAAUCUCGUUAAUUAGGUCAUGCCACUAAUCAACAAAAAAAAGUCUAAUUAGAAAUUAUUUUGCAGAAUCUGGUUGAUAUCAACAUUGAUCCUCACUUGUGUUGCAACCAGCUGUAUUAAUAGUGGGGUCUCCUUUUUGUCUCAAAAGUCUAAUUUAAAAUUAUGGACUAGGACAUUUAUUUAACUUUUUUUUGUUGUUAACAAUUACUAUACAAUUCUUGUGCUCUUAGUUUUUCAUAUAAUAUAACUUUUUUAUACAUUUCACCAAUAUCACAAGCUUCUGUGCUUUUAUUUUUAUUUUUCACCAAUAUUUAUACGAUAAUUAACAUAUAAUUAAAAAUAAUAUUAUGUUGGAUAUUUGUCCCUUUUUUAUAUUUCUGUAUAUAAUAAUAGAAAAACUUACAAAAUUAGAAAAAGUUGAGACUAGGGUUAGAUGAACAUGUUAUAAGUUUGAACCGCUCCAUUUAAACAAAACACCAAUUUUUAAUUAAUUAACAAAUAAUAUAAGUGAGCAUAAAAAGAAUCCCAGGUUGGCAGUGGUGAGAUUCUGACUAGGGCCGAUGAACCUUGCAUGGAGCAUUAUUAUAUAAUCUUUACCAACUUUUGUUAUUUAACUUGUGAGUAGGAAAAGGGGUUUCUAGUGGACUUCAGGUUUGGAAAGAUACAUUUAAUAUAUUACACUAAUCUUUUUCUAAGGGGUUGUUAGGAAAAAUCCAGUGUUUUGGGUUUAACAAAAGAUAUAGAGGUUGUGGUCUUAACCAUUUUUAUAUUGAAGAGUGUAUUAUUAGAUAGUAGAUUAGUGUGUGAUUCAAUAAUUAGAAAGAUGCUUUAUAAGUAGUGCUCUGCUCAGAACAGUUGUGCUUUAUAAUGUGUUUUCAUAUCAUAUAUUAUAUCCUAGGAUACACGGAUACGGAUACAGACACCGAACACGACAGAGACACUGACACAGUUAAGAAGUGUAAUUAUAUAAUUAAGUGUAAUUAUAAGUGUCGAUGUCAAACAUGAUAUAUGUCCGACACCGAAACACAUUUAAUCCGAGAAGUGUUUGUGCUUCAUAGAUUAUGAGUAAAUAGGCAAUUACUCCCCUGAAAUUGUAAGUUUCAUCAAUUACUCCCCUGAAAGUAACAAAACUUCAAUUACCCCCCUAAAAUUUCACAACGUUAAUCAAUUUACCCCAUCCGUCAAAUUUUUUUGUUAGUGAACAUGACGUUUUGCAAAUACCCCCAUGAAGUUUUGCAUUUAUGUGCAAAAUGCCCCCCAAACUUAAAAAUUUAUAUUAUUUAUUUCUUAAAGACAAACAAUUAACGAUUAAAUAUUAAAGCUAACUAUUAAUUUUGGAGUUUGGAAAAACUACAUGCAUAUAUACAUCAAAAUAGGGAAAAAUUUGUAUUUUUAAAGUGACAAUAAUGGUUAUUUCUAAUAGACAAAUUAUUAUUUUUAGGGAUUUAUAGACAAAUAAAUAAUCAAUUUUAAAUUUAUAUUUUCUCCUUCACCAUCUUAGUCUUUUAACUCCUCCAACAAUUUGCUCAAACCAUUUAAACUACACAACCUCCAAUAUUUUCAUAUGAUUUGUUCUUGUUAACACACUUUAUAAAGAACUUCAUUUUAACUUCUUGUUUGUGCUUCAGGCACGAAGAAUUGUAUACAAUCUAGCUCACACCACAAUACUAUCAGACCGACAUAUCAUAUAUAGCAUAUUAAGUAAUAUUCAUGUAAAAAAGACACAAAUCAUCAGCAAAUGAAAUAUGUGAUCGGUAUGUAUAGAGGAACACUUAUUGAGAAAUGUCAAACACUUAGACAUAUAUUUCUUUACCUUUGAAAUUAAUCCACAAAUCAUCCCAUUAUUGUCACUUUAAAAAAUACACAUUUUAUUCCUAUUUUGAAGCCUAUUUUGAUGUAUAUAUGCAUGUAGUUUUCCCAAAUUCCCAAAUUAAUAGUUAGUUUUAAUAUUUAACUAUUAAUUAUUUGUUUUUAAGAAAAAAAUAAUUUAAAUUUUUAAGUUCAGGGGCUAUUUGCAAAACGUCAUGUUCACUAACAGAAAAAUUUGACGGAGGAGUUAAAUUGAUUAACGUUGUGAAAUUUCAGGGGGUAAUCGAAAAUUUUUGUUAAUUUCAAGAAAAUAAUUGACGAAAUUUAUAAUUUUAAAGGGGUAAUUGCCUAUUUAUUUCAUAGAUUAUAUAUAAUACUAUGUUUCUUAGUUUAUAAAGAGGAUAAAAGAAAAUGUUAGUAAAUUAGAAUUAAAAAUGUUAAUCUGACAGUGUUGUCUCCAAAAACUAAAUACACCCAAUCAUACAACGACGUGUCUUGGGAUUGAUUCUUUAUUAGUUUAUUAUCUUCAUCAACUGUACAUGCUGUUUUAUUCUUCUUUAGAGUUCCUAUAUUUUUAAAUUUAUGCCAAUCAUAAUGGUAAGUAAAAAAUUAAAAAAAAAUUGAUUAAUAAAACAUAACCUCAACCAACAUCUAGUGGAGUUGAUAUCUGGUGCCCAAAUUUAAUAUGGUUUACCAUUUUUUAAAAUAUUUAACACUCCUAAAUUGAUUUUUCUUUUUCUUUCUAAUUAAGUGAUCUCUUUAAUCAUACAGAGAAUUUGGAACUACACAUCAACUAAGGUUGAAAUUUCCAUUAAGUGUAUGUUUGGUAUUAUAGAAGCUUCAAAUAAGAGAUUUGAUUAAAUUUUUUAACAUUUUUUUUUCUUUUAGAUGAUGACUUAGGAGUGAAGGUUUCUUUCAAUUUAAUUUCCAAACCGUACAUAUAUGAUAUAUCUAUAUCAAGCUUUGCCUAAAAUCCCUUUUCACUCAAGCAAGAACUUUUUAUCACCAAAUUCUAGAAAUGAAGAGUCGUAAACAAUUGGAAUUCCAUUUUUUUUAUUAUCAUUGCAUAAUGUUAGUGCAAAAUCAACAUUAUAAAACUAACAUAUAUAACAAACAAAAGGGUUAGCAUAAAUCUGACAAGAUAGCGUGGCAGAAAUUUAUGAAUCAGUAAUUGUCUUGUAUAAGCACUUUUGAAAAUUGUAAACGCGGUUUUGAUAAUGUUUCAUGUUCCUCUUUAAAUGGUUAAUUUUAUCAGAUAGAUUGUAUCUUCUUUUUUUCCAAAUCGAGUGAGAACGUAACUUAGACCUUGGAAUAUUUGACAGUUGUAUGGUUCUUGAACAUUUUGGAAUAGAGCAAUAGUCUUUGAACUUGUUCCGCGUCACCAUUAACCUCAGAUGUUACUCGUAAUGACGUGCAAUAUUAAUUAUUUUUUUUGUGAUGGUUGAAGUUUGAACCCGAACCUUACAUAUAUUAUGCAUUGUUCAUAUCAAUUGAGUUAAGUUCACGAUGACGACGGAUAAUAUUAAUGUUGAUGUGAUAAUUCGUCUGGUUUUCAAAUCACCUCUACGUUAAAUCUUUAGAGAAUUAAUUGAAAUUGUUGAAAUAUAUGUUUGGAACUUAAUAUAGACACGUACAAAAGUGAGUACUUCCUCCGUCCCAAAUUGUAUGUCGUUUUGGAGAAAAAAAAAUUUGUCCUAAAUUAUAUGUCGUUUUAUAAUACCAAUGAAAUAUUAAUGUUACUUUUCCUAUUAUAUCCUUAACAUUACUCUCUCUUCUUUCAAUUAUUUCAUUUAUUUUUUCCAUACUAUUUAUUAAGAAUAAUUUUGUAAAACAACUCAUAAUUUCUUUUCCCCACACAAUAUUAAUUACAUUUCUUAAUACGUGUGAAAUAGCCAAAACGUCAUACAAUUUGGGACGGAGGGAUUAUGUUAUAUGGCUUCUUACAAUUUAAGCCUCCAUAUAUGUGGAGCUGAUUUGAGCUCAUGUGAACCGUUACAUCAUCAUUUAACGCUGUACUUCGUUUAUGGAUAAUGUUUAAAGCUAACAAAGAGAUGAAAUUGAUUGACACUGACCAAAUUAAUCUAGUCAUAGUGAGCAAGAAGUGGAAUGGUAAGGAGAAUGGGAUAAGAGGCAACACGCUAAUAAUUAAUUAGUGAGAGAUUAAUUAGGAAGCGAUAUAGUGUGGUGAAGGCUUCAGGGAUGUUAAUAGGCUAGGCCGGUUUACAGGGGCAUACGGCCUAACUUACGAUAGGUCAGAUCAGACCAGACUUUUUUCUUAAAUAGAGAAGAUCUAGGCAAAAGGUCAGGCCACAAGCCUCUCAAAAAGCCUCUUAAGCCUAUUAGGUCGGUCUAUUUAAAUAAUAUAAAUAAUAUUAUUUAUUAUUAUAUCAUAUUUUGUAUUUUGAAUUAAAAUAUAAAUUUGUAAACUUUUUCAAUAAUUUAAGCUUUAUUGGUAUACGUUAAUUUUUUGCAUAUAUAAAUGUAUUAUUAUAAACUAGAAUAGAAAUAUGAUACAAUAUAUAGUCGAAUUCCCUAAAACCUCGUGUUUAUCAAAAGAGAGUUUAAUCUAAUUGAACUAUUAGUUCACUAAUCCAUUUAAACUUAAAUCACAUUGCUUACUUAAAGAUGUUCAUAAGAUAUAGGCUUUUAAACAUGCUAGCAUAUCAUAUCAGGCUUUCAAAAGUCCAAACUCAAGGCUAAAAAGUAGGCCUAUUCCCAUCCCUAGCUUCAAUAUUAUUAGCAUUACAUCUCAAAGACUUAAAUACAAUUGUAAACAAGUUUUCUUAUUUAUAGGUGUGGGAGGUAUAUUUUAGAUGAUACAUAUUUCAGAAUUUUCAUGACAUUGCCUAAUACAAAUGUAGUAUUGGUUUUAUUCUAUGUACUACUAAAAUAUUGUAGAAAAUUUUAGAGAUGUGCAUAUAAUGUUAUUCUAUAAUUUACUAAUGUAUCCUAAAAAUAUAUCUAGAAAUAUGCAUCAUAUUUUAACAAUUAUAGUUUAAAAAAAUCAAAGAAUAAAUUGAACGAUGGUUCCCAAAUCCAUGACUAAGUAGCCUAUUCACUCCUCUUUUAAUAAUACUUUUUUGUUCGUUUUCUUUUUCUGUGUUUUGUUCUAUAAAUGUUAUCACCUCUGCUAGGUACCAACUGCAACAAAGGAAAUUCUAUCCUUAACCAACGUGGGUCUUCAAUUUACCUAAUUAUAUAUAGAAAUUUGUGUAGUUCAAUGGUCAUAAUCAUAUAUAAUGAAGUAUAUGUCCCUAGUAGAUGGGGAGAGAGAAAAAUAAGAACUCAAUUGCCAUGCAUUAAUAAUCCUUUUACACAAACAAUCAGUUGUAUCUCAUCUCAUCAUAUAAAUAUUUGUAUAGUUAUUUAAAAAAAUAUAUAGAGUUUUGACCCGUACACCGUUCGGGUUUAUUGUAUUGACAUACGAAUAAUAAAAUGCAAUAUAUAAUAGGUAACGGUGAAAAAAUAACACGUGAUAAUCCAUAGUAGACAAAAUAAAACACUUCUUAAAAUGUAUGAAAUAUGAAAAUAUUAUAAAAGAAAAUUCGGUAAUCCUAUCAAUAAUUUGAGUAUAUAUAACCAAGUUUACAUGGAAAUUAGGGUAGUCGAAAAAAAAGUAUAAAAUAGAAGGCAUCAAACGUGAUCAUUGAUAUGCUCAUAGUUUCUAGAACAAACGUGCAUCAUCAAAUAAGUGUAGAAAUAUUAUCUUAAAAAAAAAAAAAGGCAAGAGGAUAGGAAUGAAAUUGAUGCGAUGCAUUUUUUUAGAUGAAAUUUGUUAGAUUAAAUAAUUGCAAACCUAAUAAAGCAAAUGAGCGGGAAAAAAUUAUGUUAAAUUGCUGCAGACGUAACAAAAUUAGUAAAUAAGGAUAUAUAAUUGUUUUGGAUCAGUCAGAAGACCAGCUGUAUGAUGACACGUGGCCGAACUUCAACUUCCUUAAAGCUCCGCGCCUGAAAGAGCACGUCAGCUUGGGUGCAUCGUGCCACAUAGAAGCGCGCCCCCACAAUGAUCAUUCUACAUGUGUCCUCCUUCGUCCUUAAUCACACGCCGCAUAACCCAGAGACGGUUACGACCAACCGCGCCUAUAUAAGGGUGAACUUGCUUCACCUCAAGGUACGAUUUACUUUUCACCAACACUUUCUACACACUCUUGCUCAGUUCCAUUACUGACUUGAGCGCCGGAGUGCUAACGUGCCUGCAGGCACCUUUCGCCCACCGCGAAGACUCAUUACCGCCAUAUUGAAAACUGUUACCAUCACACUAGAGCAUUCUCUGCCGCCGUUGCUACUCGGCCGUUCUCACCGGAGAGAUCAAUGAUAUAAUACAUAUAGUUUUUAAACCAAAAAUUUAAAGAAAAAAAUGUUCUCUCCUGAGAUCGUUAAAUUCUUCCCACUAAAAUGACAAGAAAAUUAAUGAGGCCCUACCAAAUGAAAAUGUCUUGAGAGUUUUAGAAGGCACUAUAAUGAUCAUUAGGGUAGGUACCCUAAGCGAAGCUUUCACGGUGAUAUAUCACCCACUUUCCACUAUCAUUUACGGACCCCACCCUCUUUUACCCUUUUUGGGUCAAUUGGUCUCUUUUACGUGGAAACAUAGGGAUUCACCUUUUUUUCUUUCUUUCUUUUUUCAUUUAACAACUUUGAUUCAUUUGCUGGGGUGAGAAAGAAUAUAGGGUACGUUUGAUCGAUUAAAAUAUAAAUGAUUUUAAAAUUGUUUAGGGAUUAGACAAAUUAGGGUGUGAUAAAAAUUAAAAAAUUUACCCUCAAUAAAUUCCAAGACAAUUUUUUGUCGAAAAUACAAGUUGUCUAGAAUAUUGCAAUAGUCUUUCAUCUAUCAAACAUAAUGUAAGACAAAAUUGUUUAAUACACAAAAAUUUGUCAUGUGAUGUUCAAUAUUAUUAUAUAUUGUUAUAUCUUAUGUUGUUUUAUCCAAUAUUUACUUUUUAAUCGAUCAAACACUUAUAAGGCCUUUUAAAACUUUUAAUUUGUUUUACCUACCAUAAACAAGUGUAAGAUUUAUAAUUUUAUAGGUAAAGUUUUCUGCAUUUUCAAGGCUCUCAACAUCAAUAGCCAAUUUUUUGUUCCCCAAGCCAAAAUUGUUUAAAACUUGUUCCAAUGUCAAGCCCAUUUUCAUCGCUCACUUGUGUGAAUUUGAUUCCAAUCUAUGCUGGAUACUUUUUUAAGUAGAUAUCUUAAGUGACUAUGACAUAAUUAAUAACCAUAGCCCAUAGGGCAGACUUAUUUUGUGAGGUGAAAUUGGGAAAGGCUCCUAAAGUGAAAUUUAAGGUAAAGUAAAUAAUUUCAACAUCAAGGCUUUGUUUGGUUUGAAAAUGAAAGUUAAAGGAAAGAUAGAGAUAGGAAAGAUUGUGUAAGGAAAGAAAGUAAGUAGAAAAUGAAGGAAUUGUUAUGGUUGUUUGGUAUAAGAGAAAGUGGAUUAGAAAGUGAGAGGAAAGAAAGAUUUAUAUUUUGCAACUGACAUAAAUACCCCUAUAUAGAUAUAGUAAUGCAUAGAUAUAUUAUCAUAUAAAAUAUAAACAUGUGUCUACAUAUUUCAACGGGAAAAAAAUGUAUGCUUGGCUGUGAGUAUAAUGCAAUUAUAAUAAGUCCAGGGAUACAUAACAAAAUAACAAAGCGGUUAAUUAGAAAAAGAAAAAAACACGCAUAACUAUUAACUAAUAGCAACAAAAAAAAAAGUGAGGGUAUUGUUGACUUUUCAAUCAAAAUAUUGAUGUGUCUCUACCUUUCCGUCCAUAUUUGAGGAGAAAGGAUUUUGACAUGGGUCCCACCAGAUUCUUUCUUUCCUCCAUCUUUUUUGAGAGUUCCAAACAAUGGAAACUCUUUCUUUCCUCAUCACUUUAUUUCCUUUGAAACAAACAUGCCAUAAUGGUUGAUAAGUGUCUGAGUCACAUUAGGGCUUAGGUGGGUGCCCACCUCACCAAAUAAUUUUUUUUUAAUAGUAUCAUCGUUAGUAUCAUUAACAUUUAAAUAAAUUACAUCGUGGUUCACCCUCUUCUUCAUCUCUGGUAUUAUUAUUAUACUUUUAAGUCAUUUGAAAUGCGUAGAUGUUUAUUUUGAAUUUUUAAGUUAUAUAAUUUAAUUUUUUUUAUAAGCAAUUUUGUACUUGAUGGCUGAUGCUUAUAAAACAUAAAUUUUUUGUAUAUAUUAUAUAGUUUAUUUUGGUGCCCGUCAAACUUUUUUUUAACUCUGCCACCGGUUGAAAUCACAUGAACAUACAUAUUAUAUUCAGAGGCGGCCUAACAUGUCAAGAGGCCUAAAACAAAUUUUAUAAAGAGACAUUUUAGAAUUAAAAAAAAAAAAAAAAACCCAAUGCUUAUUAAAAGUAGGCUUAAAUGCACUUUUGGCCAUCCAAGUUUCACAAACUUGCGAUUUUGCCCACCCCCCCAAGUUUCAGUCCCUUUGCAAAACCAUGACCCCCCUUGAUUUUGACUCUUGUAAAAUAUCCCUCACGUGACCGUUGUACAACUGUUCUUUUUUUUUUUUUCUUCCCAUGAAUCAAUCACUCUUCCCACUCCAUAACCAUUUCUCCUUCAUCCUUUUUCUUCACGCACAAAUAUGCAUCCUCUUUCUUCACUCAUAAAUCUAGUUCAUCCUUCUUCUUCUCAAACACCAUUUUUCUUCUUCACACACAAAUCUUCAUUCACUGGAUUCAAUCGAUUUUCCCCUUUUCGGGGAUUCAAUCGAUCUUCACACACAAAUCCUCCUUUUCACUUGACUCAUCCUCAUUUUCUCACUAUUUCGUGACUGAUGGCUCGACUCAAUGAUUAUACAGCUUCAUCUUCUUCUAGAAAACGGAAAGGCAAUGUUCGCAAGCCCUACCUUCACAUCCAUCUUCUUCGUUCUUGCUUUGGAUUUUCCCUUUGGAGACGUUUCAUCAUCCUUUUCAGUUAGCCUUAGUAGUUCAAUUGAAAUGAGAGUAAGCUUUGGGUUCAGAAUCGUUUGAGAUAAGAGUGAGUUUUGGUGUAAGGAGUUAACCCUAAUCUCAUUUCGAUUUGGGUUCUAUUUUGGAAUGGAACGGGUCACGUGAGAUAACACACCAUUUAUGUAUUUUUCUUUUAAUUUUAAUUCCAAUAAUAAGUGCUGGCAACAUUUUAAUUUUAAUAAAAUCCACCGUGGCAAAAAAAACGUGACAUGUCAGCUUUGACCGAGUCAAAAUCAAGGGGGAUCAUGGUUUUGUAAAGGAGCUGAAACUUGGGGGGACCAAAUAUGCUAUUUUGAAAAUAGGGGGCCAAAAUCGCAAGUCUGUGAAACUUGGGCGCCAAAAGUGCAAGUCUGUGAAACUUGGGCGCCAAAAGUGCAUUUAAUAAAUCAAGUUUUGUUGAAUCCAAGAUUUGAACUUAGGACCAAAAGGAUUUGAGGCUUUAAAAUUUAACAACUAAGUUAGAUAAAUAUUGAUUAUUAUUAUAUCAUAUUAUAUAUUUAUAGCUAUAUUGACUUAUUUUAAAGCAUUUUUUUACUAACCUAAAAUCUUGAAGACUAAAACCCUUGUUUGGAUGGCUUCACCCUUAGACCAGCCUUAAAUAUAUCACGGGUGAAUACAAUAUCAACCUUUAAUUUUAUCACUUUACUAACGAUUCAGUUUAGAGAAGCCGAAUUCAAUGAAAUUACAUGAAUGAGUUGCUUCGUUCCCCUCCUACCAAAUGUGUAGUCUAUCUAUAAAAGCUUUUAGAUGACAUUUUCAUUUUCUACCACGGUGAAGCAUACCCUUGUGGACAAACACAUUGACUUUUGGAAAAUACUUUUCAAAUUUCUUCAAUGCAAGCUUACAUAGAGGUUUAUCUUCUACAAUUAAAGAGAUUAUUUAACUUAAAAUAUUUGACAAUUCUCUUUUGCUACAAUUAUCAUGAAUGUGCAUCCUUGGUUUUAUCAAUUACCAAGCCACCAACUGAUUUACUUGCCAAGAGCAUCUACUUUAGUUUAGUUGGUUUCUAUUUGUUCUCUAUUCAAUGCAAAUUACAACUUGAUUAAAUCCGUGUUGAUUGAUAUAAUUAAAUUAUGUGUCUUCUUAAAGAGUGUUUCCGUGAUAUUCUUUAAGUAUAUUUUAUAAAGAAAUUAUUUUUCAAAAAAAGUAAAAAUUUUAAUUUCCCAUACCAAAAAUACACAAAUUUUUAUAAAAACUUACCAUUUUGAGUGCUUAAAGAGUGUUCCGAGAGCAUCCGUUAACAUUUUCCUUAAAUUAUUACAACUUGUGUGUGUGAUACCAUGACAUCCUCACACACAUGCAUUAUUUAUGUGUCACAUAAAAUAAUUUAGGCUUAAUUACAUUUUCCCCCUAUCUUUUGUUAAUUGUGCAAUUUUGCACCCCAAUUUUUUUUUUAGCGAUUUUACACCUCAUCUUUUGCCAAUUGAGUUUUGUUUAAAAUCAUCAUUAAAAGAGAGGUAAGGGGGCAAAAGAUGGGGUGCAAAAUUGCUCAAAAAAAUAAAUAAGAGGGGGUACAAAAUCGCACAAUUGGCAAAAAGAUAGGGGUAAAUGUGCAAUUAAACACAAGAAGUUCCAUCUAACCACCAGAAACGGGGUAAAAAGAUGGGGUGCAAAAUCGCUCAAAACAAAGGAGAGGGUGCAAGAUCGCACAAUUAGCAAAAUAUAGGGGGGAAAAGUGCAAUUAAGCCAAUAGUUUAUGUGAUCUUUCAACAGACAAAUAAGUUGGAACUUGAAAAUGAAUAUCGCAUGAUAGAUUGACCAAAUUAAGAAUACUUUCAAAUAUUUCGAGAGAUGAAAAAUAAUCAAAAUAUUUUCCAAUGUCUAAACCAAAAAAUAUUUAUGAUAUGAAAACAACAACAUCAACAACAAUCAAGUCUUAUCCCAUUAAGUGGAAUCGACUAUAUGGAUCAAACUAUACCAUAAUGUUCUAUCAUAAAUUAUAUUUGGUCCAACUCAUUGACCUUUAAUCUUUCCUAAUAAUUUUUCUAUAAUUUUCCUAUGUCUUCAUCUGUCUAUUUUGACCUGACUCUCCACCAUCGAACAUCAUAUACAAGUCUUCUAAUUAGAAGGAGAAUUGCACACGUUAAAAGGACACUAUCUUGUUUUCUCACCAUUGGCAAUAAGACUAUGAAAAAGGACACAAGUUUUCAGAAUUUGACCAAUCCAACAUACGUGUGUGCUAGUUAAACGUGUUAUCCAGCAAUUCCACUAUUGGUACUAUGAAUAUUACUAGAUAGACAGUCAAGUCGGUGUUGUGUGAAUUUUAUACAACAAUACGUAAUUUACUUUAUAUAGAAACUUGACCAAGACUUUAUCUUGGUUCUUCAUUCAGUGCUGGAAUACAUUCAUGUUUUAGGUUACACUUGCCGUGAAUCACACAUAUGGUCUCAAUUCACAGUUGUACACCUUUUCUUUUCGGAAACCUUAUUGAAAAAUGUUAAUCGAUUUGGGCGAUAAAUUGCUAAGGGACAACGCGUUCAUUUUGUGUCAGGUGUGUGUUGUUCGUCGUCUUGUAGAGUUUGAGUGUCUGUCGUCUCGUAAUAUCCAUGACUUAAAUGAAUUAAAUAGAACAUGAUGUAAAUUAAUCAUAAAUAAACUCUUUUUCGUAGUAUCUAACUAGUUCUUAUCAAGUAGUGACAUGGAUAGAUUGUACUCUUUUCGACGAGUGUAACAAAAAUAUGAGGAUAUUUUAAGGUCUUAAAUGCAAGCAAAUUUACUAUUUUUUCAUUAUUUACCUUGAUUAAUGUUUAAUUCUCUGAUUCAUUAUUUAGUAACAUAGAACAAGUUUCAAUAAAUAGUAUUUUUUUGGAAUACGCUUAUUUUUAUGAUAUCAAAAAAUUAAUAGACGAUACUAUAUUUAUUUUUAUUUUUUUUAAAGUGUGAAAUUAGUUGUUUUUCUUGUAAUUAAUAUUGAAUAUGUAGUAAUAUAUUUGAAGUGGUUAAGAACUAGUAGCAAAGGCGGUGGCAGUGUUAGUUAGUUUUUAGAUUUUGAUUAAGAUAAUAUAUUAUAUUGAACACGUUUUGAUUAAUGAAAUGUUAUUAUUUUGUAUGUUUGACAAAAAAAAAACUAGUAGUAAAAUACUAAGUGUGUGUUUGGUUCUGCGGUGAGUAGAAUUGAUUUUGAUAGAAUUGAGUUUGAGUGAAUUGAUUUUGGUUAGAAGUGAGUUAUGACUAAAGUGGUUUAUGUUUGGAUACCUUCUUAGUAAAUGUGAUUUAUAGCGAAUGUGUUGUUUGAAUCAAAAUUGCUUUUUGACAUAUAAUUACCAAAAUGAGUUUUUAGUAAAUGUGUGUUAAACUAAAUCUCUUUUUCAUUUAGGAUGAGUAUUUAAAUUUUAUUAAAUUGAUAAAUAAAUAUAACUUUUUUUUAAGGAAUAAAUUAAUAUAACUGUAUAGUAUUUAAAUUCUUAUUAAAUUAAUAAAUUAAAAUAUAAUUGUAUUGAAUUUGAUUCAUAUUAAUUUUUUUAAAAUAUAAUUUUAUUUUUAAUUUAUCUCCAGAAAGCAACAUAGCAAAAAAAUGAAAGGUGUUGAGCAAAAAAAAAAUUAAAGUAUAUUCAAACAUGUAAAGCAAAAAAAAAAAAACGUAAUGUCAACUAAAAAAUUUAUGUUGCCGUAUUAUUCUAGAUCUAUAAAAAAAAAAAAAAAAUUGCUUUAUUUUAGAGCGUGCAUGAAUAAAUGUAGAAAAAAAAAGUUUCAUGUAAACUAAAGGGUACAAAAUUGUAAUUAUAGUUAUUAAUACUCUUCAAACACUACUAGCCACAUUACCACAUCACAAAAUCGAUUUGCAAAUGCUACUGUUACCUGCUUCAAUGAAACGCAAGUUUGGAGUAAAAAAUCACAUCAAAAAAUAGGUAGCCAAACAUGUAGGUUUGGUUGUAAAAUUGAGUCUAGCCCCUCAAACUCACGUUUGAUGAUUUCAAACGCCAAACUGAACAUAGACUAAGUCAUUGAUUAGAUUGAUUUUAUUAAAACUUUACUCCCUCCGUCCCGCAAUAGAUGACCCAUUUGAAAAUGCGCAAUUUUGACCUAACUUACUUUGAUUUUAUUUUUCUACUAAUAUACAAAGAUAAAUAAUAUCAUAUAAGAUGUCUUUAGAUUCGUCUCGAUGAGUAUUUUUAAAAUAUCAUAUUUUUAUAAAAAAAAAUUCUAAUAUAUUAUUCAAGAUAUUUAAGCUCAAAGUUAUGCAUUGACAUACAUAAUAAGGCCAACUGUGUCAAGUAUUAUGGAACAGAGGGAGUAAUUUCAAUAUGUUGUGUUUGUCUCUAACAACAAUGUUUUCCCGUAAAGGUAGAGAUUGUUGGCACGUAAAAUGAUGCAAAGAACACACAAAAGUAAUAGUUGUAAUUCAAUUUCGACCAUCUCCUCCCAAUCACUCUUUAUUUCGAGCAAUUCUUGUGUGGACCUAAAGAUUUAGUGUCUGUUUGGUUGAGCGUUUCCGCUCCCCAAACGCAGGUUUGCAAGCCCAAACAUGGUUUUCUCAUUUUCUGAGAUGUUUGGAUGCAACCAAAAGUAAUUCUGAAAACUCACUUUUAGACCCAAAACGUGGGUUUAGAAGAAGCCACAUUUCUUAGCUUAUGCGGCCACUCAAACGUGGUUGUAGAUUUGAUUUUGCUGACAAAUAUACUUUUCCCUUUUUACCCAUGCUUCAACUAGCUCCAAUUUUUUUCUCUAUGUUCUGGAACACCUUCUGCUCAUUUUUGCAGAUCUGGUGAAAAAUUAAAAUGAAGGAGGAAGAUUGAGGAAAAUGUUCAAUCUCCAUAGAAGCUUCAAUCGAAACAAGAAUGAGAAAUUAAAUAUUUUGGAAAAAAAAUCUGAAAUAAAUGGAGGAACUGAGAGAUGUUAGCAUUAAAGAAGAAGAGAGGAAUGUUUGCAAUAGAAUUUCAAAGUCAUGGAAUAGUUGGGGUUCUGGAGUGUUCUUCGUCGGAGGGGUGAGCAUUAAAGAAGAAGUGAGGAAUAUUUAAUAAUUUUUUUUUUACAUCAUUUGAAGCUUUUUUUUAAAGACAUCUUUUUAAGCUUAUAUUGUAUUAAAAAAUCACUCAAUUGAUAAAAAAAAUUAAUUAAAAAUGACUCUUAUAAAUUAAUUUAUUUUAAAAUGUUUUAAGCAAUAAAAUUAUUUUUAUGAUAAGUUGAAAUAAUUAUCUAAUGAGAAUGAAAUAUUUAUUUCUAAUUAUAAUUAAAAGGAUAGUUUGGUCAUUCCAUAUUUAAAAUCAAUUUUGAUUCAAACUAUCCAACCAACAUCAAUUCAUAAGAAUCACUUUUAAAUAAAUAUAUCCAAACAGAAAUCAAUUCACAUUCAACUCACUUUUAACCAAAAUCAAUUCUCUCAAACUCAAUUCUAUCAAAAUCAAUUCUCGCCACCGCCAUACCAAACACACACUUAGACACAUGAUUUGGUCACACAUUCAUAAAAAUGAAUAUCACAUAAUUAAUUAAAAAACACUCAUUAUUUAAUUAUUAAAUUUUCUUUCUUUUCUCUUUUUUGUGAGUGUGAUAUAAAUGAUGUAACCAAAUUAUUCCUUUAUUUCUCCCUUAUCGUUGCAUCUUAUUAUGCAUACAUUUCUUUUUCCCAUCUUAUUCUACAUUUCUUUUCCAUGUGAUUUUGAGUUUUCACCUCCUCUUUGCUGCUGCUACUUCUUUUUAUUAGUGUUAUUACGUACUUACCACAUUUCCUCUAUGCUUCUUUUUUCUCCCCGGUUUGCUAGAUAUUUUUUUUGUAAGAGCUACACUUUUUCUUUAGGCUUCUUUUUCCACCUUAUUUAGAAUGAAAAAAAAAAAACACCAUAAAACCCUCCAAAACACGUUAAACAUUUUAAAUUUUAAAAUCCAAACAAAGGGUGCGUCAGAAAUUCAUAGGGUGGAAAAAGUAAGUGUAUUUUCUUUAUUGUCAAGUCUUUUCACUUUUUUGGCGAACCUUCUAUUUUUUUUUAUUAGUGAGCAUCUCUUUGAAUUUUGCUCGUCUAACUUCAAGAAUUGCUCUUUAAACAUAAAAAAAUACCAAAAUGCCUCCGAUGACAGUUAACUGUCGUUGAAACAACGAUAGUUAGUUAAUUGCCGCUACACUCUAGUAACACAGGCAGAAAAACAUUCUUGACAUAAUUGUUUUUUAAUCACCAAAACUUGCAUUAAUUCAAUCAUUCACAUUCAUUUAAUCAUUCUAAUUAAAUUCUAAAAGUAAUGCUCAUUCUUUAACAAAAAGGAAUUGAUUCAAUAAAAUGAUAAUGUCAUUAAUUUAUAUACGAUAAUGUCAUAAAAAACAAAUAAAACCAAAAUGAUUUGAUUAUUUACAACCAAAAUACUAAAAACAUGUAAACCUAAAACUAAUGUCUCAUAGCGACUGCUUAUUUCUUUGGUUAUCUGAAAUGUGGUGGCCGAGCGAAUCUCAUCAUGCAUCCUCCUAAAGAGAUUUUGGAAGUAUUCCUUCCUUCUUGUGAGCAACAAAACCAAAUCCUUCUUGUGUGGUAACCGGUGGCGGAGCCAGAGAUUUAAAGUAGCGGGGGCAAUAUUUACAUAUAAAUUUCUAAAAUAAAAAUGGAAUAAAAUAAGUGUUACAAAAAUAUAUUGACCAGAACAUUUUCUUUUAGAAAGAAAGAAGUAUUAUAAUUGUUAUUAUUAUUUCAAAUAAUAAAUAAAUCAUAUAAUAUUGGGAACUGCUAAUUUACACCCACCUAAAUACACUAACAUGUAAAUUACACACACUUAUAUUUUACUAAAACACCUUUUUGUUUCUAUUCUAAUUAAAUUUAAAUAGAAGGGCAAUUUCUUAACUAUCUUAAGUAAGAUCCUUAAAAAAAGAAACAAAAAAACAUGACAUGCUUAAGGUAUAAAACAUGUAAUAGAGACAAACUUUUAAGGAAACAAUAUUUAGAAUGAGAUGAAAGUGAUAGUGUAAAUUAGUAAGGUGGUUGUAAACAAUUUGAUAAAAUUUAUAAAAAUGAGUGUAUAUAAUCAAGUGGGUGUAGGUUGCUAACUUACACCUUAGUAUUUUUAGGUGGGUGUAGCUUGCUAAUUUACACCUUAGUGAUUUAGGUGGGUGUAAAUUAGCAGCACCUAGAAGUAAUGUUACCGAAAAAUGAAGCUAAAAAAAAAGAAACAACACAUAGAGAAGAGGUGCAUGUAUUAUUUAUAAUAUACAAUCUAGUUAUCAUACUAUAUCAUCAUAUUUAUAAUACUGUGUAUAUGUAUGUGCUGGUGCUGGAAAUCUAUGAUGUAGUAUUAUAUAGGAUGGAUAUGAAAAUUUCAAAAUUAGUGGGGGCACUUGCUUGCACAAGAGCCAACAUGGCUCCGCCCCUGGUGGUAACAUACCACAAUUUCACAUGACAUGAAUUGAUCACAUAUUGUUUGAUUGUUGCAAAAGCUCUUGGAUGUUGUGGGACUGGAAUCGUGCCUACUUUCAAUAACACUCCAAUGCAAAAUUCAGUCAACUUCAUUUAGAGCUUUAUUAUAUUAGGCGUCUGGUAAAUUGCAAGAAAUUGGUAUUUGAAUUUCAUUUACGUAUUCAAACCUUAAUUACUUCAAGUAAUGUUACUGGUGAUCCAAUUUCUCCAAGAGAACACUUAGAUGUCAUUCUUGAGGGCUUGCCUCAGGAUUUUGAUUCUUCGAAGUUCGAUCCCUCUAGUUGCUGGAAAAUUUGAUUCUAUUUCUGAUGAAGUAGUUGAAACACUCUUUGAACGCUUUCAAAAGCAAACAAUAGCUACUACUAUUCUCUCUAUCAUCAGACAUGUCCGCAUAUUUUCCUACACCUCAACCACAAGCCAAUAUGGAGAAUUCUUCUUACUUUGGUAUUAAAGAUAGACAUGGUGGCCAUGGGGGUGUGGCCUAGUAUAAUCCUAUCAUAUGUUAAAGAAGGAUUCCCACUUUGUCAUAUAGUGCUCCAACUCCACCCAAAGGUAACUUUCUCCCGUGGUGCCUUUCCCCUCUUGGUGUGCUUUUAUGCCCUAGCCAUACUCUGCUUGGAGCUAUUUUGGUGCUCAAAAACAUGUCCCUUAUCCAUCUUUAUCCCUUCCAAAUCUUCCACGAUAUAUGUAUGUUAUGCCUUACCCUGGUAAUUUCAGUGCAAGACUACAACUAAACUUACUUAGUUGAAGUUACUCUUGUAACUAGAGUUAGUCAAACUUCACCAAUUUAGUUAACUGUGAAUUCAAGGUCUAUUUAAGGACCUUCUCCCUCAUUUUGUAAUCAAAAUUUCAUUCGAUACAAAAACAGUUAUAAAGUUAGUUAGAAUUUUUUGUUAUUCUCUCUAGUAUAUUUAUUUAUCCAUUUACUCGAAAAUUCUAAACAUGUUAUGGAAUAGUUUAGUUUAUUGAAUUUUCCAAAAUUAAAGACAAAUUUAUUUAACGGUAUUUUUGUUCAUAAAAGUCAUAUCAAAAUGUGAUUCCCUUUGUAUAUGUUUAGUUUUUGGACCACCAACUUCAUAUUUAACCUCUUCACCUUAUCUGAAGACUCGUGUUUAGGUGGUUAUGGACUGCUAAAUAUUUGGAUCACACUUAUUCCUUAAAUCAUUAUCCUUAUUCCUUCAUAAAAAAAAUCAUUAUCCUUAUUCCUUACUUUGUUAAUUUUUUUUAUUAUAAUUAAUACUUAUUUCGAUCACUCUUAUAAGUAAAAAGCAAAUUUUUAGAUUAAUUGAAUAAUUGACGUAUAAUCAAUAAUCAAUAAUAUAAAGAAAGAGGAAUGUUAUGUUGACAACCUUUUGGUUGUCCAACAACACAUCUAUAUUGUUGUAUAGAUAUUAUAUCAUUUUUUAAUUAAUUUUUUUUUGUUACAAAUUAUUUCUUUUUAUUAUAUUCACAUCAAUAGUUAUAAUUGCUGUAUUUUUAUAUUAAUUGUCCCAUAGUUGUUGAUAUUUGGAUGUUCAUAUAACAUCGCUCAUAGACAAAAUACACUAUUUAUUCCAUCAAUCAAAAACCGCUGACCCUCCUUAAGGGUGCCCCCAUUCUCUUACCCUCGAAAACCGCCUAUAACGUAUCUUGGGGCUAAAUUCGGUCUAAACAUCUAGAACGCGUAUCUUCCACUCUAGCUAGACUUAGGGCUUAAGUUACUUAAGACCUAAGUUAGGAAAUCAUAAGCCCAAGAGGACCAGGCCCGGCCUUGGGGGAGUGCAAGAUGCUCAACCAGGUCGGACCUCCAAAUGCUACGGGCCUCAAACAAAAAAUUAAGUGUAAUACCCACCCCCCACUUAAAUAAAAAAAAAAAUAUGUUAUAUCAUUUUCUUUCUUCAGUACACAUUUGAGUUUUUUUUCUUUCUAGAAUCUAGUUCUCAUUUUUGUACAUAAAUGUGAUUCUAUCAAACCACCCCUAAUUUGUAUAAUCACUUAAUCAGUCAAUUUGAAAAGCUAUUUCAUUGAAAGAAUCACAACAAUCAUUUUUUUCUUCGCAUGAACCAUUCAUUUUACCCUUUUCCACAACAGAGGAGUGAUAGAUCCAAACGACACCGUUAGAUAAAUUUCACCUAUUUCACUUAAUUUUUUUAAUUCCUUUAAUGUUUAGAAGUUCUUAUGAUUCUGAUUUUUUUUAAUGAAGUUUAGCUACACAAAAAAAUUACGUUUUACUUUACUAAGAGCUUAUUUUAAAAAGAGAGCCGAGCCUCCUAUUUCAUAAAAACGACCCUGAAGAGGACUAUAAAUAUCCACCUUUAAAUCAUUCUCAAGGCAUGACAUAAACAUACUAAACCUUAUUCAUUGAUAUUGUAUUCGGUGCAAGAAACUUUUUUUUAGAGGAUAUUACAAAGAACAAAUAAGACAAAAAAGUUCAUUAUCCUCUUUCAAAAAGGAAUUCAUUAUCCUUAUUCCUUACUUUGAUAUUUUUUUUUAAUUGUAAAUAAUACUUCGUUCGGUCACUAUUAUAAUUUUUUUUUUAAAAUUAAUUGAAUAAUUGAUGUAUAAUAACAAAAUACACUAUUUAUUCGAUAAAUCAAAUUUAUUAAAAAAUGUAUAAUUUAUCGAAUAUUCGAUCUCCGUAAACUUAGUUCACUUGAUAAAGAAUAAUACAUAUUAUAUUCAGAUCCGAAUUCCACCUAUUCACUUUAAGUAAAUUUAGCUAACUGUUAGCUACUUAAAAAAAAAUAAUAUCAAUACAAGACAAUUGGUCAUUCAAAAAUCAAUAAUUAGUCAAGUUAGUAUAUCAAUAACUAAGCAAAUCAAAUCAAAUCAAAUUACCAAACAUUGCAAACUCCCUCCAACUAACAUUAAAUAACUAAAACACUAAAACCAGUAGAGUAGGGAGUGAGUGAGUAGUAGAUAACCUUGAUUGAAGUGAAGUCAUCACAUCACAUGAAUCUCCUCACUCAUUCACUCACCCAAUCUCCCAUCUACCACUGUCUUUCCUUAACCCCUCGAAUCUCUCCACGCGCCACCCUCCUCUUUUACUCACCAAAGCAGCGCGUGUAUCUUACCUCCCCUUGUAAAAAAACAGACACACCAAAGAAGAAACAAAACAACCUAAAAACUUGCUUCCUACUUUCCAAUUAUAGCAUUCUCUCCUUUCCCUUUGGAUCACACAAAAAAACACGAAAAAAAAACAAAAAAAAAAAAAACAAAGAUCUCUUUCCUUUUCUCUUUGUUUUUUUUUUUCUUCACACUUUUGUUUCAUUUUGUUGUUGUUAACGUCAAUGUCUCGUGCACCAAAUUACGAGUUUCAAGAAUGGUGGAACAAACAAAGAGAAAAAGAAAAUCUAGAUUUAUUCGAAGAUAAUAAUAAAUCAGAUCAAUCUCAAUCUUCUUCUCCAUUUGUAUCCGUUGAUGUUAACGGAGGUGGAGGAGGAGGAGGAGGAGGAGGUGGAGGAAGCAACAACAACCGUUCAGAUCCAUCGGUGAAAAAAGAACGAACACGAAGUGCAAGACAGUUAUCAUGGGUUUGUUUGUUAAAAUUUCAACAAAUCGCUGCAACUGUUGGAUUUAUAUCAAAUGGAUUACUUUAUCUUGUAAGGACAGCGAAUAGACGAGUUUUAUCGCGCGAUUCCAGUGCUGAUUCAUCGUCUUCGCGGCUUUACAGGGUGAUUAGGGUGUUUUUAAUUGUGGUAGUUGGUUUGUUAGGGUUUGAGUUGGUUGCAUAUUUUAAAGGCUGGCAUUUUAGGCCGCCAUCGGUUGGUUCUGCUGAUGUGUUGGGAUUGGUUGCAGUGUUUUACGCGAGGUGGAUUGAUAUUCGGGCGAAUUAUUUGGCGCCGCCUUUGCAGAGUUUGACGAAUAUGUGUAUUGUGCUUUUCAUUGUGCAGUCUGUGGAUAGGAUUAUUUUGAUUUUAGGGUGUUUUUGGAUCAAGUUUAGGAGGAUUAGGCCUGUUGCUAGUGUGGAUUAUGAUGAUGGGAGUGUUGAGAGUACCAUGGAUUAUCCUAUGGUUUUGGUUCAGAUUCCUAUGUGUAAUGAAAGGGAGGUAAGAACAUGUAGGUUCCUUAGUCCUUUUUAAACUCUUUUUUUUUUUUUUUUUUUGGGUUAAAAUGUUGAUACUGCUGAUUAAUGAGUUGGACCGGAAUUUGGUUUAUGAUUGAAUAUUAUGGCGAAAUUUAAUCCAUUUAGCCGACCCCACUUAGUGGGAUAAGGCUUUGUUGUUGUUGUUGGUGCUGCUGAUUUUUGUUAUUUAUUUAUUUGUUUUUGUGAUUCAUGCUUUAGGCUCUUAACAUUUUAUAGGGGAUACAUGACCUUCUGUGAAUCUUGUGCUAGAGUAGAAGGGUAAUGUUAUAAUCAUGUUAGUGUUUUGAAUCGCUGAGAACUGUGAUUUGUUCAAUUCUGCUGAUAGUGCUAUAGCAGCAAUAUAACCGCUAUUUGAUAACCAUGUGUACUAAUAGUGUAUUGCGGAACAAUAGGGAUUUCUUCAAAUUCUAUUGUACUAUAGUGCUAUAAUACCACUGUAGCCGCUAUUUGACAACAUUGAUUCAUGUAAUUUAGAUGUUGGUGGUAAGUAGUAUUUACAUGGGGAAAAUGGACCUUAAUGAGUUGAGUGUGCGCUCAAGUGUUUUUGUGGCUUGAAUAUGUUGUGGUGCAGUGAGCCAGUGUAGUAGGGGUGUCUUUUGUUGAUUGAAGUUAGAGCUUUGUAACUUGCAGAAGGGAAACUGAAAGGGUUUGUGACUUGGAGCUUAGAGCUUUGAUAGAAUGAGUGUUUUCUGUUAGAUCGUGAGUGCAAUCGACUGGGUUUGUUAUGUUUUGUUGCUCCAUUGUAAAGACAGAAAAUGAGAGAACAUUGAUGUGUCACUUGUGUUUUUGUGGUUGUUUUAGAGAGUAGGUAGGCAGUAGGCACGUGUGCCUUCAUCAGAAUACUUGAUGAGAAAUGUUCAACUUAUGCUUAGAUAGAGACUAUAGAAAGUGUGUUUAUAGACAGAAUAAAUUUAUAAGUGGAACACACAUAUUAUAUCAGUGAUAACUAAUAGAUAUGUCUUUUUGAAGUUUACAUCCCUAGAAAAUCAUGUUUCAAUCAGAAGUUUCUUUGAAUGCAAUCUCCACCCACCCUGUCCCCUUUGUUUCAUGCCAACUCUAUAAUUUUCCUCCUCUAUUCUUGUCUCUUUUCAAUAUUAGUGUUGUCGGUAGCGGAUUUUGAACAAACCGCUACUGUUAUGUGACACGUGAUUUAGUAUAAAGUGUUGCCAAAUUGUGGCUAUAGUGCUAUAGUCUAGCCGUGUGGCGGGAUUUGAACAAACCACUAUUUUCCGUGAUUGAGAACAUUGAUUUUUAAAAUAGGCAUUAUUGUGAUUGAAGGGAGGAGUGCAUCCCUUCGUAUCACUAUUGUCUCUACUCACUAGAGGUUUCUGUCUGUCUCUCCAACCUCACUAUAGAACAUCAUUUCAGCGAAGACAUUCUUCAUUACUUCUACUUUUUGUUAUCAUUACUUACAUUUUUUCGUUGUUGUACAAUAGGUUUACCAUCAAUCCAUUGCAGCAGUCAGUAUCCUGGAUUGGCCAAAGGAGAGAAUGCUUGUACAAGUUCUUGAUGAUUCAGAUGAAGUAGAUAUCCAAAACCUUAUCAAGGCAGAAGUGCAUAAAUGGCAACAAAGGGGUGUUCGGAUCAUAUAUAGACAUAGACUUAUACGUACAGGAUACAAGGCAGGGAAUCUUAAAUCUGCAAUGAGUUGUGAUUAUGUUAAGGAUUAUGACUUUGUGGCAAUAUUUGAUGCUGAUUUCCAGCCAACACCAGAUUUCUUAAAGAAGACAAUACCUUAUUUCAAGGUAACAAGUCCUAAAAUUCAAAGUUGAAAGUACUGUUGAUUUCAAGAAAAUAUGCCGACAUAUAUUUGAUUGACAGAGAACAUUUAUAGAUAUUUGUUAUUUUUUCUUUAUAAUUUAAAAUUGAGAAUAGGGAAGGCAUACCCUCAUGCAAGGUCGAAGAGAACCACCAUCCUCAUUGAGGAUUUAUAAUAGAAUUUACGUAUAACCUACCAAUUGCAGAAUUUCGGACUUGAAUUGUAUGCUUAUAAUGAUUUUGUUAUGUUUUAGAUUGCACAUAUCGUUAAAGUUAGUUUCUAUAUUGCAGAAUUUUCACAGCUGUGGCUAGAGUUUUACUUUCGAAAUAUUAUAACCCUCCAAACUUGAGACUGGUGCACAUUUGAAUCUCAAGUAUCCAAUUGAGUGUUCUUUGAAUUUCUGAUUUUUAAUCACACAAUCAUUCAGAGGAAUGUUUGAUAAGUUGUACCAUGUCCUGUCAUCUACUAUUCUCCCAUUCAAAACAAAGUUUGUAACAUUUUUUGUCUUUUAUCAGCAUCAAUUUCAAAACUAGUCCUCAAGUUAUAUAAGUGACUCGCAACUUUAAAAAAUGAAAGAAAUUUUCCACUAUUUCUGGGAUAGUUGAUAGUGUAAUUCACCCAAGGAUUAUAAACUGCAACGUAUAUCUUGUGACUUUAAUCUACUUAUCACUCCAUUCCUUAAUAAUUCUGUUCUACCAAUGUUUGGAAUAGUCUAAAUAAGAUUUAAAAUAAUGCUUAUCUAGGCAUAACUCUAGUCUCUAAGUCUAACCAAAUUUUCUUGUUUUACUCUAAUUGAAGGGAAGGGAUGAUUUGGCAUUAGUCCAGGCAAGGUGGGCAUUUGUAAACAAAGAUGAGAACUUGCUUACAAGAUUACAGAAUAUCAAUUUAUCGUUCCACUUUGAGGUUGAACAGCAGGUGAAUGGUAUCUUUAUUGAUUUCUUUGGUUUCAAUGGAACUGCUGGUGUCUGGAGAAUAAAGGCCCUAGAGGAGAGUGGCGGCUGGUUAGAGCGAACAACUGUUGAGGACAUGGACAUUGCUGUUCGUGCUCAUCUAUGUGGAUGGAAGUUUAUUUUUCUCAAUGAUGUUAAGGUGCGCUAUAUUUCAAUCUUGAGGCUUAAUUUGAAAUGUUUGAGAGUCUUAUAUAUGUUCAUUAUGCUUCUUGCAGUGCCUCUGUGAGCUUCCAGAGACAUACGAGGCGUAUAAAAAACAACAGCACCGCUGGCAUUCUGGUCCAAUGCAAUUGUUUCGUAUGUGUUUUGUUGAUGUAAUUCGUUCGAAGGUAUUGAAUUCCUUCUUUCUUUUCUUUUUAGAGAAUUGAAUUCUUUUGAAUAUAGGAGACCAGUACGAAAUCCUUAUUCUGUUGUUUUUGAUAUUAUUUUUAUCUUAAGAACGGCGUGCUUAAUUAUUAUCCCUGUAAGGGUUUAAAGUUGUAGCUUGAUUUUUGAUGUGUUUUUCAACAAUAAUAAUAUUUAUUUUUGGUGGUGAGAUUUGAAUAAUUAAUGCAUAAAUUCACGUACUAAAAUACAGAGGCACAUCAUGAAGUUGCCUGUUGUGAUUAUUAUUAGCACAGUUUAAACACUGUGCAUAGGGAAUGGCAUACAUAUUUGCAUAAGAAGGCGGCGUUGAUUCAAUGGCAUCAAAUAUCAAAUUCAUGCUAUUAAACUACAUGAAUAUUUUCUAGUUACUUUCUUCAAUUAUAAUAUGAUUGUAAAUUUAUUAGUGACCUGAUGUUAUUUGUUGCUGUACACAAAUUAGAUACAUGAUUUUUUUGUUAAAAUGCAUUUAUGCUUCUAGAAAGGUACACUAUUAUGCAUUGAUGAUCAAAUUCUAUUUGUACAGGUUAGUUGGGCAAAAAAGUUCAACUUGAUAUUUCUUUUCUUCCUCCUGAGGAAGCUUAUUCUGCCAUUUUAUUCGUUUACCCUCUUCUGCAUUAUUCUUCCAUUGACGAUGUUCCUUCCGGAAGCUGAGCUCCCAGCAUGGGUUGUUUGUUACAUUCCUGGAGUCAUGUCUAUCCUAAGUGUUCUUCCAGCCCCACGGUCAUUCCCAUUUAUAGUGCCUUAUCUUCUAUUUGAGAACACUAUGUCAGUAACUAAGUUUAAUGCAAUGAUAUCCGGAUUAUUUCGCUUUGGAAGUUCUUACGAAUGGGUGGUUACAAAAAAAUUGGGAAGGUCAUCAGAGACAGAUUUGGUUGCCUAUGAAAAGGAAUCCGAACCUCUAAUGCGAUCUAAUAGUCUGCAUAGAUCUUCCUCAGAUUCAGGUAUUGAAGAGCUAAGCAAACUAGAACUGUCAAAGAUAGCUCCGCAGACCAAGAAAAAUCGUCUCUACAGGAAAGAACUUGCUCUUGCAUUUAUUUUAUUAACUGCCUCAGUUAGAAGCUUACUUUCUGCUCAAGGAAUUCACUUCUACUUCCUAUUAUUUCAAGGGGUAAGUUUUCUUGUUGUUGGUCUUGAUUUGAUUGGAGAGCAGGUUAGUUGAGCUCCAACUUUUUGUGGAUGCAAAACCUCCUUUCAGAUCUUCAUUGAUUCAUGAUAAAAGGUCACAAUGGCCAAAACUUAAACCUAUCUCAGAACAUACUUAUUUUGAGCCUAAGAUGUUCUCAGUGGUUUUGGCUACCAAUUUACAGCAAAUCAGUUGCUGCUUGGCACCAAAUUUGCAGUACUGUUUGCUUUUUGUUGUAAAGACUACUGCCUCAUUGUUGUUGCCAAGUCAUAUGCUUUAUAUGUUACAUAAAAGUUGUUUCAGUUCUGAAUGGCAAAAUAUGUUGACACUUGAAGAAGAUAGGUUUCGGGCCUAUAAAGCAAUAUACAGUUCUUGCCUGCCUGAACUGAAAAGGCGGAGAUUGUUAGAUUACAACAUUUGUUAUUCUUUUUCAAUAUUUUUGAUAAACUGUACAAUUUCAUAGUUUCAUUGUGUUGUUGCUUAAAUUGUAUUUGUUAUUGAGACACUCAGAUUUCUGGUACAAACCAAGAUUGUUAGCAAGCAUGUUUUCAUUGUUGUUCAUCCAUUUUUGUUGUUAUUUUCAUCAAAUCAAGAUUGUGAAUUCGAGCCUUGUAAAUUAAAUUCCAUCUUAAUAUAAAAAAAAUAAGAAUGAAAUGCAUGCAUUAUUGUUAUCCAAGUAACAGAAAAUGUGAACCAUACUUAUAAGCGUAUGGAACAUGUCACUCACUUCCUCCCUCAGUUUUUUGGGGAUUUAAGUGAGUUUAAAGUAGUGUUUUAUGUUUGGAUAAAACAUAAAACAAUUUUAAGUGAGCAGACAAUAAUUGAGUGUUAAAAUCAAUUUUAGAAUCAAAAGCUCUAUUUUUAGUUCCGUAGAUUGAGGCAAAAUCAAUUCAACUCAUGAGCAACUAAACAUGUUAGAAUCAAUUUUACAUUCCUAAAAGUAAUUUUAGCCUCUAAAUUCUUUGUUGUCUUUUUUGUGUGUUAGUUGUUUAUUUGUGGCGUUGUGUGUUUGUAGCGCUUAAAAUCAGAUUACGUUGGAUGUCUAUGUUGAUUCGCUUAAUUUUUUUUAUGUAAUUUCAAAUUAUUCUUGACAUAUUCCUUAAAAAAAAAUUAUUCUUGACAUAUGUUGAAAUAUAGAUAGUUAUACUCAUUUUAGAGUUAGUUAGGGUAUUAGUUUAGUCCCUACAUAAGUCACAAGUUGACUCAUUUGUACCGCUCUUUCACUGUUGCAUCUUUUCAACUAUUAUCAAUACAGUAAUUUUUUAAGUUUUUUUCUCUAUUUUCAUGGAUGUCAUGUUUCUCAACAACAUAUAUAUAUUUUUUCCUCAUACGUUUGAUUUAUUGAAAAUAAUUCUAUUUGAGACAUGUUAAAAAAUUAAACAUGGAUAGCUCGACUGACAUUCGAACUUUUGAUUAGCUAUGGAGUCUAACCCCUUUUGAUGAACUCAACUUCAAUGAUCGUAUAUCUUGUGCCGAAUCCCUUUCUAUUAAUAUACUUUGACAGUUUCAAAAGCCUCAUUGUGUGCACGUUAUUGACAUUUUCUUUGCAAUUCUGUUCAUUUACCUAAGUAAAUGUAAUUCCAUAUUUACUUUGUAAAAAAAAAACACGUGUUAAUCGAAGUGAGUGGGUGUGUCUUUUACUUUGAUUCAUGUGGAGAUACACAUUUGAUGAAUCAUUUUUAAUAAACUUUUUCUAUUAAAAACAUAAAAAAAAACAAAAAAAGCUUCAAAUGAGAUUGUGAAGGAGAGGAGAAAAGGAAUUAAAAAAGUUUCAUGAAUCAUCAUUAUAUGUCUCUUAUUCUUUUCAUACCAAACUUUUAGUAAAAGAGACCUUCACCCCUACGGUUUUAGUGUAUAAGUGUUUUUAUAUUGUUUACACAUUCAGAAGCUAUAGUAUGACUCCUUUCAACGCAAAACCAACAAAUAAGCUCUUUAAGCUUGAUGGUACAGUAUUUGAUCUUAAUGGGUUCUUGUUUUUUGUUCGGUAUUAUGAAAGAACACAAUGUGAGGAAGUGAAUCCUCAAGUAUUUGUAAGAUGUGAAGAUAAAAGAACAAGUCAGAGAAAAGUGAAAGUGAGCAAGUCUUGCAUAGGCACAAAUCUAAACAAAAUUUGGAUGUUUUGCUCAUGUUGCAAUUUCUAUAGGGGAGUUAUAAGUAAAUAAUGAGUUUUUUAAGACACAAAAAACAUGACCACCAUUAAGUUUUUUUCAAAAAAGCAAAUUCAUAUAAAUAGUUUCAAUAGGUGAGUUAUAUCAGUUUUUUUUGGGGAGUUAAAUGAGCUUAAAGAAGCAUAUACGUACUUAAUAACAUAAAGGACUUCAUCUUAUUUACUUACAACUACAAAAGUGCAUCUCUGAAACAUUAUUAUGAAGGUUGGAUUUGUACCAGUAUGCACUUCAUGAAGUUGUCACUGAAAUAAUUUGCUUUACAUUCAAAGUGUUCCUUUCAAACACAUACAAAUCAUGUGAUUUCUUUAGUUCAGACAUUAGAAUACAGUUGAAACCAUAUGAUGACUGUUUUAAGGACAAACAACGCGAAAUUAUUUUAUAAGCGACAAAAGAAAGUGAGUGCUUGAUAGUAGUCAGUACUAUGAAACUAGCCAUUGCAGUAUUCAGAAAUUAAACGGAAGUAAUUGCAAAUCAUAUUCAUUGACAAAAUUGUAAAUCAUAAAUAACCAAGAACAGUCUAAAGGAAAAUCAAGACACUAUCGUCAAAAGAUUAAGAGAUAUUAAAAUGUUAACCAACAGCAUCAGCUGAAGCACAACAUCUCUUUGUUCGAUACUGGUCUCAUUUAAAACAACUAAUGCAAUACAAAAACAUGGAAACAAUACAAUCAAGCGGCACCCUUG
rnacentral:lncRNA from 1 species